rnacentral:lncRNA from 1 species
GAGUCAUGGUUUGCUUCAUUACUUCACCUUCUCCCAACAAUUUGGCAACGCCAAAAUCUCCAACAUGUGCAACCAUGUCUUCAUCUAGUAAAAUAUUGCUUGGUUUUAUGUCACAAUGAAUUAUAGGGGUUGGAUGUCCAUUGUGGAGGUGUUCUAUAGCCACCGCAACAUCUAUCAUUAUGUCGACCCUUUGUAUGAUAUCAAGGAAACAAUUUUUAGAAUGUAACCAUUUCUCAAGGUUUCCAUUAGACAUGUAAUCAAGCACCAAGGCUUUGAAGUCAACACUUGAGCAGCAAGUAAUGACCUUCACAAUAUUACGAUGAACUAUAUGAAGCAUAGCAUCACAUUCAAUGUCAAAACUCCUAAAUGCUCCCUCUGUUUGCAAAUUGAAAACUUUUAUUGCAACUUCCAUUCCAUCUGAAAGCCUCCCUUUAUAUACAUAUCCAAAACUCCCUGAACCAAGCAUAUUGCUUUCCUCAAGUCCAUUAGUUGCUCGUGAAAGUUCAGCAUGUGAAAUUCUUCUCGGUGUCUUCAAAGACAACAAAUCAUCUUUAAUUGGUAGAGCUGUACUCCUUCUUUGGCAUCUUCUAUACAUAAUAGUUAAGACUAUUAGUACUACGACAAUACCAAUUGUUGGUAAACCAUACCUAAAAGCAUGCAAUAUAAUCGUUUGGGAGUUUUUGUGGAUGUCGUUUUUACAAGGUGGGACUAGCAAUCUAGGUGGACCACAAAGUGCAUAAUUCUUCAUGAAUGAUGUGCUAGAAAAGUUUGAAAAACAUCCUUCGCUGGGAAUUUCCCCUUCAAGUCUAUUGAAAGACACAUUAAAAUACUUUAGAUAUAAAAGCUUUUCCAAAGAUUUGGGAAUGACUCCAGAGAGAUUGUUAUUGCAUAAAUCCAAGAAUUCCAAACUAAUCAACCCAUCAAAUGAUUCAGGGAUAUGACCAUGUAGUAUAUUAUUUGAUAAAUCUAAUGAAACCAAAGUUAUAAGACCCCCAAAUGUGGAUAAGAUAUCGCCCGUGAGAAGAUUCCUUGAUAAAUUUAGUUUCAGUAGACUCCUCAAAUUUCCAACAUCAAUAGCAUGUGAAUUGUGAAGAUGGUUUGAUGAUAAGUCUAUUUCUAAGAUAUCUUUAAGAUUCCACAAAGUUGAGGGUAUUGUAGAACUCAAUUUGUUGGAAUCUAAGUAAAGAUAUCCCAAAGAAGUAAUAUUACCCAAACAAGAGGGUAUGGAUCCAUGCAGCUUAUUCAACCCUAAAUACAUCUUGUAUAGUCUCUCCAAAUCACAAAGGCUUUAUGAGAUGGGCCCUCCUAAUUUAUUAGAGGAAAGAUAUAGACCUUGGAGAUUUCUCAUUCCUCCUAUUGAUGCUGGAAUCAAUCCACUUAAUUUAUUAUAGUCAAGUUGUAAAAGCAAUAGGUUGGUUAAGUUACCUAUUUCCAUAGGAAUAAUGCCUUGAAGCUCACACUCAUCGGCAUAAAAGUAUUGAAGGGAUUUUGAAAGGUUCCCAAUAUAAGUAGGAAGAACGCCACUCAAUGGAUUUCCUGAAACACCUAUUUUUCUCAAAUUCCUACAAUUCGUCAAAGAAGAAAGAAAGCUCCACUCAUGAUCAGUAGCAGAUCCUGUGAUCAAAUUAUUGUCAAAGAUUUUGAGCACUUCAAGGUGUUUUAAGCUGCCAAGCAUUUUAGGGAUUGGGCCAGAGAAUAAGUUUCGUGACAACUCUAGUUUCUUAAGCAUGGAAGCAUUGGAGAUAGAGUUGGGAAUGUUUCCGCUAAGUUUAUUUCUCCACAAUAAAAGAAUCUCAAGCUUUGGAGCAUUGGUGAUUGGUGGUAAAUCACCUGUGAAAUAGCAUCUUUUAGUAUACACAUUCAUUGAAUACCAAAUUCACAAAAUAUAUAAUACAUUAAAAUAAAAACUGUAAAACUUUAAAUCAAUUAAGAAUAAAAUUUUGGCAUGGAAAAAUGUGAUGAAAUCAAUUAGAAAGUUGAGACAUAAUAAGAAGUUUUGAGUAGUAAUUACUCAUGAUUUCUAUAGACAAAACAUAUAAUACACUGAUAAUUUUUUAAAAAAUAUUGUAAAACCUGAAAUAAAAUAAAAAAUAAAAGUUUGGCAUGAGAAUGUGGCAUCUAAUCAUUCUUAAAAAUAAGACUAACAUUGAAUAAUAAUUAGUUAUGAUUUGAGAAACAAAAAUGUUAAAGAUGUAAACUGGUAUGAUUUUUAUCUAUUGGGUUAAUUAUUUAUUUUUAUUAAAUUAUAUAUAGUGUAAAAUUUAAAGAUUAUUAUUUGCUCAAAAUUUUUGUAUUUUUCGUAUAUUUGAAAUUUAAUCUUUAUAUUUUUUAUUUUCUGUGAUUUAGUCUCUCUACUUUUUGAAUUGAAAAUUUUAAGUUUAUUUAUUAACACUGUUAAAAAGUUUUUGUGUUAGUAUGGCAUUUUGAAAAAUAAAAUAAAAUUGAUAUCUAUGUUUUUAAUUAUUCCAAAUAUUGUUUUACUAUUUCAAGAUAAACUUUUUGUGUCUAUACCAAUAUCUUAAGAACUAUUGUUGCAUGUUUAAUUAUUCUAAAGAUUUGUUGAUUGAGUCUUGGUUGAAGUGCAUUAUUCUCCUAUUUAUGAAUUGGGGAGUUGAUAAAGUACUUUAUUUUAAUAUAUUUUAAAAUAUUAAAAAUUUAUUAAAAUAUUUUUUAUAAAACUUGAUUGUACCACAAUAUACAAUUUUAAUAUCAAAUUUUUAAUUGUUUUUUAAAAAUAUUAGCGAAUAUAUACUUUAUUUCAAGUUACACAAUUUUUACUAGCUUUUAACUUUUUUUAAAAUUUUUAUCGUCUUUUAUAAUUUCUAAUAAUUUUUUAUAAUUUUUUACAAUAUUUACAAUUUCUAACAAUUUUUAAUAAUUUUAUUAUUUAUUUCAAAUUUAAAAAUUAACAAAUUUUUAUUUUUUUAAAACAAUUAUAUAUUUAUAAUGUAGUUAUUUUUUUAUAAUUUUUUUUUGAAAUUUAAAGAUUUUUUUGGUUUUUUUUUUCUAGAUGAUGAUGCCAUCAUGAUGCCAUCAUAUGCCACAUGCCUUCUAAUUUGUUGUCAUAUAGACAUAUUUCUUCGAGCGUAGUUGAAUUAAAAAUACUUGAUGGAAUCUGACCUGCACACAUAGUCGAAAAUUGAAGUGAAAAGCAUACCUUCUAAGCUGUUAAACUAAAAAUACUUUAAGCAUAUUUUAUUUUCCAUCAAAUUAACUAUUUUGCCUUGAAUGAAAUAAAAUGUUCUUAUUUUUGUUAUCUAUUACAAAUCAAACUCUUUUAUGAAAAAACUAUUUUAAAUUAAAGAAACAAAGAAAAUUCAAUAUCUUCUAAGUUAUUCCACUCCAAAUAUAAUCUUCAGUGAAGAAAUCUUGAAGAUGGAAGAUGGAACCUUACCAGAUAAUUGAUUGAAUCCCAAGCUCAAGGACUCUAGAUUAGACAUGUUAACAAGUGUUUCAGGGAUUGUGCCUAUAAAGUUAUUAUUUUUCAUUUUCAGCCUUCGAACUCCCUGUAAGUUCCCAAGCCAUGAUGGAAUUUCCCCAUUAAGACUGUUGUAUUUUAAUCGAAGGAUCCUCAAACGAUGCAAUUGGCCCAAUUCUUUAGGGAGAUGGCCAUAGAAAUGGUUUCUACUCAAGUCGAGAGAGAGUAGAAAUGAAAGAUUUCCAAGGUGUGGAGGGAUACUACCCCUAAGAUUCAUGCUUUUAAGUUUCAAAGCUAUAACUCUUUUAUGGAGGAUGCCACAAGAAACACCAAUCCAAUUGCAAACAGAGGUUGAGGCCGUCCAAUUGUUUGCCAAGACAUUUUGAGGACCGGCAAUGCGAUCCUUAAACUCGAGAAGUGCAAACUGAUCGGAGUUGAGAUUCCUGACUGUCAUACCCCAGCAAAGUCCGGAACAUGGUACGAAUAAAGCUAAAAGAAGAUGAAAGCAAGUGUUGUAGUUCAUGAUAGCAAGACGGAAUAAGCCAAGAAAAUAAAAAAAAGUAGGACAAGGGAAGUUGAGUUGAUAAAAUAGUUUGGAUGAUGAAGAAAAGCCCAGAGAGCAUGCUUUAAUAUGUUUUGAAGAAAUUUCAAAAUAAAUUUCAAAAUAAAUUUCAAAAUAAAAAUUUAAAAAGGAAAGCAAAGUUUUGAAGAAAUUUCAAAAUAAAUUUCAAGUCUUCUUCUUUAAAAAAUACGUACAAAGAGCGAAUUUUCAAAAUUUCUCCUAAAUUUUCUUCACAUUACUCCACAUAAUCCAUUAAAAAAACUUAAAAAAUAUAUUUUAUUAAUUACUAUACAUUCUUUUACUUUCAGAAUAAUAAAUUGUUUAAAAUUUGCUAUUAGUCCCUGUAAUUUAAAAGUUAAAAAAAAAAUUCAAUCCUCCUACUUUUCUAAUUUAAAAAUUCUAGUUCAAUCAAUUUUAAUUUUAAAAUCUUUGUAUAAAAGGUGUUUUUUUUUUGUGACCGAUCACACUUAACCAAUAUUUAAAAAUUAUUAAAAAAUAUUUUUUUUUGAAAUUUAAAGUGAUCUAAAAACAUAUUUUUAAGUACUUUGGACAGUCUAUUGUUGAUUUCCUUAUUAUAUUAAGUGUUUGCAAUCACUCCUAAUAUAUUGUGCUUGAGUUGUGACAAAGUCGAUCAUCAAAUUGCCAUAAUGAUCUAUUGAUGCUGAAAUUAAAGUUUUUGUUAUAUUGAUAGAGCUUGUCCUUCAACGCGUACAACGUGUUUGUUAUUUUUCUCCCUUCAAAUUGUAUGAUCUUAUUCAUUAAAUGAAUUAAUGAAUUUCCCUUUUAAAAAGAUAUAUUUUUAAAAAUUAAAUACUUUAUAAAAUAUUUAAAAAUUUGUAAGCCUUAAAACAAUCAACAAAAUAUUUUUGAAAUUUUAUAAAUAUAUUUUAAAAUUAUAGUAACGCUACAAAAUAUAUAUAUUUACUAAUUAUAUGCACCUUUUUUAUUUUUUUUCCUAACAUAUCAUUAUUUUCAACACUAUCGUAAUCCUGUUUUGAUAAUUCCCUUUCCAUACAUCCUUUUUCUACAUAGAAUUUCAAAAGAAAAUGUGAAUUAAUGUAAACGUGAGAAGACUUAAUUACAUUUAUUAGUUUAUCAAUCAAAACUUAAUUAGAAUCCAUCAAUAUUUCACACAUCAAAAACCCAAACAUAAAAUUCACUUUUAAAUUAUUUGAAGAUACAUUUGUAUUAUAGGAAAUGGAUUAAAUUAGUCUUUUAUUAUUAAAUGUAUUAUUUUAAUCUUUGUAUUAGGUAUGAAUUGUAUCUCCUAGAUUGAAGCCAAAGCUAUUCUUGAAAGACUGAAAUUAAGAUUCAGAUGUGUUGAGAUGGAAAGUGGCAACACAAUGUUGAUUGAAACUAUUUAUAACGGGUUGGCUACAAUAAGUAGUGCUGCCGAAGUAAGACAGAUUCACGAUUGGUGUUCCAAAAAUUGGGAAGUCAAAUUUCGACAUAUUCAACGAAAUGCCAAUAAAGUUGUUGAUUGCAUAGCUAAGGCAAAUGGAGGCGUAAUUGAGCAGCUGGUUAUCUUGGAAGAUCCUCUGCAUUAUGUGAGAUGCUAGCUUGAAGAAGAUAUUAGACAGUCACUAGUGACUGAUGAUAAUUUUCAUUUGGACUGAUGAGCGCUUAAUUUUCUAAGCUUAUGUUCAACAAAAAAAAAUUUAAAUACGUCUAAAUUGUAAUAGAGUUAACAUUUAGUGUUUAAAAAAUAUCUUAAAAAUUAUUUUUUUCCAAUUGCAGUUCAAUUCCACAAAUAUCGACGAUGAACCCGGACAUAAAAAUUACAGAAAAAAAAACACAUCUAUUAUCAAACCAGCAAUCCAUGUCUAAACUUAAAUUAACAAAAUUUGCCACACAACGCCCGGUACACUAUUAUAUAUCUAUACUAGAUUUAUUCUAGAUGCACAUGUUUUAUUAUAUUUAAAAAUUAAAAUGUAUGGUUGACUAAGUUUUAGUUGAGUUAGUAUUGAUAUUAUUGUCAGUGUAGGAAAAUGUGAGUUUAAUCACGCUCAAAUGUGUUUUAUCCUCCAAUUCAAGGGUUAGGAAAAGGUUAUUGAUAAUUAAAUUAUACCAACUUUUAUAAUAUUAAAAAAAAGGAUUUAUAAAUAAUAUAAGGAAAAGAAAAAAAGAGAAACAUAUUCAUAUUGAUGGGCUCUUUCAAUAUUAGACUUUUUUUUCUAUCACAAGUAAAAAUAUCAAAGGUGAUAAUAAUUAAAUUAUAAAAUUUAAAUUGAGAAAAUAGGGGAUAAAAUUUAUAAGUUUUAAAGUAUAAAGAAUGAAUUUAUAACUAACAACAUAUUUUAACCACAUAAUAAAAGUAGUUAUGGAGAGGAUCAUAUAAAAUGCAAAAAUGAAAUAAUAGAAAAGAAAUAAGUGUUGGGUAUAGUGGCAAUGUAUAUUAUACUUCUAAGGGGAGAUCAAGAUUUUAGACAAGGGAAGAAUUUUAAACCUGCUUUUUUCUCUAGAACUCAACGCAAACCUCAAAUUUAUCUUUUUAAAAGAAUUUAAAAAUAUCUAUAUAAAAGGUGAUUUUUUACCGAUCACACUUAACAAAAUUAAAAAAAAAUUGAAAUUUAAAGUGAUCUAAAAACAUAUUUUAAAGUGCUUUUGACCAUCUUGUGCUGAUUUCUUUAGUAAUUUGAUUUGUUCAAUAUAGAUUUUGGUGACUUAAAACAAAAUUAAUAAAAAAAUAUUUUAUCAGAUAUCUUUUUAAUGUUUAAUAAUAAGUUAAUUUAUAAAAUAUACUUUCAUUGGACACAGGGCCUCCAAGGCGGUGAACCACUAAUCAAAUUAAUUUUGAGAUACUUAAAUUUGUUUUCAUCAAUUAAGAAAUUAAAAAAAUUUGUUGAGACCUCAUGAUUAUGUUUUAUAAUUUCAGGCUUAUCAACUAUUUUGAAAAACAACAAAACGUCUUACACCAAAAACUAAAAAAAUAAAAACGUCGACAUUAAAUUUGUUGCCAUGCAAUCAAUUUUAAGAUGGUUUUUGGAGUUAUAUAUCACCUUAGCAUUGACUUACUUUUCUACACUUAGUCUUCUCCAACAAGUUAAAUAUUUCAAUUUUAACAACAUUGACAGGUCUUUGGGGUAGGGUCGAGCAAAACUCAAUAUAGGCUGAGUUGGCUCGGCCAAGUCGAGUCGACUUGUUCAAAUUAUUUAAAUUCGUAAUUUUUAAGGUGCAGUUAGAAUUUUUUGUUUUGAGAUGCUAAGAUUAAAAUAUUUCAGUUGCUAAAACAAAAUAUUUGUAUUUAAAAAGGCAUAAAUUAAAUAAUUAAGUUUUUCGAGUUUCCAUUUAAUCAAAGGUUAAAAGGACUAAAUUGAAGCUUUUUAUUUUUAAGAAAGGCUGAAUGACAAAUUGCCCAAAGCCAUGCCCCUAGCUAUACAACUAACUUCUCUAUGAUUAGUCCUUCGUUUGCUUUGGGUGAAAUCUUCCAACUAGCCUCAUCCUUGGUUUUACUUUCCAACAAUUAGUGUAUCACGAGUUUUGUUUUCUUUAAAAAAUAUUUGUGGAUAUUAGGAGAUAAUGAAAAUUAUUUUACUAUGAAAUUUUAAUAAAACUGGAAAAUAAGUAAUUUAUUUUAAGAGGUCGCAAUUAAACGUUAGAUUUCCAAUUUUUAAAUUUUAAUUUUUUUUUGACAAUUGCAUAAUAUUUUGAGUGUUGUAGGAAUGCCAUAAUAUAACCUUCCCUAAACAUAAUCGACUCUUGAGCAUGAUGGAUCCUAGAACUUCUCCUCUAUUCUCGUACCGCAAAUUGCUUCAAGUGUGGGUUCGAACAAUCACAAAUUAAACACAAAACCAGAAAUGAUUUAUUACUUUCAAUAGCAAGGUAAUUCUCUCUCAAUAGAAACCAAUAGAAGUGUAAUUCUUAGAAAAUAAAAUUUAUUUUUUGAAAAUAUAUUCUCACUACUUUCUAGCAGAAUAACAAUAUGUGAAACUUAUGUCUUGUGUUAAUAGCUCUACCAGUACUCUCUAUUUAUAGGGAGAGAUACGAGAAUCCUGGUUGAAUUAGUAAAACACGAAUAAUAUUUAUUUCAUAGAAAACAAUAUUCCACCCUAAGUAGAUCAAGUUUGUAUGACGCAUGGAUCAAAGCUCAAUCUAGGAGGAAAAAAAUAAAGGAAUUUUCUUUGUAAAGAAAAUUUGAGAUUGUACUAUUUUCAAAGUUAUAAAUAAAAUUAUACGCCAAAUUUUUAAGUCAAUUUCAACUCCAAUUUUGUAUGCACAAAUUUCUAGUACACUUGGUGGGACAUUCUUUGACUUUUAUCUAUUCUCUCAAAAAGUUAAAGUUCAAAGUUACAUUAAACUCAAAGAAGAUAAUCAUUAGUAAACCACCUCACAAGCCUGCUCAAACUAAUCCUACAACUCAUUCCACUUCAUCAUCAAACACCAAUGUUCUUGCUUAUCCUUAUGGAAUUAAACAGUCUCAUUUUCUGCAUUUUGGGUACACACCUGGUUUUAUUUGAUGCUAAAACAGUCCCCGAGCACUCCAAAGCCUAUAAUUGAACAAAUAAUACUAAUUUAAUCUUACAUAACAUGAUCCCAAAUUGAACUUGUAUCGAGGUUUUAACCCAUAAGUGACUAAACCUUACCUUCAACCGAGUGAACAGUAAUUCCCACACAAACUAAGACUCCGAUUGAAGAUUACGAGCCAUUGAAUCCUCCCCUAAUUGGCAUAAACAAAACACUUCAAAAGAAAGUCAACAAAUGGAGACAAAUCACUUAUCUAAAACUUACCGAACGAUCACAGACAAACGUGAAGCGACACGAGGCAGAGUGGGAAAAGAAAAAUCAAGAGGAUGAAGGGUGAAAGAGAGCAGAAAUUCGGUAGCAAUGAAGAGAAAAACGGCAAGAAAGUGGAGGGAUUUUGGGGAAAGUAAAAAAAAAGAUGAAUAGAAUAUUUGAUAACUACCCCAAUCCCUUAUUUCUCUCUAUCAAACUCCCCACUAAAUCCACUACUCAAAUUUUUAGUCCAUCUCAAACUCUCCUGGACGCACGAGCAAAAAAUAAUGCCCAUGCCAAAAUUUAAACAAAAGACCUCCUUCACACCAACACUCCACUUAUCCACCAGACCAAUAGGCUCAUUCUUUUAAUUAUUUUCCAACUUUUACUUAAAAGCCUACUGACCAAAGAUAGGGCUUAUUCAUAAAAAUACCAAAUUUUGCCCAAGACCUGGCUUGAACUUGGGACCUCCCAAACACACCCAGAACACAUAACCACUAAAGCAGACAUAAAUUUUGUGUCACACAUUCACAAUACCCAAAAUUAAAAUUUUAGGGCGUUACAAAAACACAUUAAAUAAUAUCGCAUAAAAUAAUCACAGUUAGAUAACAGUUCAGAAUGUCGAUUUUACAAUUUAACCACCAAUAGUAUCACAGUAUUCACAGUUGUAAUUUCAGAAUAUCAAAUUUCCACAUGAUUCACAAUAUUCACACAUAUAUAAAUAUAUCAUAAUAGAAUUCCAGAUUUGUAUGCACAUGAUUUAGAAGAUGCCAUACAAUUUUGGUUUUUAACAGAAUAAAUCCUACCCCACGUUACAUACCAUAAUGGGAGUUCCCCUAAACUCCCUUCUCCAACACACUAGGUUAUGGAUAAACCACUAUUGGUUCACAAAUAAUAACUGUCAUUUGGCUGUGGACACACAGCAAGUCCCCACAAUUGGAUUCUAGAUUUGGUUGUGGAUUCACAGCAAAAAAAUCCUACAAAUGAAGCCUGCUUUUGCCUGUAGAUUAUACAACAUAUACCCGCAGUUGGAAUCUGUCUUUGGCUGUGGAUGCAGUGUAACACCGCAAACUCGACCUGGACAUUAUGGCUGAAUCUUGAUGAUUUACUUUAACUCGCUAGAAAACCCACGAAUUUACUUUAAAAUCAUGUGGUUAAACUAGUGUUCACUUUGAUAAAUUGUUUUCCAGUUUUAGAGAAAUUUCUUGUUAAAACUGUUACUUUAUUACAAUAAAACAUUAAAGUAAUUGUAUCAUUUUGUAGUGGAAUCUACUAAGCUAUAAGGUUUUGAAAAUCGUGAUUUAGUUUGCAACAAAUCAUUUUGCAAAUAGAAAUUUAAUACUACUUAAUUUGGAAAAUCACGCUAAAACGAAAGCAAAGUCCAAAAUAAUUUACGGUUUGAAAUUCUAAAAAGCCCAAAUUAGACAUAAAGUCUAUUUAAACCAAUUUAUUGAAAGUGUAACACCCUAAACCCGGCCUAUAUGUUAUGGCCAAAUCUAGAUGUGUUACGAAAAAAAGUUUAUAAAAUGACUUCCUUGUUAUUGGCAAACCAUCGUAACCAUUAUUACUUAGUAUAUCUGAUUUGUUUGGAAAACUUAUUGAUAUACUUAUUUGAUUUAAAAUCGUUGCUCGCUUAUGCCUUUUUAUUAAACCAAAUAUUUUGCAGCGGAGUUUCUUUACAACAUCAUAUUUUGGAAAAUCAAAUUGUUUCUUGAAAAUCGUUAUUUUAGAAAAGUUUUCAUUUUCAGAAAAAUUAUUUUAUCAGUUGUUAUGCUGAGAAAACAAAAUAAAAUCCAAAACCAAAAAUAAUCGCAAAAAGUCUAGAGAGUCCCAAAAUGACAAUACUCUUAAAACUAGACAAGCUUAAACUAAUUUUAAAAGAAUGAAAUUUUACAGAAAUGUGGACACCACUGAGCUUCCGUCGCACCGACCCACCUAAAUCUGAGGGUUACUUGAACAGAACAAACAAACAGAGAGUGAGUUUUGAAACUUAGUGUCUAACGCAUAUAUAAACAAAAAUUCAGAAUCAAUCUCAUGCAGAACAGAUACAAGUGUAAACCUUUUAUAAAAUUAGAAUUGUACAGAUACAAAUAUGCAACAUCCUACCCUCAUCCUCUACACACCAACUCCGACCAUCCUAUCACACCACGUGGGGUAUAAAAUACCCAUCCAGCCCUACACACCGUAUAGUGUUUAUAUGACACUUUUUGGAAUAAUCGCAGCAGAGUUGCCAGUAUAUAUGCGAGAUAUCACCUCACAUAGAACACUUCCUCCUCAUAAUACAAAUCCCGCCUCAUAGCUAGAUACAGACAAAAUAUGAUGUAAAAUAAAUUAACAGAUACUAGAGUUAACAUAUCACGCGUGAGCGUAUAAUAGAUAUUACACAUGCUUAUGCAUAACAAAAUAGAUCAUACAUAUUGUAUUCCAUAAUACUCAUAUAAAUGUUAUUUACGUCAAUCUCAAUCUAACAGAGUAGCAGAUUUCAUGCUUUAACGCUUAUACCACACAUAUAGACCCUAUAGAAGGCCCACAGUCGAUCGAGACAACAUGUAUGUCGCUAGGGAAAAAAUUUGUAAUUUGGGCCCAUAUACAUGUAUGAGCCCACACACCCAAAAUGGCCUUGCCCAUGUGGCUCACCAACCUAGCACUCAGCCCAUACGGUCCAAAAUGGCCUAGGUCGUGUGUCACACACAGCCGCAUGUUGCACACAGCCUACCACAUAGCCAGUCACAAAACUGUUUGGAGUUGAAAAGCCCAAUUUUUGGCUUUCGUCAAUCAUCAUUUUCUUACGUUUUCAUUACACACCUGGUUUGAUUCUGACGCAAAAGCAACCCUAUGUCCACCGAAACCUAAAAAUAGCAUUCCAACGCCCAAUUUCAGUGAACAUUUACAAAACUCAAACAAAAACUAUCCAAAAACAUAGCCUCACAAUAGCAUCCAACGCACUCGCACACUUAUCGUCAACAAAUAGGAAACACCCAACACUCAAUUCGUUGGCGGAGCACCAAUUAUGAUAAUGCAAAAAUUUUAUGGAUUCUCAACACUAUCGAUCCGAAUGUAAGAUUGAUGCUUUCCAAUUAUGAUAAUGCGAAAAUUUUGUGGGAUGGUUUACAUGAAUUUUUUUUGUUGUCAACGAUCAACGUAUUCAAUAAUUAAAAUAAAAUAUUAGUCGUUUUUAGAAAACCAAGACUAUGAGUGUUGUAGUUUAUUUCAGUAAAUUAAAGGUUUUGUGGGAUGAACUAGAUAAUCAUGAACCAUUGAUUUGUUGCAAGUGUGGACAAUGUUUAUGUAACUUAGGGAAGGCGCAUGAACAAUGUCGUGAGCAUGAUUGACUUCAUCAAUUACUUCUUGCUCUCUAUUGUAAUUGUUAUGCUCAAACUAGGUUUACACUGUUUUACCAAGAUCCUUUGCCUUCCUUAAAUCAGGCAUUCCAACAAAUUACUUAGGAGGAACAUGUACGUGGAAUUACACUGAUUAAGGAAGAGAAGUCUGAUAUUUUAGGCUUUGCUAUGCGUACAGAGGGUCAUAACAAAGGCCGAGCUAAUUGUAUUGAUAAGUCAACCUUGUUGUGCACUCAUUGCCAUCGCAAAAGGCAUGAGAUGGCUACCCAUUUUGAAUUACAUAGCCACUUGGAUUGGCGGCUUAAGAAGUAUGGGAAGCCAGAGAAGAAAAGUGAUGAUCGUGGUGGUAAGACAAGUGCCACAUCUUCCACGUAAGUGUUUUAUUUCAAAGGAUCACAAUUAAACAUUAGAUUUCUCAUUUUUAAUUUUUUUAUUUUUUUAACAGCUACGUAAUUAACGAGUACCAAUUUUGGGUGUUGUAGGGGUUCUAUAACUUUCCCUAUAUGUAAUCGACUCUUGCACCCACUUUUUUUUCUCUAGAAUUCAAUGCAAACCUUAGAUUUAUCUUUUUAAAAGAAUUUUAAAAUCUCUUUAUAAAAGACGAUUUUUUUAGGUGACCAAUCACACUUAAGAAAAACAAAUCGGUGGCAACUCCUUUCUAAUAAAUGUAAAAAACUUUUUAAACAAAAUAAGGUUGAAAUAAUCUAGUUGUCGUUAUACUUUGAUAAAAUUUUAGAUUUAGUCCUUAUACUUAAAAGGUUAAAAAUUAAGUCUUGUUUUUAUUUAAAAAUCUUAGUCCUAUCGUUAAUAUUGUUUUUUUUUGUCAAAAUUUGUCAAGUUGACAUAUUAAUUAGGUUUCUCUUAUAUAUCGUGGUAUAUGACUAACACAAAAUAAACAAGUUGACAAAAUCUACAAAAAAUAUCAAAGAUGAUAAUAGUUUAAUUAAAAUUUUUAAAUUAAAAAAGUAAGGGAUUAAAUUUAUAACUUUUAAAGUACAAUGAAUGAAAUUAUUGAAAUACAAGAACUAACAACAUAUUUUAAAAUAUUACUAGUAAAUUAUAUAUCUACAACAAGAAUUGUAACCUCUUAUAUUAUAUUCUUGUAUCUAUUUUUGCAUCUUUCAUUAUAAUAUGAUUUAUUAAUUUUAAUAUUUUUAUAGAAUAAUAUGCUUUAAAUAGUUUUUUGUAUAAUUUAUAAAAAUUAUAAUAAACUUACAAAAUAAUUUAAUGAUAUUUAAUUAUUAACCAAAAAAAAUGAUAUCAUAUAUAUUAUGUAUAUAUUAAGAUUCCGAAUCAUUAAUUAUAUAUCUACGCAUUAUAAUAAAUUCAUCUUUCAAAAUUUUCCUUAUAAUUAAAGCAUAAAUUAUAUUUAUAAUAUUAUAAAUAUAUUUUAUCAUAAAUAUUCUUUCAAAUAUUUUUUAAUGUUUAAUAAUAAGUUAAUUUAUAAAAUAUUUUUUCAAUAAAUUAAUGUGAUGAGAUCGUUAGGUGCUUGGAUUUGGUGAAGGGGGAUGAAGAGAAAAGGGAUGGAAGUGAAUAAAAAUGUUGAGAAAUCGAAAGGGUUAGCGAGGGAAGCCGCCAUGAAAGGUGGUUCAAUGGAUAUGAACCAUCAAGCUUUUGUGGAUGAUGUUACUCAAGGUUGUUGCAAGUAAAUUAAAAAAUAUUUUUUUAAAUUAUUUUUUUGUUAAAAAACAUUUUUUAUUUUUUAUGUGGCAUGCCACAUUAUCAUAGUAUCAUGUGACAACUUCUGGUGAUUUCUGUCUGUAACAUUAGUCAAAUCAACAGUUAAAUCGUUCAACUCACAGUUUUUGUUAAAUGAAGAGGUCAAUUGGUUUUUUUGGAAUCAUUGAGUACUCAAUUGGUGCACUUUUAUCAUAAAGGCUAAAUUAAUUUUUUUAAUUUGUUAUUGUUGAGGGCUAUAACAAUAAAAAAAUUAAUGUAAAAUGAAAAAAAUGUUAGAGCUAAAUUUGUCAUUAUAACUAAAAUGUAAAACCAAAAUUUUUUGAAAAAUGAAAAAAAUGGAAAAUCACAAAUUCUAUCACUUAUGUUUGCUUAAAAUUAUAGUUUUGGUCACCAAUCUUUUGAAGUAAAUAUAUGGUCACCAAUAACUCACCUUAAAGUUAUACCCCUACGCAAGAAAGGAUUAAAUGACAUUGGAAUACCAUAAAACUUGUAUCUUUUUUUAUUCAUCUAAUACCAUUUUAACAUUUUCAUUUUAAAAAAUUGACAUAUCAUUUUGAAUUUGAUCUUUUUCAUGGUAUCUCAAAUUCAUUUAAUCUUUCCCUCUCUAAAAAAGCUAAUGUAACACAUUAAUGACAUCAUUUCAAACAAAGUUUUAGGUCAAAUUAUUCAUCUAGUCCUUGUAAUUGUUUUUAUAGGUGAAUUUCAUUAUUAUUCUUUUAUUUUCUUAGGCUUAAAUACACAUUUACCCCUAAUUUUAUCCCAUUCUCCUUAAUUGGUAUUUAUGGUUUAGAAAAUUUUAUAAAUAUAUUAUUUUUUAAGAAAUUAUAAGAAGAUUACAAAAAUUCCAAAAUAAUAUAAAAAAGCCAAGGAAAACCUAGAAAUUCAAAAAAAAAAAAAAAACGUCGACAUUGAAUUUGCUGUUUCACAUUCAAUUUUUGGAGAAGUAGAAUUUUCUAACUUAUUUUCCAUCAACUUGACUUCAAUUUUCAAUCACAAUCAAUUGCAUUCAAGAGCACCACAUCUGUUUGGAUGAAACAAACCUCUCAAUUUUAAGAUAAACGGGUCUUUAGGGUUAUAAAUUGAGGGCCUUUUCCACAAUUGCGGGUGAUUCGUUGAUAAUAACCUCAACAUUUCUGUAUCACAUUUCAAUUUUUAAUUUUUAGAGAGAUGAUUGGGUUACAAGACUGGUUUGAAGUGAAGAUAUUUCAAAAGAAGAUCGAAUACUCUACCAAUAGUCAUAAUUUAAAAUUCAGGUUAUGUUUCAUUUCAGCUAAGUUAAAUGUUAAGAUUGAGGUUAAACCUUUUAGAGGUUGCUCACAAAAGGAUCAAACCUUUAUAAAAUUGCCUAAAUGAAGGUUAAACCUUUUAAAAUAGACAAAUAAGGGCCUAACCUUUUAAAAGGUGUUCAAAUAAGGGUUUCUCAAACGUUGUAUAUCAGGUUAUGUGUUUUACUCUAAACACAUCGACAUUUACCUAUUUUUUCUAUAAAUUUGGUUGAAGUGCAUGAAAAAUCCUUAUUUGAGCACUUUUGUAAAGGUUAAUCUCUUAUUUGACCAUUUUGAAAGGUUUGAUCCUUAUAUAAGUAACCUCUAAAAGAUUGAGCACUAAUUUGACAAGUUUGAGAAAUAUCUAAAUUUGUUUUCAUGAAUCAAGAAAUUAAAAAAGAAAUGUUGAGAAAUAUUUUAGAGAUUCUUAGCUUUGACAAGUUCCCUCCACCAUCUCCCUGCCUCCAGUCCCACCUCUUCUCUUAUGCUCCUUCCAGCUUCUUGCCUUUUGUGUGUUGAAAAUUCAAAGGAACAAAAUAUCAACCUACAUCAUAAGGCACGAUCGCCAGAACUUUACUUUCUAGCCUGUCGAUCCGAUCCAAUCCAAUGAAAGAAGAACAAGGAGUCUUAAGAUCUGUCAACUUUAUUUCAUUUUCAUUUUCUUUGUCAUUUUCUAUGUUUCAUGUCGAAUACAAUGAAAGAAGAACAUAGAAAAAUGUGGCCUAUUUAUUUCCCAAUCAUCAUGAAAUUACUUGCCAUUGACUUAGAAUUUUCUCACCAAUUUUCAAGCAAUCUGACAUGAUUUCUCAAUCACAAUUAAUUGAAUUCAAGAUCUUUUUAGAUGACACAAACAUUUCAAUUUUAACACAAACCAAUAUUUCGGUUAUACUUCAGUGCUUGACAAGCACUUUCACAUUUGUGGGAUAAGAACUCUUAACAUUUUAGGAUCACAUUUAAUUCAAUUGCAUUUAAGACCUCAUGGUUUUAUUCUAUAAUUUCAGUCUUAUCAGCCUUUUCGGAAACAAUAAAACGUCGACAUUAAAUUUGUUGUUGAUGCAUUCAAUUUUUUGAGGGGUCUUUGGAGUUAUAUGUGACUUUAGCAUUGACUGACUUUUUUAUAAUUUAUCUUUUAUAAUAAGGUAAAUAUAUUAAUUUUAAUAACAUCGACAUGUUUUUUAGUAGGGUCGAGCAAAACCCAAUUAAAAUCGAUGAUAUUGGCUUAGUUGACUCGGUCAAGUCCAUUAGAUUGAUAAAAUCAUUUUUAAAAUCAGUUAUAAUGGAUAAAGGUAAUUAAUUAUCGAGUAAUGAAAUACAUAAUCAAAUCAAUUGAUUUUGUUAGAAACUAAAAGAAAAAGGGCUAAGCUGAAAAUUGAUUGCCCUUUAUUAAAAUUAACGAAUCUGUCUUUUACGUAUUAGAUAAUAUGAACAUCGCAUAUAUAAUAAGAAAAAUUACGUAUGAUUAUUUAUUAUCAUAAAAGGUUAGUUUAAAUUUAAAGUAAUCUAAUAUGUUUAUUGAACUUCAACUAUUAAAUAAAGUAUAAGCUAAAUAAGUAUAAAUAUUCUAGAAACCAUUUCUAACUGAUGAUAGGCUAAUUCGAUUAAUUUAUAAAAACUAGAUAGUAGGGUUAUAGUCCUCAAACUACACCUAAUUUAAUAACAUUUAUAUUUUUUUUAGCCUUAAACAUUUAUAGUUUUUGUUAAUUUGGUCCUUACUCUUUAAAAUUACAUAAAAAUUGCAAAAAAAUUAAAAAUUAAUUUUUAUCAUGAUUUUAAUAACAUUUAUAUUUUUUUUGUGGUUUGGUAACUUAUCAACUUGACUCUUACUUGUAACCAACUUUUCUAACCUUUUUCGUACCCUUAACCUAAGUCCCGUUACAAUUUCUAAAGACCUCUUGAUUGGUGUAUCAUCUCGAUUUGUUUUUAUAGUGGUGGAGAUUUGUUUUUUGUAGUGGCAUGAUUGCCAGAACUUUACUUUCUAUCCUGUCGAUCCGAUCCAAUGAAAGAAUAACAAAGAGUCUUAAGAUCUGUCAACUUUAUUUCAUUUUCAUUUUCUUUGUCAUUUUCUAUGUUUCUUGUCACAUACAAUGAAAGAAGAACAUAGAAAAAUGUUGCCUAUUUAUUUCCCAAUCAUCAUUCUAACAGGCCGAAUUAGCCCAGGCCCAAACAUUAAUAAAAUGUCCAGAUUACAAAAUAACCAACCAAAAAUUAAAAGCCCAAAAUAAUAAAAUAAAACCCAUUACAUUAACCCAAAACUCCAGCCCAAUUACAUUGAAGCCCAAAAAAAUAGUUUUUAGAAACCCCUAGGGUUUCUGGAACAAUCCGCGCCGCUCCUCCAUCCGCUUCUCCACGCACGCUGCACCUUUCCACGUGCGCCUCCAGCUGGCAGUGUACCUCCAAUGCAACAAACAAAGCAACAAGCAGCAAAAGAAAUGGAAAAACAACAAAAAAAAAAAGAAAGGAGCAACAAUGUAUAACAGAUUGAUAACAAAUAAUAGAAAAAAUAGCAGUAAAUAGGAAAAAAAAUUAAAAAAUAAUGAGGGUAAUUUCAUUUUUUUCUCUGUUUUGGCUAUAAAGAGAGCCGGUCAAAAUCUCUAAAGGGGGAUUUAGAAAUCAAUCAGAAAACAAGUAUUUUGUACCAACAAUUAGAGAAAAAAAAUACAAAAAUAGGGAUUGAAGGUUUUUUUUUCUUUCGUUUCGAUUUAUUUUAAAAUAGCAUAGAAAAUAAAAAGAAGGCUUACCUUGCGACGCCUUCAGAUCCUCUCGAAAAGGGGCUAAAAGGCCCUAUGUGGCACAGAUUUGACCACUGUUCACGGUGGAACCGCAGCGGAGGCGCAGAGGAUUGGCAUCAAUUUAGGCAGGGUUUGAAACCCUAGCAGAGAAAAAAUUAGGGUUGAUAGAUUUUUUUUAAAAAAAUGGCAAAAUGUUGUUUUAAAAAAUUUUGUUUUAAAAAAAAUUGUUGCUUUUAUAAAGGGUGUAAAACGGCGUCGUUUAGGGCAUGUUUCGAUGGCCCCAAAACGGCGCCUUAUAAGGCAACCCCCGACGACCCGACCUGCUCCAUGGGGGAUCCGCGUGGUUUUUGUUAAAUGGGUUAUGUCUAACCCUGGCCCUUCUACUUUUUAUACUUGUUUUAAUUUGAUCCUCUUUUUAUUUAUUUUUAUUUCUUUAAAUUAAGCCUGAUAAUUUUUUUCCAUUACAUUUUAAUCCUUAAUGAAACGGCGCGUUUUAGAGGAGAAGGGAAAAUUACCCUUCUAGUCCCUUCUUGUUAUUCGAGUGUUCAGAAGGGUCCUUUUUUGUUUAUUUUUUAUUUGCCCCAAAAUUUUGUUUUAAAGCUUAAUUUAGUCCUAUUUUGUUAUUUUAGCUAUUUUAUUAUUAGAUUAAUUAAUUUAAUAUUAUUAUUACUGCUAUUAUUUUACCCCUAUUAUUUAUAUAUUUAUUAUUAUAACUAUAUCAUUAAAUCAAUUAGUUUUUACAUUAUUAUUUCCAUUCUGUUUUUUAUUUACUUACUUAAAUACUUUAAAUGCAUUUAUUUUAUUUCUUAUUUUUUUAUGAAAUUUCAAAACUUUAGACUAUUUUUUUGUUACUAUAACCCUAAUUUCAUUCAUUUUAUAAUAGUUUUUUUUUAAAAUAUUUCUUAGAUUAAUUCCCUCGAUGUUAUUUUGUAUAUUUAUUUAUCUUUUUAAAUUUUCGAUAUUGUCUUAUUGUAUUAUUGUUGUUACUAUCAUUAUUCAUUAUUAUUGUUGAUUUUAUUCUUCUUUGAUUAAUGUUUAUGUUAGAGUAAUAGGUGUUAUGUGAUCAUUGUUAUUAUAUGUUAUAAUUUGUUGACACUCGUAUUGUAGUCAUUCGUCAGCUUAAUAUUUUGAGUAACAUUUUAAAUAUUACAUUAAUUUUGACCCAAAUGCAUAAUUUUUUAAUAAGUAAUAUUUCGUAUUGUGGAAUUUGAGAGAUCAUUCCCUAACUUACGGGGUCUCGAUUUUUUUGAUAAAUCUGAAUAUAAGAACUAUUUUAAAAAAAUACGUUUUAAAAUUAUCUCGGGAAUUUAAAAAGAAGCGUGUUCUAACUUACGGAAUAUGAUCUUUUUUUAAAAAUCGAGAUAAUCAAAUAUCUUUCAAAUAAAUAAACUUUUCGUGUUUAUUCUCGUUUUAGGAUUUAAGAUAUUGUGUCCUAACUCACGGGACACAAUUCUUUUUCUCGAUUAACGUGAAAUACGCCCUUUUUAAUUUUAUCUUUUUAAGUGAUUUUAACAAAAGGAUUGUAUUUUAAAUCUCUUCAAAAUUUUCAAUUUUUCGACAUUGAGACAUUAACUAAUCAAUUAGGUACCAAUUUUGGGCGUUACAAGGGUGUUAACCCUUCCUUGUACAUAACCGACUCCCGAACCUAUUUUUCUGAAUAUUAUAGGCCAAAAUUGUUUUAAUAAAUUAAACCCUUAAGAGGUGACUCGAUCACAGCUCAUAAAAAUUAUCGGUGGCGACCCUUGUUUUAAAAAAGGUGGUUUCAACAGCUUGGCGACUCCGCUGGGGACAAAAAUAAGAGUCAAGCCGCGAGUUGAUUAUUUCUUAUCUUUUUGUCAGAAAUUGUGAAUUCGAUUUAAAUUUAUGAUCUUUUCAUUGCAUUUUAUGGUCUGCAUCAUUUUUAUAUGCUUGCUUUACUACUUCGAGUCUUUUAAUCUUCGCAUAUUGUAUUGCAUAACCGUUCGGUUAUACCCUUUUAAGCGGGAGUGAGAAAUUAUUCUUUCGUGAGGUUUUCACCUUCGUAUAGGAUAGUGGAUUACUUUCAGGAUACAUCCAUACCUAUGUCUUCGUGAGAUUCUCAUCUCCGUAUAGUCAUAGGGAAAUGUAUUCCCCUGAACUGAACUCAGUCCGUAUGAGCCUAUAAUGGGUGAGGAUUGAGGAAUCUGCUGGUUCAGGUACCCUUUCUUUAGAACUAAACCGCAUGUAGUGAGCCCUAAGAGCAUACCCUAGGUAGAACCACUCCAAACCCCUAGUGGUCACCCAAAUAGGUGCUCUAUUUAUUUUUGCUUGCUUGUUUUUGCCUUGUACUAACCUAUUUGUUAUGGUUAUGAGUGCAUUGCAUUUUUAUCAUAAAAAAGAUGUGUUGAUUCACGUUCAGUUGCUAAAUAGAGAGCUUGUCAUGGAAAACGAAUUUCUUGAUAAAGUGGAAGACAAUGCGGUUGUCCGGAUAUGGUCCAAGAAAAUGUGAAGAAAGAAGGGUGAUAGUCUAAUGGAGGACUACACGACCUUGCUUUGUUGCCUGAUGAUUCAAGUUGACAAAGAUUAUUCGAGAGUCUUCAAUGUCCCGACCUUUUUAAAGAAGCUAACGAGCGUCACGAGGAUGAGCGAGUAAUGAGUUGCGGCCCGGAUCAAGCAAAAAAAAGAUAGAGGAGACACCCUUUUUGAAGAGUUCACGAGAUUUAUCUUAACAUCUAGACGAAGAAAAAGAUCAAUCUCUUUGCCUAGAGUAUGAGGGCAAAGCCGUAUAUAUCCGCUUUAUGUAAAUAAAUUUGUUUUCUAGUAAAGUUUUUCUAAUAGGAUUGAAUCAGAAUCAACGUCUCUUUUUGCAUUCAUUCCAUUCAUCUGCAUUGCAUUUCAUUGCAUCUAGAAUUUCACAAAAGGACCCUAAUUAAUCGAAAUUGUUAUAGCUACCUUGAAAAACUAACGAAAAUUUACCAAUUAAAUAUUCCUAUGGUACCCAUUGCAAAACUAAAGUAAUGGAUCAAAUAUUAGAAAGAUUAGAACAAAUGCUGAAGGAUAAACAUAACUGCUUUGGCUUAGGGUACAAGCCAGAUACAAGACAAAGAAGAAAUAGGAAAGGAGAACACGUUUGAGCGGGGAUGAGGUCAAAUGGGAGGGAUUAUUCAUCCCAGGCGAAGAAUGCCAAGAGAAGAAAAUAUUGAAAACAUGUUGGGAAACGUUCACAUCAAUGCCAUAUACGAAGAAGCAAUUGAAGGAGUGACCUUGUUAGAUAUCCGCCCUUAUGAACCUAAGAGUGUGCUAAACAAUUGGACUGCAGAAGAAAUUCUUGUAGUGUUUAGAGCUUACUCAUAGUAAUGUUCAGAACACACUUGUUGCUUUUAGCCUAGAAGUGAUAAGAAUCCCUCUGUGAAAUAGGCUCAUGUAUAAACAUCAUUAUUUUAAUGAAGUACAUCUUUGCAUUCAUUUUGAGCAAAUAUUCUUUUAUUCUUUUCAUACGAGUAAUUAUUUUGGAUUCUUUAAUUCUUUUGGGAUUUUCUUCCAAAAUCAUUCUUUUAUUACAUCCAUAAUCAUACUGUACAAAUAAUGUAAUAGCCUGAAUUUUCAGUGGUGUCGGAAUGGUGAUUCAAGAUCACUAAGUCUGACAAAUGAGUAGAAAAUAUUAUUAAUUUAGUAAGAAUAAGUAAAUGUGAAGUUAGGAAAAUUUUUGAAAUAGUGAAUAGUGUACUAGGAAUAAAUAUUAAAAUAAUUAAAAUAAAAAAUGAGGUAUCGAGACCUCGAAGAUUUUAAACCAAGCCAUAAGUACUUUUAGAAGUAUUUUUAGAGUGUCAUUGAGUUGGUAUUAAAGUUUCGUUAGAAAAUUUUAACGCUCGGAUAGUUAAUUAACCAAAAAGGACUAAAUUGAAAAUAGUGUAAAAUUUGUUAAAUUGUGAUUAAAUAGCUUAAGUGAUUAAAAAGGAGGGAUUUAAAAGGCAAUUAGGCCCAAAUUAUAUGGGCUGGACGGUUGGGUAAGAAAAAUCAGCAGAAUGUAAGGAGAAACAGGGGCAAAAUUGGAAACUUAACAAAUUAAACAUAUAAAACAAAGACAAAAGUGAAAAAUCUAGAGAUCUGCUCACAAUUUAUCAGCAAAAAUGCCAUAGGAGGUCUGAAAGAAGCUGGUUUUUCAUAUAUUUGAAUCAUGUAAGUUUAAUUCUUGAUUAUUUCUUCUAAUUUUUGUGAUUUUGAUACUUUUACAAUUAGGUCCAACUAAUUAUUUCAUUAGUUUUUGAUUUCAUGGCUGAUUUUGAAAGUUACCAUUGAUGAGUGUUGGAUUUUUAUGAUGAAUAAACAUGGAAUUAAAGCUUUAAUUUUGUUAUAUGAUGAUUUUAUUAAGUAAUUUUGAUAGAAAUUGAUUUUUGGGACCUAAUUGUGAAAAAGUUUGGAAUUAGGGUUUGGUGUUGCGGUUUUGAAUAUGAAAGUCUAUGUAGUAGUCUAAAAUAGUUGGAAAAGGUGUUAAUUGAGAAAAAUUAGAUCAAUUGAGGGGUUAAUUGAGUAGGACCAAAUUGUAAAAACUGUAAAGUUUGAGGUAAAAGUGUAAUUUCGAAAAUUUAAGGGCAUAAAUUGUGAAGUGAAUUAGAAUAGAAUUAUAUGCUGAUGAAUGAAUAAAUUUGUAUUUUAGAUCGAGAACCCGAAGCAAGCCGAGGAAAAGAAAAAGUAGUUGAUUAGUCCCUGAACUUUUACAAAUUCUGCAAAUCGACCCAGGUAAGUUCAUAUGGCUGAAAUUUAAUGAUUAAAUGUUAAUUUCAUGAAUUAUGUAAUGUAUGAUGAAAUGUAUUUAGUGUUGAAAUGAGAGUAAAAUAAAAAUGCGAAAAUCGAAUAAAUGAUCAAAUUAAGCGGAACGCCGGAUUUGAGUACUUCUGAUCAAGAGACAAAGUGAUAAGUGGUAGCUUUAGCUACACUUAUCUGAUCAAGUGAAAAAGUGAUAAGUGCUACACUUAUCUGAUCAAGAGACAAAGUGAUAAGUGGUAGCUUUAGCUCACUUAUCUGAUCAAGUGAAAAAGUGAUAAGUGCUAUACUUAUCUGAUCAAGUGACAAAGUGAUAAGUGGUAGCUUAGCUACACUUAUCUGAUCAGGGCCAAAUGAUAAGUGAUCAUACGUAAGACCAUAGUUAUACUAUGGCCAAGUGAAAGUGAAGUACUCAAUUUUCCGUAACCGUUCCUUAAUUUUGAUCAAGGAUGGUAAGUGACAAAUAGGCCCAAAGAAAUUAUGGUAAAAGAAUAAGUAGUAGUGAGUUUAUACCAAGGAACUCUCCAAAGAUUGUGGUUGACAAGUAAACUUAGUAAUGGUGUAUAUUGUAUAAGUGUACAAAUGUUUGGUAAGAUUUAUGUUUGUGCCUAUGAACUUACUAAGCUUUUCUAUAAGCUUACAUGUGUGUGUUUAUUGUUUUUCUAGAUUAACGUAUUUAUACAUUCGGAGGAUCGGAUCUACUUCGAGAAUCACACUAUCCAGAUAUACUCCGGUAGAUUUUGUUAAACAACUUUUUGGAUUUAUAUGGCAUGUACAUAGAAUUGAAGUAAAAAGUAAUAGAAUGAAUGACUGAGUAUGCAAAGUAAAUUUGAAUGUGAUGGUUGUGUUAGAUAUUGAAAAAUACAUGUUUUUAGUUUGAAAUGGUUGAUUGGCUGAACUUCGUUAGUAUUCAAGUGAAGUAGUUGAAAUACUGGAAUUGGUUGUGAUUUGAAAUUUGCAGGGAAGGUUAGAUAAAUAUAAAGGGGUUAUAUUGAUUUUUUUUAAAAAUUUCAAUGGAAUAAUUUUUGGACAGCAGCAUUGAUGUAACUUUUAAAAAUCACCAAAAAUAGUGGAAAUAGAAUUAGAAGUUGAAUGAGAUAUGAAAUUAAAUCUGAAUGAGUCUAAUUUCACAUGAAAGAAGUAGAAUAAGAAAAAGAGUUAUAUAUUUUUAGAUAUUUGAAUUUUAGUGAAACAGGGCAAGAAUGUUUUUGAAGUCCCCUGUUCUGACUUUAGAAAUUUAGUAAAAAUUGUACAAAAGGAAUUAUGAAUUAUAAUUUAUAUGUUUAAAUUCCGUAAUGAGUAUAUUUUAAGUAGAAAUAAUUGGAACCACCAUAUGAAGUCUUUGCAAUGAGAUAAUUGAAUUUUAGCGACAAGAGGUCAGGAUAGUCAAUUAGUGAAAUAGGGGAGACUUCAACUAAUAAACUGUAUUAAUUUGCUAAACCAAAAAUUCUGAAAAAUUUAUGGUGAAUAUACAUAUGAGUCUAGUUUGAGGGAAAAUUUACGGAUCUAAAUUUUUAGUUUCGUAUCUUGAGUUAUAAUUAUUUUAGUGACUACUGCGCAUGUGGACAGCUUUGUUGUGAAUGGUGAAAUUAAUUUUUAAAGUAAAUUUUUAUGCCCCGAACUUUUAAGUUCAGUCAAGUAACGCCUUAUGCUCGACUCCGGCAACCGUCUUGGGUAAGGGGUGUUAUAAAUAAUUAUUCUUAAAUUCAUACAUUCUUUGUAUAUUAUUUUGUACCUACAAUAGGUCCCUAGAUAUUAACAACAUGAGUGACGUUGCUACAGACUCAGAAUUUCCUUUUAAACAAGACAUGUGUUUAGAGGGAUCCCAUGGCUUUGAAGAUGACGUAGACUGUGGCUUAUCUCUGAAUUUGUUAAGGAUGGUAAAACAAGAGGAGAAGCAAAUCCUACCUCACAAGGAAUCAAUGGAAAUUGUGAGCUCAGAAGGGGGAAAAGAGGUGAAGAUUGAGACUAACAUUGCCACAAAGACAAAGCAUGACCUCGUUGAGUUACUCCAAGAAUUUAAAGAUGUCUUCGCAUGGUCAUACCAGGAUACUCCCGGGUUAAGUACUGGCAUUGUAGUACACUACCUUCUUAUAAAAGAAGAUUGCAAGCCAGUUUAGCAGAAACUCUGAAGGAUGAUGCCUGAUAUUGUGCUAAAAAUAAAAGAAGAAGUUAAAAAGCAAUUUGAUGUUGGGUUCUUACAAGUGGUUAAAUAUUCAGAAUGAGUAGCCAACAUCGUCUCAGUCUCUAAAAAAGAUGGGAAAGUACGAAUGUGCAUAGAUUACAGAGACAUGAACAAGGCCAGCCAAAAAGAAAAUUUCCCAUUGCCUCACAUUGACACUUUGGUGGAUAAUACAGUAGGCUACUCACUGUUUUCCUUCAUGGACGACUUCUCUGGAUACAACCAGAUAAAGAUGCAUCCCAAAAACAUGGGAAAGACUACAUUCGUGACCCUAUGGGGAAUGUUUUGCUAUAAAAUGAUGUCAUUCGGAUUAAAGAAUGUGGGAGCGACGUAUCAAAGGGAAUGGUAACCUUGUUUCAUGACAUGAUGUACAAGGAAAUCGAGGUUUAUGUUGGCGAUAUGAUUGCAAAAUCCAGAACAGAAGAGGAACAUGUGUAGGCCCUAAGAAAAUUAUUCUUAAGACUGAGAAAGUUCCAGCUCAAGCUUUCCAACGAAAUGCACAUUCAGAGCUAGGUUAGGAAAGCUGUUAGGCUUCACAGUUAGUGAAAAAGGAAUCGAGAUCAACCCAGAUAAAGUCAAGGCGAUACGAGAUUUACCUCUACCAUGCACUCAGAAGGAAGCUCGAGGUUUCCUAGGAAGACUGAAUUACAUUGCUCGAUACAUUUCACAACUAACCGAAAAAUGUGACACCAUAUUAAAAUAAAAAUAGAUUAAAUUGUAAGUAAAACAUAAUUUAAACAUAUGAAUACAUCAAAUUAAUAAUACUAAAUGAAUACAGUUAUUUAUGAUGAUGUUGUUGCCAAUUCCUAAUUUGGUGUCUAGUUAAUUUGUGACAUCAUAAAUUUAAGUGAUAAAUUUAAGGUUUUAUGUAUUGAUGUGGAUUCAAAUAUCACCAUAAUUUUUGUAAAUAAAAAACUAAUAAGAUAACUUAUAUUAAGUACGAAAGGGUAUUUUUAUAAUUUCUCUAAUCGAGUUGGUGCCCGGUUGACUCAUGACACUAACUCAAUCAGAAGCUUUAAUAAUAAUAUAGAUAUUCAUGUUAAAAAAACAAAAAAAAAGUACUUUAGUUCCAAAUAAUUAUAUAACAAGUAAAUUUAUAAUUGAUGAAUAAAUUUAUAAAUAAUAUAUUUAUAUGAUCUAAUAUAUUAUAUUUAUAUUAAUUAUAUAUCAUCUACAAACUUUGAAGAUCAAUUUAUUAAGUAAAAAUGAAAUUGUUAACACUAAAUCAAUUUUUAGAUUUUGUAUAGAUGAUUUAGUGAUGAUAAAAACAUUAUUAACACUAUUUUUUAAUUAACAAAAAAUUAGUGAUAUAUUUAAAUUAUAUUUAUCAUUUAUUAUUUUUAAUAAUAUUUUUUAAUUAUAUGAAGUAAAAUUAUAUUGUAUACUAAAUAUGGUACAUAUACUCUAAUUAUAACUUGAAAUUUUAUUAUAUAAAUUAAUAUAAAUUUGAAUAACAAAAUAAAAAAAAACUAAUUAGAAUAAUUUUAAAAAACAUUAUUUAAAAGUAGUUAAAAAUCACGUGCAACAGGUGAGAUCAAUGGUCUUUAGAGAAGAAAUGUUGAAGAUCAAAGUUGGAAUCUGGCCUAUAAGGCCUUUAAUUGCUUUAAUAUUAAGCAGUUCCAAACCAAGAAGAUUACCGAUUUCCUCAGGAAUUUGACCUGCACACAUGGUCGAAAAAUCAAUGUGUCAAACUACCUAUUUUGUUAGCAUAAGUCAAAGAGGUUUUCUUUUCUAUUCUACAUAAUUUGCAGAUGUUAGAUUUUAAUAUUUUUAAGCAUAUUUGUUUUCAUCAAAUUAACUAUUUUGAACUAUUUUGCCUUGAAUGAAAUAAAAUGCUCUUACUUUUGUUAUCUAUUACUAAUCAAACUCUUUUAUAAAAAAAAUACUUUAAACUAAAGAAACCAAGAAAAUUCAAUACCUUCUAGGUUAUUCAACCCCAAAUAUAAUUCUUUGAGUCGUGUCGGAUUUCCAAUACUUCUUGGAAUGAUCCCCAUCAAUUGAUUAUAGGAAAAUGACAAAAUUUUAAGGUUGUUGCAUUUGCUUAUACUUGACGGAAUGUUACCAUAUAAUUCAUUCCGACUCAAGUAAAGCCCUUCAAGCUUGGAAAGAUGUGACACAUAUCAUUAGGCAAGCUACCUGAUAGGCUAUUGUUGGAGAGAUCAAUGGCCUUCAGAGAAGAAAUGUUGAAGAUCGAAGUUGGAAUCUGACCUGUAAGGCCUUUAAUUGCUUUAAUAUUAAGCAGUUCCAAACCAAGAAGAUUACCGAUUUCCUCAAGAAUUUGACCUGCACACAUGGUCGAAAAAUCAAUGUGUCAAACUACCUAUUUUGUUAGCAUAAGUCAAAGAGGUUUUCUUUUCUGUUCUAUAGUAAUUUGGUGAUGUUAGAUUUUAAUAUAAUUCAGCACAUGUUUUUCAUCAAAUGAAAUAAAAAGUUUUUCCUUUUGUUAUCUAUUACAAAUCAAGCUCUUUUAUUAAAAAAAUACUUUAAAUUCAAGAAAUCAAGGAAAUUAAUUACCUUCUAAAUUAUUAAACCCCAAAUAUAAUUCCUGGAGUCGUGUUAGAUUUCCAAUACUUCUUGGAAUGAUCCCCAUAAAUUGAUUAUGGGGCAACAACAAAUUUUUAAGGAUGUUUCAUUUGCCUAUGCUUGACGGAAUGUUACCAGAUAACUCAUUGCUAUGCAAGUGAAGCCCUUCAAGCUCGGGAAGAUGUUGACACAUAUCAUUAGGCAAACUACCUAAUAGGCUAUUCCUGGAGAGAGCAAUAGUCUUGAGAGAAAAAUGUUGAAGAUCGAAGUCGGAAUCUGAUCUGUAAGGCCUUUAAUUGCUUGAAUAUUAAGCAUUUCCAAACUAAAAAGAUUACCGAUUUCUUCAGGAAUUUGACCUGCAGACAUAGUCGAAACAUCAAGGUGUUAAAUUUCCUAUUUUGUUAGUGUAAAUCAAAGAGGCUUUUUAUUUUUUUUCGUUAUGAAAUAAUAUGGAUAUGUUCGAUUCUAAUCAUAUUUAAGUAUAUAUUAGUUCUUGAAAGAAUGAGUUCUUAUUUUUGGUAUUUAUAUUGCAAAUAUAUAUUUUUUUAAAUUUAAAAGAAGGGAGGGGGCAAAUGUGUUUAAACUAAAGACAUCAAGGAAAAGGCAUACCAAGUAUAAUUGUUUAAGUUGUGUCAAAUUCCCAAUGCUUUUUGGAAUGAUCCCACUAAAUUGAUUAAUAGACAAUUCCAAAAUUUGAAGGUUGCAGCAUUUGUCUAUACUUGAUGGAAUAGAACUUGAUAAUUCAUUUCUACUCAAGUAAAGCUCUUUCAGCUUGGGAAGAUGGACACACAAAUCAUCGGGCAAGCCACCAGAAAGACUAUUAUCACAAAAAUGAAUCCUUUUCAAAGAAGAAAUGUUAAAGAUGGAAGAUGGAACCUGGCCAGAUAAUUGAUUGAAUCCCAAGUUCAAGAUCUCUAGAUUGGACAAGUUGACAAGUGUUUGAGGGAUCGUGCCUGUGAAGUUAUUAUUUCUCAUUUCCAACCUUUGAACUCUGUGCAAGUUCCCAAGCCAUGGUGGAAUUUCCCCAUUAAGACGGUUGUAGCUUAAUCGAAUGAUCCUCAAACGAUGCAAUUGGCCUAAUUCUUUAGCCAGAUGGCCGUAGAAAUUGUUGUUGCUCAAGUCGAUAGAAAAUAGAAAUGAAAGAUUUCCAAGGUGUGGAGGGAUAGUACCCCUAAGAUUCAUGUUUGUAAGAUUAAUCAAAGCUACAACUCUUUCAUGGAUGAUGCCACAAGAAACACCAACCCACUUACAGACAGAGGUAGAGUUCGUCCAAUUGUUUGCCAACACAUUUUGAGGAUCGACAAUGCGAUCUUUAAACUCAAAGAGUGCAAACUGAUCGGAGUUGAGAUUCCGGACUGUCAUAGCCAAGGAAACAAUAGAACAUUGUAUGAAUAAAAGUGAAAGAAGAUGAAAGCAAGUGUUGUAGUUCAUGAUGGCAAGACGAAAUAAGCCAGGAAAAGGGAAGUUGAAUUGAUGAAGAAAUAGCCAGCCAACAUGCUUAAAUAGGCUUCAACCCUUGCACACUUCUCAUACAUAAAGUUCGCUGCCAUUACAACAAGAAAACUCAUAUCUCCAUUCGUACCUAUCCAUACUUUAUUUGACUAACUUUUCCCUAACAAGUGUUCAGUAAGGAGAUAAAUCAGUUUGGAGCUAUUCACCGGCUUCUCCAAUCUUGGUUUCAAACUCCUAACCCAUCAAUUCACUUUAAUUGAAACGAUAUACACGAGUCUUUCGGCUUAUAUUUUUAAUUUAAUUUUUGUUACUUUUCAUAAUAUUUUUUGAGAAAUCCAAAUAUUCCAGUCUGAAAUUUCUUCAUUGCCACGUCUAUCUCCUGGGUAAGUCCGUGGUUAGGCAGCCCACUUUGGGAGCAGGAUUGUAAUUGUAAUUCUAUCCGACUCAUUUUACUAUUUAGAAAUAUAAAAGUAAUAUUAUAUUAUUUUUUAUAUUUUUAUAAAUUUAAUUUUAAUUAUAAUUUUUAAACAAUAAAACGAGUCAUUUGUAUUUGCCUAGUCUAAAUUGAAUCAGGAGUCAAAAAAAUUUUAAUCAUAAUUUACUAUUAUUUUAAUUAAUUAAAAUUUAACCUACUACAACUAGUAGUUGCAGAAAAAAUGUCAUUCCUUUAGAAAAACGAAAAUCCUUUAGAAAAAUGAGAACUUAUGAAGCAUUCAAUAAGAGUCAUUGGAAUAAAUGGUAACGAAAUCAUAAUUCAAUAUAAAGCUAAAAAAUGUACCAAUCUAUAUAAAUAAUGUAAGAUUUGUGAUACCUAAAUUAUUAUAUUUUCCAUAAAUAUAUGAAGAUAUUUUAUUAGGAAAUAAUUUUAUAUAUAAAAUUUUUUAUUUUCUUUUGAUAGAAAUUUAAUUAUGUUAUCUGUAGAAAAAAAUAUUUAUAGAAAUAUUAUUAGUAGAAAAUCAUAAAUUUGUGUGUGGCAAAAAAAAUUCACCACCAAGAAAGGGGCAAAUUAAACAACUUGAAACAAGUCAUUGGUUGUUUAAAAUAUUAGAUAAUAAUUUCAGUGAAGAAUCAUUAAAAUUAUGACAAAAUAACCCUAGAUAUUGUAGUAUUAAAUUGGAAAAUCUCAAUAAUAUUAUUAGAGUAAAACCUAUGAUCUAUCUAAACAAGAUAUAGAAGAUUUUGAUAUACAAAUUAAGGUUAGAAAUCAUGCGGAAAUAAAAAAGAAAAAAAAGCUAGUAUGGUCAUUAAUUAUAAAAGAUUAAAUCAAAAUAUUAUUUUUUUAUAGUUACUUGAAUUAAUCAGGCUAAACAAACAAAAUAUUUUAGUAAAUUUGACUGCAAAUCAGGAUUCUAGCAAAUCAUGAUAACAGAAAAGUCCAAACCUUUAACGGCUUUUAGUGCACCCAAUGGACAUUACCAAUGGAAAGUGAUGUCAUUUCAAUUAUGUGAUGCACCACAAAUCUUCCAAAGACGAAUGGAUUUUAUAUUUAAUAAAUAUAAAAAAAUUCUAUGUAGUCUACAUAGAUGAUAUUUUUUAUAUUUUUAGAUACACUAGAAUUACAUAAGAAACAUUUAAAUAUUAUUUCUUAAGAAUUCAUAAAAUAUAGAAUCAUAUUAAACCCUAAAAAUAUAGAGUUAGAAAAAAGAGAGAGAAUUUUUAUAAUAGUGGAAAUAAAAAAUUGUCCUCAAAAGAUUGAAGAAAAAAAGAACUUCCAACAAUUUCUAAUAUAUUCCUCCCAAAUUUUCAGUUUCAAUUUUAUUACAGAAUUUCUUUGCCGACAAUAAGAAAUUAAGAGCGCUCUUUAAGUUGAAUAUAGUCCGUCAGAUAUGGCUAUCUAUAACAUGGAACCUUUGGUUUUCAAGCUGAAUAGGAGAAUUGAUUCACUUGAUAAGUAUGAAAAAUUGAAACUGCUAAAUUUAAGUGCACUAACUCUGGAUAUCAUCAUUAUUUUUCUGUACAUUAAAGUACCUGUUUGAUAUGCGAUUUCUGCCUCAAACUAUCAACAUCUUUAACAUCCUUUUGCUAUAGUUAGCAUGGGUACUUCCUUUUAGAUUAACAGUUAGGUUUGAACUGUGAAUUAGAUUUCUGUGGCUGCUGGGAUUGAAGAAGUUAGUAUGCGAAUGACAUUGGACAAAUUUGGCAAAGUCUUCUCCAUCAGUGAAGAAAACCCCUUGGCGUAUGAAAAAUGUUCACCAUCUUAGACAUUUGUUUUCUUAUUGUAAGAAUAUUUUUAACAUUGUAACUUUUAACAUUAUUGUAAGAAUAUUUUGAAUUAUACUUCAGUUAUCAAUUUAUAUCAUAUAUCUUUUGUUGAAUUUGAAGUAUAAUUUAUAUUUGCUGUUUUUGGUUAGAUUUCAUGCUAUAGGAAGGGUUGUAUAUGGAUAGAAAUUGAAUGUUACAAAUCUGCCAAAGUUAGUGGCGUUUUUUCAUAAGAGCUGCUAAAGAAUGCUAUUUUUGGCGGUGUUUGUAAUAAAAGAGCCGCUAAAGGUCAUGUUCUUUAGCGAUGUUUGUGGGUAAAGCGCCGCUAAAGAUCAUGUUCUGUAGCGGUGUUUGUGGAUAAAGCGCCGCUAAAGAACAUGACCUUUAGCAGCGUAUUUUCACAUAAACGCCGCAAAAUUUAGCGGCUUUGUCUAUAGCGACUUUUUUUGCAGCGCUUUAAGUUUUAGCGGCGCUUUUAGGCCUAAAAAAGGGCCGCUAAAAGCCUGUUUUGCUGUAGUGAGCAUAUUUACAUUUUCGUCCCAAUUUCAACUAACACCCCAUCUAUUUCCCACUUCCCUUUUUCGGGCAAUUUCAACUAACACCUUCAUAUCAAACAUAACUAUUUUUCAAUUUUUCUUCUUUAUUUCAUUAAUAAAAUUAUCAAUCUAUUUGUUUUUAAAUAUAUAAUUUCAUUAAUAUUUUUUAAAUUAUAAUAUAAGAGUUGUUGUUUAUUUAUAGUUUUAUUACAUUAUUUACUCUCUCUUUUCUAUCAAGUUUUUUAAAUUAUAAUAUAAGAUUUAUUUUAUCAAUUUGUGGCUUAUCCAGUAUUCAUCUAUUUUAAUAAUAACUUGAGUUCCAGUCAUUAUCAUACCAGAAAGAGUUCCAUUUAUUCUUUAUCGUAAAUUUUAUAAAAAAAUAUACAUUUUAUUAUAAUACUAUAUGUGUUACGAAUAAUAUUUUAUUGUGGAUGCCCAUAAUUUUCAAAGUUGUAACCUCUAAUGUAGUAACCUUAAUGAAAUUAUGAGGCUUUUAUAUUGUAAUCAAGCCUCUAUUUAUUCUUUGUAACUUAAACAGAAGCAUAUUUUCUAUUAUAUUGAUAUUUUUUAUAGAUAUAUAUAUAUAUAUAAGGAAUCAAAUAAAAAGUUAUUUACCUUUCUAUUAUAUUGAUAUUUUCUAUUUGAUUUGUUCUUUUCUUUCACUAUUCCAUAAUAUAUUAUCAGUACGAUUUUAACCAAGAGUAACAUGUUAUUAGAUUGUGUCAAAAUUUUGUUGAGAAUCAUUAGAUUGUUUCCUUUUUCUUCUAUUUAGCCCCAAAUUGCACCCCUACACAAAAUUCAACAAAAACAUGGAAAAAUUAGUGGUGCACUCUCAUAAAUUAACCAAUUUAAUUACAUAAAAUAUGUAACUUUAGCAUUUUAUCAAUCAUGUUCUUUAGCGGCAUUUGUGGGUAAAGCGCCGCUAAAGGUCAUAUUCUUUAGCAGCGUUUGUGAUAAAAGUGCCACUAAAUAUCAUGUUCUUUAGCGGCGUUUGUGGAUAAAGCGCCGCUAAAGAACAUGACGUUUAGCAGCAUUUUUUUACAUAAACGUUGUAAAAUUUAGCGGCGUUGUCUAUAGCGACGUUUUUUGCGGUGCUUUCAAAUAGUUUUAGCGGCGCUUGUAGGCCUAAAAAAAUGCCGCUAAAAGUCUGUUUUGCUGUAUGAGCAUAUUUACAUUUUCGUCCCAAUUUCAACUAACACCCCAUCUAUUUCCCACUUCCCUUUUUCGGCCAAUUUCAACUAACACCUUCAUUUCAAACGUAAUUGUUUUUCGAUUUUUCCUCUUUAUUUCAUUAAUAAAAUUAUCAAUCUAUUUGUAUUUUAAAUAUAUAAUUUUAUUAAUAUUUUUUAAUUAUAAUAUAAGAGUUUUUGUUUAUUUAUAGUUUUAUUAUAUUAUUUACUCUCUUUUUUCUAUCAAGCUUUUUAAAUUAUAAUAUAAGAUUUAUUUUAUCAAAUGGUGGCUUAUCGAGUAUUCAUCUAUUUUAAUAAUAACUUGAGUUCCAAUCAUUAUCAUACCAGAAAGAGUUCCAUUUAUUCUUUAUCGUAAAUUUUAUAAAAAAAUAUAUAUUUUAUUAUAAUACUAUAUGUGUUAGGAAUAAUAUUUUAUUGUGGAUGCCCAUAAUUUUCAAAGUUGUAACCUCUAAUGUAGUAACCUCAAUGAAAUUAUGAGGCUUUUAUAUUGUAAUCAAGCCUCUAUUUAUUCUUUGUAACUUAAACAGAAGCAUAUUUUCUAUUAUAUUGAUAUUUUUUUAUAGAGAUAUAUACAUAAGGAAUCAAAUAAAAAGUUAUUUACCUUUCUAUUAUAUUGAUAUUUUCUAUUUGAUUUGUUCUUUUCUUUCACUAUUCCAUAAUAUAUUAUCAGUACGAUUUUAAUCAAGAGUAACAUUUUAUUAGAUUGUGUCAAAAUUUUGUUGGACUUCAAGUAUUGGAAUUUAAUUGUUUAAGUUAAGAAUCAUUAGAAUCAAUGGCUAUUUGAGAUAUGCUUGAGGAUGAUCUCAUUCUCUUCAUCACAAAGGUGGAGGUUAGAAAAUCUUUAUGUUUAAACAUUUAUAGCUUUAAAGUUAUUUUAACCUCUUAUUGUGACCUUAUAAUAUUUUGUAAUUUUUUGUAUUAUGGUAUAUAAAAAAAAUCUAACCAUAGUGAUUGAUUAGUAAUAUGAAUUUGUUAUUUGUUAUGUUUAAUAUAUAUUUUAUUUAUACUUAUUCAUUUUAUUUUUAUAUGAGUAAAUGAAGUGUUUGAAGAUUCGAAAUUUUUAUCAUCCAAGUUGAAAAUAAGUGCAAAAGUGUACAUUAUUUAAAAUAAAUUACGCAUUCAUUAAUGUUAUAUGAUAAAAUCAUUACAUGUUCUAAAGAACUAAUAUUGCAUCAAACUGUAAAAAGCUCUUGAAGAGUUAAUAUUUUACCUCCUUGUGAUACAAAAUCAUAUACAAUAUGAUAUUAUUUUUCAAAUCGAGUAGAUAUAUGUUGAGGGAAAUCUUUAUGUGGUUUACAUUAAAACCAUGGAUAGAAAUGACAUGAGAUACUCGUGUAUUUUUAUUAUAAAUAUUCCUUGAAGGAAGACACUUCACUUGUAUGAUUGACAUAUGAGAUAGUGGCAAGAAGUUCAUAGUGUUGGUAUGGUCGUCUAGAUCAUCUCAAAUCAAUAAUGAUGCAAAAUAAUUUGAAGAGAAUUUAUAUGAUUUUAUUGAAGAAUGAGAAGAUAUUUUCAUUUUGAUAAUUGUCAUCAAUACUAGUUCUUUGGAAAAAAAAUAUUGAACUAACAUAAAGUUAGAGGUUGGUUGCAUUUUUUGAUGAUAUCCAAAUAAUAUAUGAGCUCAUGUAUCACAUGUAUGCAACCCAAAGUUUACAGUAUUAUUUCUUGAAAUAAUUUGAUUCUACACAAUCUCUAUAGUAUGCAAUUUGUGCUAACAACGUUGGUGCAUUAUAUCCUAAGCUUGAUUUUCGUAGUUUUAGCUGAGAUAAUAUUAAGUUGUCUAUGCCUAUAUAUGUUAUACUUAAUGGUUAGCAAAAUUGUGCCUCCAUUUAAUUGCUUAACCAUUAAUAUAAGAAUAACUUUAAAAUAAGCAUGUAAUUUUAUUUGCAUAGAGUCAACAUGUAAGAAACAUUUGCCCCAUGAGAAUUGGCUUUCAUUUAUAAGCCAAUAGGUUUCAUAUGACUAUUUGGAUGUAAAAUAUCUAUUUUAUAUUCCACCAUAAUGCACUAAGAUGGUCCAUCAAGUAUGAAGUUGAGAAAAUUUAGAAUUUUUAUUUGAUGGUAAAAGUUGAAAAGAGAUAUAUACUUAUAAUUUUGAAAAAAAUAGUCAUGUUGCAAAUUUUUCUCAAUAUUAGGGGGAGACAAGUUGGACAAAUAAGGAUAAUUAUGUCAUCACUUUUUGUGAUCCCUCACUAAUAUUAUGUGCACAAAGUUUGAAGGAAAAAAGUAUUUGCUAGACAUGUUUAGUGAUGACACUUAGAGAUUGUAUAUACUAGAUGAUACAUAUACCAGCUAAAAUGUUCCAAAUAAUUAUGAGUCCUAGAAGGACAUAGUGAUAAAAAUAAUUUUUGGGCACGCUAGAAGGAUAAAAAACUAGUUCAUUCUAUAAAUCAAAAAAUUCUUGAAAGAAAAGAGUAAGAAAUGAAGCUGGCCACACAUUAAAGGAAACGAGUACUCAUGAAGAGACCUAAGGCAUAACUUUUAAUAAAACCCCAAAAGAGGUUCAAUACAUGGAAUUAUGAAUAUAAUAAGAUAUCUCGAUUAGUUAUAUCAUAACUAAAGAUGAUGGGGUUGAUAAAAGGAAAUUGUUGUUAACAACGAUAAUCUAAGUAGAACAUUUCAAUAUUAUGGUAAAAUGAGUAUUUUGAAUGAAAAUAUACUUGAAAGUAUUUAGAUGGGAACAACUCAUCAAAAUAAAUAGACGUUUCUAUUAUAACUUAUGAAAUGUGUCUCGGACAUGAAGUCCAAACAUUCGACAGGUGUAAAGCCAAGUGGAGUAUAUGUUAGCAUAAUAGUGAAAAAAUACAAAUCAUAAUAUAUAAAAUUGACUUGUAAGACAAACUUUCCCAAGACACUUGAUUUUGAUUAUGAAAAAUGAUUAAUUUGUGAUCUUAUCAAUUGAACAUACUUUGUAUAAUCAACAAAUUAUUAAUUAACCUCAUUUAACCAAUUUCCUUCAACACAUUUCAAAUCAAAUUAAUGUGUUGAGCACGCCCUUAACCCUUUUUCUUGAUUCAUUGCAUAGUCUAUUUCCAAGUACCAUAAUCAUCAACAUUUCAAUAUAUAAAGUCAUAACAUAAUGAAUCAUAGUUAGAAUUUUUUUUACCCUAUUAACCAAGUAUGGAACAAAAAUAAAAACCUAAUUUGUCAAGCUCAUUCAAUCAGCUUAUAUAUUAUAAGAAGAGCCUAAGUAUAAAUCCUAUACAUGAUUUCAAAUUCAACUAUUUAUAUUUGAGAUUCAAUUUAAAAUUCAUACUGAAAUUAUCAAAUUAACUCGUAAGCUACUCACGCUAAACAUUAAGGUACUCGAAUUCAAGUGGCUAGAUAUCAUAAACACUUUUAGCUUGUAAAACUAUUUCUAAGGGUCAGCCCAGAAUCAUGGUUGAACCCAAAAUCUGGUAACAAAAAUUUAAUUGAGCCAUCAGCCUAAAACAAAUAAGGCUUAAAAGGUUGGCACCCGAACAAUCAAAGAUAAACACCACCAUAUGCCACUCCCUGAAUCCGAUACAUACAAUAACACCCUUCACCACUUUUAUUCUUCUCCUUUUUUUUAACCUCAAUUUGGAUGGUCGCAUUUCUCUUUUUAGUGCUUUAUAGGGUUUGGGCUUUCAGAAUCCUCAGAGAUGCAAUUCAUGGAUCCCUCUAAGAAAUGCAAGCUUGAUGAAAAUGGUAUUAUUUCAACGGCAUCAGAACCUGACCCAAUCACCAAACUAACCCCACAAGAUGGCCGCAAGCUAAUCGAGCAAUUUAUCGUCGAUCAACUCCUUGACGUCCUCCAAGAUGCUGUUUGUUGUCACCUUGAUGUUCUUUCCGCCGUACACUCUAUUGCCGAUCAAGAUCCAUCUCAAAGGAAGCUUUUCAUCCGUGGUUGGGUUGGGAUACUACAACCCAACCCAACCCACAUUAGCAUACUACCAUGCGGUAACUUCUAGUGAUUUCUGUCUGUAACAUUAGACAGGUUAACAGUUAAAUCGUUCAACUGAAAGAUUUCUUUGAAGGAAGAGGUCAAUUGAUUUUUUUUGGAAUCAUUGUGUACUCAGUUGCAUUUAAGACGGGUAUCAUUCAUAAAGUAUAUAUCUACAUCAAGAAUGGUAGCCUCUUAUAUUAUAUUCAUGUAUUUAUUUUGCAUCUUUAAUUAUAAUAGGAUUUUUUUUGUUUAUUUAUAGUUUUAAUUAUAAUAUUUUUUAAAUAUGCCAAAGUAAAUUAUGUACCAAUUUUAAACUUCUCCUAGGUAAUUUAACGUAAGGGCAUUUAUGUUAUUUUACCACUUAUGAUAAAACUAACCUAAUUUUAGAUCUAAGUGUUUACCAACCUUCUUUUAGUCAAAUUAUGCAAGCCUAAAAUUUUUAGCUUAAUUUGAGUUUGUUUACUAUGUCUAAUUCAAGUUUUAUUAUUAAGAACUAAAUUGUAACUUAAACAAAUUAGAAUACCAAUUUAAAGAGACAAAAAUUCAAAGCCCCAAAACCCACACGGGCAUGUGGGUAAGUGACACAGGCGUGUGGAAACUGGAGCUAUCACACACGGGUGAGUGGGACUGAAAAAUAUGAAAUAAAUUAAUCCAUUUAAAUUUCCAACAACCAUGCUAUACUACCAAACCAAAUAAUGUUAGAAGCUUUGAAUAGGGGCGAAUCUUAAAAAAAAAUAGAAGAAUUAGAAUUAAAUUAUAAAAUUUUGAGAAGUUGUCAUGUAUUAAUUUAUUAUUUUUUAAAGGGUCUUAAUAGAUUUUUUUUCCCCAUUUUGGUUUGGCCAAUACCCCUGUCUGCCUCUUUCAAUUUGCUUCAACCCUUAGCCCAAUAUUCGAUUUGUUGUGGAAGUUUGACGCAUAAAAAUUCCUUUUUUAGAGGUUUAAAUUAUAAAUUUUUAUUAACAAAAUAUAAAAGAAAAAAACAUGUGUAGACAAGCCAAGAAACCUUUGGGAUCAUACAGGUGAUUUUGAGAUGUUCAUGGUUAUUUUGGUGGAGAGGGUAAAAAAGAAACAAAUGAUUCAUUAUAUAUGAUAUAAUUAUGAAAUUCAAGCCAUAUAUUGUAUGUUUCAUCCAUACAAAUUUCUUGUAGCAUUAAAUGACUCGUAGGCUUGCUGAAUUUCUUUGAAAGGCCCAAAGGCAAUUUAACAUUCACAAAAUAAUCUCUAAAUAGUGUAAAGACAAAUCAAAUCCACAGUAGCAUUAGAGUUGAUUAAGCUAAGCAUUGGCAAAUAUUACUUUGAUUUUGCAUGCAAUAUUGGCAAAACCCCCUCUUACAUUAGAAAAACAACAUAAUCCAUGAAACAUUGAUAGCCCAAUACAAAUUUCAUCGAGAAAAAAGUCUCUUUGUUUUGUAGAACAUGAUAGUAAAGAUGUGGAGUUUCGUUCUUCUUAUUGGCCUCCUUUAGUUUUCCUUGAUCAACAACCACUAGCCAAAAACACAAUUAGAUUAGAUUAUGAAUGAUACUUUCAACUAUGACAAUAUUAAAUACAAACCACUCUAAAUAACUCUAAAUAAAUGGAAAGCAGCAAAUUACCAGACGAGGCAAGCUAGCUCAAUUAAGACCAUUGUGUUAUACUUGUCUCUGAAUUGAAAAAUUUAGAAGGAAAUAAAGAGAAAGACUUAGAAAAUACUUGAAAACAGAAAAAAAAAUUAUGUCAUUUAAAAUAAAAAAUUUCUAUUCAAGCCAUUUAAAAUUUGUAAGAUUUUUAAAAUUUUAAAAUGAUAAAGGUAAAAUUGUACUUUGGCACCCCAAAAAUGAUAAAACUUUGAUUUAAUUAUUUAAAAAUUAUAAAAAUAUAGGCUAUUAAAAUGGUGAAAUUAUAUUUUUACUAUAGUAAAAAUUACAAUUUAAUUUCACCCCUAAAAGGAUUUUCUGGCUUCGCACCUAAUAAAAUCUUUGGCAAAAGACUAAAAUAAAAUUAUACCAUGAAUGGAAAAAGAAACUAAUAAAAUCCAAUCUAACAAAGAAAAUAACUUGAUGUCCAAAAGCUACCAUAAACCGUAAUUCAUGGGAAGGCUUGUUGCUUAUUUUAUUGGUUUCCAUUUUGAAAGAAGUUUGAAUUUUGAAGAGAGCCUACUACGUGAAAGCAAAAGAAAAAAAAAUAGUUUAUAUGAUUAAAAUUCCAGAAUAGAUUAAAAAUGUUGAAUUAAAGAUAAAAUUAAGUGUGAAUUAAUAACCACAAGUGUACUCUUUACUCACCAUCUCUGUUAAAAAUGUUGGAUGUUGUUUAGCAACCUUUGUUUGAUUUUCUUCAGCUCAACCACAACAUCUUUCAUAUCUUUUCUUUCUUCUGGUAACUCAGCUGAACAAUUCAAAGCCAACUCCAUGAUAGAUGAAAUACAAUUUGCUUUAACAACAAUGUACUCAUCCUCUCUUCUUAAUAAAUCAACAUCUGCAAUUUCUAUCGCUCCUUUAGGCAAUGAUCUUUCCAUCCAAUGCCUUAUACUCUCUUCUUCAACAAAAACCUUAUCAGUUGGCUUUUUCUUUGUGAAAGUUUCUAUAAGGACGAUCCCAUAACUAUAGACGUCAGAUUUUAUAGAAACAAUUCCUGCUGAUCCAAAUUCUGCAUUUCAAGUAUAAUUAGAACAUCAUUCAUCCUCAAUUAUUUCUAAAACGCUUAUUCAAAUAUCUAUCCACAUACACGUGAAACAAAAAUAUAAAAUACAAAUUAGGAAAAUAAUCAUACAAAAAUAAAAAAAAGAAUUCACCUGGUGCCAUAUACCCAAUAGUUGCAAGAGUCAUGGUUUGCUUCAUUACUUCACCUUCUCCCAACAAUUUGGCAACGCCAAAAUCUCCAACAUGUGCAACCAUGUCUUCAUCUAGUAAAAUAUUGCUUGGUUUUAUGUCACAAUGAAUUAUAGGUGUUGGAUGUCCAUUGUGGAGGUGUUCUAUAGCUACCGCAACAUCUAUCAUUAUGUCGACCCUUUGUAUGAUACCAAGGAAACAAUUUUCAGAAUGUAACCAUUUCUCAAGGUUUCCAUUAGACAUGUAAUCAAGCACCAAGGCUUUGAAGUCAACACUUGAGCAGUAAGUAAUGACCUUCACAAUAUUACGAUGAACUAUAUUAAGCAUAGCAUCACAUUCAAUGUCAAAACUCCUAAAUGCUCCCUCUGUUUGCAAAUUGAAAACUUUUAUUGCAACUUCCAUUCCAUCUGAAAGCCUCCCUUUAUAUACAUAUCCAAAACUCCCUGAACCAAGCGUAUUGCUUUCCUCAAAUCCAUUAGUUGCUCGUGAAAGUUCAGCAUGUGAAAUUCUUCUCAGUGUCUUCAAAGACAACAAAUCAUCUUUAACUGGUAGAGCUGUACUCCUUUGGCAUCUUCUAUACAUAAUAGUUAAGACUAUUAGUACUAGGACAAUACCAAUUGUUGGUAAACCAUACCUAAAAGCAUGCAAUAUAAUCAUUUGGGAGUUUUUGUGGAUGUCAUUUUUGCAAGGUGGGACUAGCAAUCUAGGUGGACCACAAAGUGCACAAUUAUUCAUGAAUGAUGUGCUAGAAAAGUUUGAAAAACAUCCUUUGCUGGGAAUUUCCCCUUCAAGUCUAUUGAAAGACACAUUAAAAUACUUUAGAUAUAAAAGCUUUUCCAAAGAUUUGGGAAUGACUCCAGAGAGAUUGUUAUUGCAUAAAUCCAAGAAUUCCAAACUAAUCAACCCUUCAAAUGAUUCAGGGAUAUGACCAUAUAGUAUGUUAUUUGAUAAAUCUAAUGAAACCAAAGUUAUAAGACCCCCAAAUGUGGAUAAGAUAUCGCUCGUGAGAAGAUUCCUUGAUAAAUUUAGUCUCAGUAGACUCCUAAAAUUUCCAACAUCAAUAGCAUGUGAAUUGUGAAGACGGUUUGAUGAUAAAUCUAUUUCUAAGAUAUCUUUAAGACUCCACAAAGUUGAGGGUAUUGUAGAACUCAAUUUGUUGGAACCUAACCAAAGAUAUCUCAAAGCAGAAAUAUUACCUAAACAAGAGGGUAUGGAUCCAUGCAGCUUAUUCAACCCUAAAUACAUCUCGUAUAGUCUCUCCAAACCACAAAGGCUUUCUGGGAUAGGCCCUCCUAAUUUAUUAGAGGAAAGACCUAGAAUUUGGAGAUUUCUCAUUCCUCCUAUUGAUGCUGGAAUCAAUCCACUUAAUUUAUUAUACCCAAGAUCUAAAAGCAAUAGGUUGGUUAAGUUACCUAUUUCCAUAGGAAUAAUGCCUUGAAGCUCACACUCUGUGGCAUGAAAGUAUUGAAGGGAUUUUGAAAGGUUCCCGAAAUAAGUAGGAAGAACGCCACUCAAUGGAUUUCCUGAAACAUCUAUUAUGCUCAAAUUCCUACAAUUCGUCAAAGAAGAAAGAAAGCUCCACUCAUGAUCAGUAGCAGAUCCUGUGAUCAAAUUAUUGUCAUAGAUUUGGAGCCAUACAAGUUGUCUUAAGCUGCCAAGCGUUUUAGGGAUUGGGCCAGAGAAUGAGUUAUCUCCCAAGUCUAGUUCCUUAAGCAUGGAAGCAUUGGAGAUAGAGUUGGGAAUGUUUCCGCUAAGUUUAUUUCCCCACAGUAAAAGAAUCUGAAGCUUUGGAGCAUUGGUAAUGGGUGGUAAAUUACCUGUAAAAUAGCAUCUUUUAGAAAACAUUCACAAAAUAUAUAAUACAUUAAAAUAAAAACUUUAAAUCAAUUAAGAAUAAAAUUUUGGCAUGGAAAAAUGUGAUGAAAUCAAUUAGAAAGUUGAGACAUAAUAAGAAGUUUUGAGUAGUAAUUAGUCCUUGUGAUUUGUAUAGACAAAACAUAUAAUACACUGAUAAUUUUUUUAAAAUAUUGUAAAACCUGAAAUAAAAUAAAAAAUAAAAGUUUGGCACGAGAAUGUGGCAUCUAAUCAUUCUUAAAAAUAAGACUAACAUUAAAUAAUAAUUAGUUAUGAUUUGAGAAACAAAAAUGUUAAAGAUGUAAACUGGUAUGAUUUUUAUCUAUUGGGUUAAUUAUUUAUUUUUAUUAAAUUAUAUAUAGUGUAAAAUUUAAAGAUUAUUAUUUGCUCAAAAUUUUUGUAUUUUAGGAUUUUAGGAUCGCAUUUAAUUCAAUUGUAUUUAAGACCUCAUGAAUUUAUUCUAUAAUUUGAGUCUUUUCAACCUUUUGGGAAAUAAUAAAACAUCGACAUUAAACUUGUUGUUGAUGCAUUCAAUUUGAUUUUUUGAGGGGUCAUUGGAGUUAUAUGUGAAUUUAGCAUUGAUUGACUUUUUUAGAAUUAAUCUUUUAUACCAAUUUAAUAACAUCGACAUGUUUUUGGGUAGGGUCGAGCAAAACCCAAUUAAAACCGAUGAAAUUGGUUUAGUUAACUCGGUCAAGUCCAUUAGAUGGAUAAAAUCAAUUUUAAAAUCAGUUAUUAUGGAUUAAGGUAAUUAAUUAUCGAGUAAUGAAAUACAUAAUCAAAUCAAUUGAUUUUGUUAGAAACUAAAAGAAAGUGGGAUAAGCUGAAAACUGAUUGCCCUUUUUUAGAAUUAAGGAAUCAGCCUUUUACAUGUUAGAUAAUAUGAACACCCCAUAUAUAAUAAGAAAAAUUAUGUACGAUUAUUUAUUAUCAUAAAUGGUUAGUUUAAAUUUAAAGUAAUCUAAUAUGUGUGUUGAACUUCAACUAUUACAUAAAGUAUAAGCUAAAUAUGUAUAAAUAUUCUAGAAACCAUUUCUAACUGAUGAUAGGCUAAUUUGAAAUUAAGAUUAAUAUAUAAAAACUAGAUAGUAGGGUUAUAGUCCUCAAACUACACCUAAUUUAAUAAAAUCUAUAGUUUUUAUAGCCUUAAACAUUUAUAGAUUUUGUUAAUUUGGUCCUUACUCUUUAAAAUUACAUAAAAAUUGCAAAAAUAUUUUAGAAAUACAAUUUUUUCGUAUUUUUAAUAACAUUUAUAGUUUUUUUUUUGGUUUGGUAACUUAUCAACUCGACUCUUAAUUGUAACCAACUUUUCUGAUUUUUUCGUACCCUUAACCUAAGUCCCGUUACAACUUUCUAAAGACCUCUUGAUUGGUGUAUCAUCUCGAUUUGUUCUUAUAGUGGUGGGGAUUUGGUUUUCAAGCAAGCCUAUGCUAAUCACAUUUUUCGUUCAACUAUUGAGCACACAGUACUUGAACCUUAAACACUUUGAGUGCUUUGAGUGAAUCUUAGUUAGGGUAUUGAUUAUUGUUGAGUUUGAAUUUUAGGUAAUUAUUGAGAUGGAGGAGAUGCCUAUUUUUUUGUGCUUUACAAAUUUCUGCUUAGAUUGCUUUUAUUCUUUAGUUUCAUGCUAGUUUCAAUUUCCAGUGCAUGAUUAUCUAUAGAUUAUUCAUAAGGCAUUGUCGGUGAAAACAAUAAAUUGAGGGAGAUUAACUUGAAAUAAAUUGAGGGAUAUUAACUUGAAUAAAGGUUGAGAAUUUUGCUUAAGGACAAACAAAUGCUUAAGUGUGGGGAUAUUUGAUAAGUGCUAAAAUUGAUAUGUUUUAACAUCAUUCUUAAUGUGUUUUUGGUUGAUUAUUCGAUGUUAAUGAUGCUCCUAAUCCUUACAAUUCGUGUUUUUAUGCUUAAUAGAACAUUUGGGAGGAAAAUGAGCUAAAAAUGAACGAAAACCUGAAAAUGGGGGCAAACUAUAGGACAUGGGCUGACCUAUUCCUCAUGACCGUAUGACUCACACGAUCAUGUGGUAGGUUGUGUCGAUUUCGUAGAUUUGCACUCUGAACUGUAAAAAAAGAAAAUUUUAGAUUUUUUGAGCAUUUUAAUACGUAUAUAUGAAAAAAAUAAGAAGAUAGGAGAGAACCUUCCUAGAAUAUUUAAGAAAACAACUCCAAAGACACUAUUGAAGUCGACUCUGAAGCAAAUUUUCCUCAAGAUUGAAGAUUCCCAGUUGGUUUCUUAAGAGAUUAUCAUGAGUUUCUUUAUUUCUUCUGGUUAUACUGCCCUUUGGAUGUUUUUAUUUUUAAGCAUGAACUAAUUUUCUAAAUACCGAAUUAGAGAGAUGAACCCUAUGAUAGAUUGUGACACCCCAAACCCAACCGGAUAGACCCGCCCGAAUUCAAAGCAUUUCAUUAGCCACCUAAGUGACUCUCCAGCUAACGACCACCCAAGACACACCUCGACCUUAUAACACCUCAAUCUUAUCUAAUUACUAGUUAUUUAUUAAUGUAGAAGUAAAUUAAUAUGAGCCAAUUUUAAACUUUUUCUAGGUAAUUUAACCUAAAGGCAAUUUUGUCAUUUUACCACCUAAUGUAAAACUAACCCGAUUUUAGAUCUAAGUGUUUACUAACCUUCUUUUAGUCAAAUUAUACAAGCCUAAAAUUUUCAGCUUAAUUUGAGUCCGUUUACUAUGUCUAAUUCAAGUUUUAUUAAUAAGGACUCAAUUGUAACUUAAACAAAUUAAAAUACCAAUUUAAAGAGACAAAAAUUCAAAACUCCAAAACCCACACGGGCAUGUGGGUAAGUGACAAGGGCUUGUGGGAUUGAAAAAUAUGAAAUAAAUUAAUCCACUCAAUUUUCCAACAACCAUGCUAUACUACCAAACCAAAAAAACACUUGAAGUUUUGAAUAGGGGCGAAUCUAAAAAAAAUUAGAAGAAUUAGAAUUAAAUUAUAAAAUUUUGAGAAGUUAAAAUAUAAUUUUAUCAUGUAUUAAUUUAUUGUUUUUUAAAGGGUCCUAAUAUAAUUUUUUUCCCAUUUUGGUUGGGCCAAUACCCCUGCCUGCCUCUUUAAAUUUGCUCCAACACUAAACCCAAUAUUCGAUUUGGAUUAACAACAACAUAUAGGUUAGUAUUUGUGGGAGUUUGACGAAUAAAAAUUCCUUUUUUAGAUGUUUAAAUUAUAAAUUUUUGAAAGAUUAAAAUAAAUUUGUAUUUUUUUAUUAACAAAAUAUAAAAGAAAAAAAAAUAUGUUUAGACAAGCCAAGAGAACUUUGGGAUCAUACAGGUGAUUUUGAGAUGUUAAUGGUUAUUUUGGUGGACAGCGUAAAAAAGAAACAAAUGAUUCAUUAUAUAUAAUAUAAUUAUGAAUUUCAAGCCAUAUAUUGUAUGUUUCAUCCAUAAAAAUUUCAUGGGAGGUCCAAAGGUAAUUAAAUGACUUGUAGGCUUGCUGAAUUUCUUUGAAAGGCCCAAAGGCAAUUUAACAUUCACAAAAUAAUCUCUAAAUACUGUAAAGACAAAUCAAAUCCACAGUAGCAUUAGAGUUGAUUAAGCUAAGCAUUGGCAAAUAUUACUUUGAUUUUGCAUGCAAAAUUGGCAAAACCCCCUCUUACAUUAGAAAAACAACAUAAUCCAUGAAACAUUGAUGGCUCAAUACAAAUUUCAUCGAGAAAAAAGUCUCUUUGUUUUGGAGAACAUGAUAGUAAAGAUGUGGAGUUUCGUUCUUCUAAUUGGCCUCCUUUAGUUUUCCUUGAUCAACAACAAUUAGCCAAAAACACAGUUAGAUUAGAUUAUGAAUGAUACUUUCAACUAUGACAAUAUUAAAUACAAAACACUCUAAAUAAAUGGAAAGUAGCAAAUUAAGACCAUUGUGUUAUACUUGUCUCUGAAUUGAAAGAUUUAGAAGAAAAUAAAGAGAAAGAGUUAGAAAAUACUUGAAAACAGAUAAAACUUAUAUGUCAUUUAAAAUAAAAAAAAUUUCUAUUUAAGCCAUUUAAAAUUUUUAAGAUUUUUUAAAUUUUAAAAUGAUAAAGGUAAAACUAUAUUUUGGUACCCAAAAAUGAUAAAACUUUGAUUUAAUUCUUUAGAAAUUAUAAAAAUAUAGGCUAUUAAAAUGGUGAAAUUAUAUUUUUACUAUAUUAAAAAUUACAAUUUAAUUUCACUUGCUAAAAGGAUUUACUGGCUUCGCCCCUAAUAAAAUCUUUGGCAAAAGAUUAAAAUAAAAUUAUACCGUGAAUGGAAAAAGAAACUUAAGAAAACCCAAUCUCACAAAGAAAAUAACUUGUCCAAAAGCUACCAUAAACCGUAAUUCAUGCGAAGGCUUGUUGCUCAUUUUAUUGGUUUCCAUUUUGAUUUUGCAAAAGAAGUUUGAAUUUUGAAGAGAGCAAAAGAAAAAAAUAGUUUAUUAAUUUUUUACGAAUACCGACAUAUUAUAUACAUGAUUAAAAUUCCAGAAUAGAUUAAAAAUGUUGAAUUAAAGAUAAAAUUAAGUAUGAAUUAAGAACCACAAGUGUACUCAUUACUCACCAUCUCUGUUAAAAAUGUUGUUUAGCAACCUGUGUUUGAUUUUCUUCAGCUCAACCACAACAUCUUUCAUAUCUUUUCUUUCUUCUGGUAACUCAGCUGAACAAUUCAAAGCCAAUUCCAUGAUAGAUGAAAUACAAUUUGCUUUAACAACAAUGUACUCAUCCUCUCUUCUUAGUAAAUCAACAUCUGCAAUUUCUAUUGCUCCUUUAGGCAAUGAACUUUCCAUCCAAUGCCUUACAGUCUCUUCUUCAACAAAAACAUUAUCAGUUGGCUUUUUCUUUGUGAAAGUUUCUAUAAGGACGAUCCCAUAACUAUAGACGUCAGAUUUUAUAGAAACAAUUCCUGCUGAUCCAAAUUCUGCAUUUCAAGUAUCAUUAGAACAUCAUUCACCCUCAAUUAUUUCUAAAAUGCUUAUUCAAAUAUAUAUCCGCAUACACAAGAAACAAAAAUAUAAAAUGCAAAUUAGGAAAAUAAUCGUACAAAAACAAAAAAGAAUUCACCUGGUGCCAUAUACCCGAUAGUUGCAAGAGUCAUGGUUUGCUUCAUUACUUCACCUUCUCCCAACAAUUUGGCAACGCCAAAAUCUCCAACAUGUGCAACCAUGUCUUCAUCUAGUAAAAUAUUGCUUGGUUUUAUGUCACAAUGAAUUAUAGGUGUUGGAUGUCCAUUGUGGAGGUGUUCUAUAGCUACCGCAACAUCUAUCAUUAUGUCGACCCUUUGUAUGAUAUCAAGGAAACAAUUUUCAGAAUGUAACCAUUUCUCAAGGUUUCCAUUAGACAUGUAAUCAAGCACCAAGGCUUUGAAGUCAACACUUGAGCAGCAAGUAAUGACCUUCACAAUAUUACGAUGAACUAUAUUAAGCAUAACAUCACAUUCAAUGUCAAAACUCCUAAAUGCUCCCUCUGUUUGCAAAUUGAAAACUUUUAUUGCAACUUCCAUUCCAUCUGAAAGCCUCCCUUUAUAUACAUAUCCAAAACUCCCUGAACCAAGCAUAUUGCUUUCCUCAAAUCCAUUAGUUGCUCGUGAAAGUUCAGCAUGUGAAAUUCUUCUCGGUGUCUUCAAAGACAACAAAUCAUCUUUAACUGGUAGAGCUGUACUCCUUUGGCAUCUUCUAUACAUAAUAGUUAAGACUAUUAGUACUAGGACAAUACCAAUUGUUGGUAAACCAUACCUAAAAGCAUGUAAUAUAAUCAUUUGGGAGUUUUUGUGGAUGUCAUUUUUGCAAGGUGGGACUAGCAAUCUAGGUGGACCACAAAAUGCACAAUUAUUCAUGAAUGAUGUGCUAGAAAAGUUUGAAAAACAUCUUUUGCUGGGAAUUUCCCCUUCAAGUCUAUUGAAAGACACAUUAAAAUACUUUAGAUAUAAAAGCUUUUCCAAAGAUUUGGGAAUGACUCCAGAGAGAUUGUUAUUGCAUAAAUCCAAGAAUUCCAAACUAAUCAACCCAUCAAAUGAUUCAGGGAUAUGACCAUGUAGUAUAUUAUUUGAUAAAUCUAAUGAAACCAAAGUUUGAAGACCCCCAAAUGUGGAUAAGAUAUCGCCCAUGAGAAGAUUCCUUGAUAAAUUUAGUCUCAGUAGACUCCUAAAGUUUCCAACAUCAAUAGCAUGUGAAUUGUGAAGAUGGUUUGAUGAUAAAUCUAUUUCUAAGAUAUCUUUAAGAUUCCACAAAGUUGAGGGUAUUGUAGAACUCAAUUUGUUGGAAUCUAACCAAAGAUAUCUCAAAGCAGAAAUAUUACCCAAACAAGAGGGUAUGGGUCCAUGCAGCUUAUUCAACCCUAAAUACAUCUUGUAUAGUCUCUCCAAACCACAGAGGCUUUCUGGGAUAGGCCCUUCUAAUUUAUUAGAGGAAAGAUCUAGACCUUGCAGAUUCCGCAGUCCUCCUAUUGAUGCUGGAAUGAAUCCACUUAAUUUAUUAUGGUCAAGUUCUAAAACCAAUAAGUUGGUUAAGUUACCUAUUUCCAUAGGAAUAAUGCCUUGAAGCUCACAAUUAUAGGCAUGAAAGGAUUGAAGGGAUUUUGAAAGGUUCCCAAUAUAAGUAGGAAGAACGCCACUCAAUGGAUUUCCUGAAACACCUAUUUUUCUCAAAUUCCUACAAUUCGUCAAAGAAGAAAGAAAGCUCCACUCAUGAUCAGUAGCAGAUCCUGUGAUCAAAUUAUUGUCAGUGAUUUUGAGCACUUCAAGGUGUUUUAAGCUGCCAAGCAUUUUAGGGAUUGGGCCAGAGAAUGAGUUAUCUUCCAAGUCUAGUUUCUUAAGCAUGGAAGCAUUGGAGAUAGAGUAAGGAAUGUUUCCGCUAAGUUUAUUUCCCCACAGUAAAAGAAUCUGAAGCUUUGGAGCAUUGGUAAUGGGUGGUAAAUUACCUGUAAAAUAGCAUCUUUUAGAAAACAUAUUCAUUGAAUACCAAAUUCACAAAAUAUAUAAUACAUUAAAAUUAAAACUUUAAAACUUUAAAUCAAUUAAGAAUAAAAUUUUGGCAUGGAAAAUUGUGAUGAAAUCAAUUAGAAAGUUGAGACAUAAUAAGAAGUUUUGAGUAGUAAUUACUCAUGAUUUCCAUAGACAAAACAUAUAAUACACUGAUAAUUUUUUUAAAAAUAUUGUAAAACCUGAAAUAAAAUAAAAAAUAAAAGUUUGGCAUGAGAAUGUGGCAUCUAAUCAUUCUUAAAAAUAAGACUAACAUUGAAUAAUAAUUAGUUAUGAUUUGAGAAACAAAAAUGUUAAAGAUGUAAACUGGUAUGAUUUUUAUCUAUUGGGUUAAUUAUUUAUUUUUAUUAAAUUAUAUAUAGUGUAAAAUUUAAAGAUUAUUAUUUGCUCAAAAUUUUUGUAUUUUUCGUAUAUUUGAAAUUUAAUCUUUAUAUUUUUUAUUUUCUGUGAUUUAGUCUCUCUACUUUUUGAAUUGAAAAUUUUAAGUUUAUUUAUUAACACUGUUAAAAAGUUUUUGUGUUAGUAUGGCAUUUUGAAAAAUAAAAUAAACUUGAUAUCUAUGUUUUUAAUUAUUCCAAAUACUGUUUUACUAUUCCAAGAUAAAUUAUUUGUGUCUAGACCAAUAUCUUAAGAACUAUUGUUGCAUGUUUAAUUAUUCUAAAGAAUUGUUGAUUGAGUCUUAGUUGAAGUGCACUAUUCUCCUAUUUAUGAAUUGGGGAGUUGAUAAAGUACUAAAUUUUGAUAUAUUUUAAAAAAUUAAAAAUUUAUUAAAAUAUUUUUAUAAAAAUUAAUUGUACCAAAAUAUACAAUUUUAAUAUCAAAUUUUUAAUUUUUUUAAAAAUAUUAGCGAAUAUAUACUUUAUUUCAAGUUACACAAUUUUUACUAGUUUUUAACUUUUUUUUUAAAUUUUUAUCGUCUUUUAUAAUUUCAUAUAUUUUUUUAUAAUUUUUUACAAUAUUUACAAUUUCUAACAAUUUUUAAUAAUUUUAUUAUUUAUUAUAAAUUUAAAAAUUAACAAAUUUUUAUUUUUUUAAAACAAUUAUAUAUUUAUAAUGUAGUUAUUUUUUUAUAAUUUUUUUUGAAAUUUAAAGAUUUUUUUGGUUUUUUCUAGAUGAUGAUGCCAUCAUGAUGUCAUCAUAUGCCACAUGGCAAUUUAUAAUUAGUUGACUAUCUCAAUCUAUUUUUUUAACGUCCAAUGGACUAAAACAAGAACACCUGAUAAUGUUAGAGACUACACUAGGAAUGUUUGAUAAUAUUAGGUACUAAAGUGGGCAAAAAAAAUUAAGGACUAUAUUAAAAAUAUAUCUAUAAUAUAUAUAAAUGCAUGGAUUUUGAGAAACUUUUGAAAUGACAAAUAUAUAGUCUUUGUUUUUUUUUACUAUAUUAUUGAAUUUUUUAUUUUAAAUAUUUUUUUAUUACUUUUAAGAUUUAUCAUAUGUAUGGAUAAAAAUUUUGGUUUUACUAAAAUAUUUGGUUAAAUAAAUUCACUUUAUAAAAAAAUUUAGCAUCCUUAUAAAUAACAAUUUUGAUUCCAUUAAAAAAAUUAUUUAAAAAUAUAUAAUAAAAAUUUAAAAUUUAUAUUGAAUCACUUUAUACUUAAAUUAUUAUUAGAAACUUUAUCAUACACAUAUGUGUAUGAGAACCACGUUUUCAGAACUUAAAUUUGUGUUCUAAAAUAACUUAUGAUAAAUAAUUAAAUGUAUAAUUUGAAAUUAUAUUGAAAUAAAAAUAGAUUAAAUUGUAAGUAAAACAUAUAUAAUUUAAACAUAUGAAUACAUCAAAUUAAAAAUACUAAAUGAAUACAUUUAUUUAUGAUGAUGUUGUUGUCAAUUCAUAAGUUGGUGUCGAGUUAAUUUGUGACAUCAUAAUUUUAAGUGAUAAAUUUAAGGUUUUAUGUAUUGAUGUCGAUUCAAAUAUCACCAUAAUUUUUUUAAAUAAAAAACUAAAGCACCCUCAAAUAAUAUAACUUAUAUUAAAUAUGAAAGGGUAUUUUUGUAAUUUCUCUAACGAGUUGGUGCCCGGUUGACUCAUGACACCAACUCAAUCAAAAGCUUCAAUAAUAAUAUAGAUAUUCACGUUUAAAAAAAGUACUUUAGUUCGAAAUAAUUAUGUAACAAGUAAUUUUAUAAUUGAUGAAUAAUUUUAUAAAAAUAUAUUUAUAUGAUCUAAUAUAUUAUAUUUAUAUUAAUUAUAUAUCAUCUACAAACUUUGAAGAUCAAUUUAUUAAGUAUCAGGAAAAGAAAAAAUGAAAUUGAAUUAACACUAAAUCAAUUUUUAGAUUUUGUACAGAUGAUUUAAUGAUGAUAAAAACAUUAUUAGCACUAUUUUUGAAUUAACAAAAAAUUAGUGAUAUAUUUUAAUUAUAUUUUUUAUUUUUUAUUUUUAAUAAUAUUUUUUUAAUUAUAUGAAGUAAAAUUAUAUUGUAUACUAAAUAUGGUACAUAUACUUUAAUUAAAACUUGAAAAAGUAUUAUAUAAAUUAAUAUAUUUUAAUUAUAUUCAACCAUUUGAAUAACAAAAUUAAAAAAAAACUAAUUAGAAUUAUUUACUUUUUAAAGUUUAAUGGAAAAUAAAAAAUAAAAAAUAAAUCAAUUCAUAUAAAUCUUAUUGUUUAUUAUCAGAUUAAAAUGAUAAAAGUAUAUGACAUACAUAGAAGAAACAAAUUCAACACCAUGUUUUUGGAGUUUGGAAAAAAUUAAAGUGAAAAACCUACCUUCUAAACUGUUGUUAAAUAGAUCUAUUUCUUCGAGCGUAGUUGAAUUAAAAAUACUUGAUGGAAUCUGACCUGCACACAUAGUCGAAAAUUGAAGUGAAAUCAAACUCUUUUGUGAAAAAAAUAUUACCAGAUAAUUCAUUCCAACCCAGGUAAAGCCCUUCAAGCUUGGGAAGAUGUUGACACAUAUCAUUAGGCAAACUACCUGAUAGGCUAUUGUUGGAGAGAUUAAUGGUCUUCAAAGAAGAAAUGUUGAAGAUCGAAGUUGGAAUCUGACCUAUAAGGCCUUUAAUUGCUCUAAUACUAAGCCUUUCCAAACUAAGAAGAUUACCAAUUUCCUUAGGAAUUAGACCUGCAGACAGUCGAAAAUUCAAUGUUUUUCAGCAUAUGUUUUUCAUCAAAUGAAAUAAAAAGUUCUUCCUUUUGUUAUCUAUUACAAAUCAAACUCUUUUAUAAAAAAAAUACUUUAAAUUCAAGAAAUCAAGGAAAUUGAUUACCUUCUAGAUUAUUAAACCCCAAAUAUAAUUCUUGGAGUCGUGUUAGAUUUCCAAUACUUCUUGGAAUGAUCCCCAUAAAUUGAUUAUAGGACAACGACAAAAUAUUAAGGUUGUUGCAUUUGCCCAUGCCAAAUGGAAUGUUACUAGAAAACUCAUUGCUAUCCAAGUAAAGCCCUUCAAGCUUGGGAAGAUGUUGACACAUAUCAUUAGGCAAACUACCUGAUAGGUUAUUGUUGGAGAGAUCAAUGGUCUUCAAAGAAGAAAUGUUGAAGAUCGAAGUUGGAAUCUGACCUGUAAAGCCUUUAAUUGCUUUAAUAUUAAGCAUUUCCAAACUAAGAAGUUUAAAUCAAUUAAGAAUAAAAUUUUGGCAUGGAAAAAUGUGAUGAAAUCAAUUAAAAAGUUGAGACAUAAUAAGAAGUUUUGAGUCGUAAUUAGUCCUUCUGAUUUGUAUAGACAAAACAUAUAAUACACUAAUAAUAAUUAGUUUGGCAUGAGAAUGUGGCAUCUAAUCAAUCUUAAAAAUGAGAUGACACUGAAUAAUAAUUAGUUAUGAUUUGGGAAACAAAAAUGUUAAAGCCAUUGCUUUUAAUGUAAACUAGUAUGAUUUUUAUCUAUUGGGUUAAUUAUUUAUUUUUAUGAAAUUAUAGUGUAAAAUUUAAAGAUUAUUUUUAUCUAUUACAAAUCAAACUCUUUUAUGAAAAAAAUAUUUUAAAUUAAAGAAACAAAGAAAAUUCAAUAUCUUCUAAGUUAUUCCACUCCAAAUAUAAUCUUCAGUGAAGAAAUCUUGAAGAUGGAAGAUGGAACCUUACCAGAUAAUUGAUUGAAUCCCAAGCUCAAGGACUCUAGAUUAGACAUGUUAACAAGUGUUUCAGGGAUUGUGCCUAUAAAGUUAUUAUUUUUCAUUUUCAGCCUUCGAACUCCCUGUAAGUUCCCAAGCCAUGAUGGAAUUUCCCCAUUAAGACUGUUGUAUUUUAAUCGAAGGAUCCUCAAACGAUGCAAUUGGCCCAAUUCUUUAGGGAGAUGGCCAUAGAAAUGGUUUCUACUCAAGUCGAGAGAGAGUAGAAAUGAAAGAUUUCCAAGGUGUGGAGGGAUACUACCCCUAAGAUUCAUGCUUUUAAGUUUGGAAACAAAUUCAACACAAUGUUUUUGGAGUUUGGAAAAAAUUAAAGUGAAAAACAUACCUUCUAAUUUGUUGUCAGAUAGUCCUAUUAUUUCGAGCAUAGUUGAAUUAAAAAUACUUGAUGGAAUCUGACCUGCACAUAUAGUUGAAAAUUGAAGUGAAAAACAUACCUUCUAAACUGUUCAACUAAAAAAACUUUAAGCAUAUUUGUUUUUCCAUCAAAUUAACUAUUUUGCCUUGAAUGAAAUAAAAUGCUCUUACUUUUGUUAUUUAUUACUAAUCAAACUCUUUUCUAAAAAAAAACUUUAAAUUAAGAAACUAAGAAAAUUCGGUACCUUCUAGGUUAUUAAACCCUAAAUAUAACUUCUGGAGUCGUGUUAGAUUUCCAAUACUUCUUGGAAUGAUACCCAUAAAUUGAUUAUAGGACAACGACAAAUUUUUAAGGUUGUUGCAUUUGCCCAUGCCAAAUGGAAUGUUACCAGAUAAUUCAUUCCAACUCAGGUAAAGCCCUUCAAGCUUGGGAAGAUGUUGACACAUAUCAUUAGGCAAACUACCUAGGUUAUUGUUGGAGAGAUCAAUGGUCUUCAAAGAAGAAAUGUUGAAGAUCGAAGUUGGAAUCUGACCUGUAAGGCCUUUAAUUGCUUUAAUAUUAAGCAAUACCAAAUCAAGAAUAUUACCGAUUUCCAAACCAAGAAUUUAUAGAAGAAACAAAUUUAACACAAUGUUUUUUGAGUUUGGAAAAUGUUAAAGUGAAAAACAUACCUUCUAAUUUGUUGUCAGAUAGUCCUAUUAUUUCGAGCAUAGUUGAAUUAAAAAUACUUGAUGGAAUCUGACCUGCACAUAUAGUUGAAAAUUGAAGUGAAAAACAUACCUUCUAAACUGUUCAACUAAAAAAACUUUAAGCAUAUUUGUUUUUCCAUCAAAUUAACUAUUUUGCCUUGAAUGAAAUAAAAUGCUCUUACUUUUGUUAUUUAUUACUAAUCAAACUCUUUUCUAAAAAAAAACUUUAAAUUAAGAAACUAAGAAAAUUCGGUACCUUCUAGGUUAUUCAACCCCAAAUAUAAUUCUUUGAGUUGUGUCAGAUUUCCAAUACUUUUUGGAAUGAUCCCCAUCAAUUGAUUAUAGGACAAUGACAAAAUUUUAAGGUUGCUGCAUUUGCCCAUGCCAAAUGGAAUGUUACCAGAUAAUUCAUUCCGACUCAAGUAAAGCCCUUCAAGCUUGGGAAGAUGUUGACACAUAUCAUUAGGCAAACUACCUGGUAGGCUAUUGCUGGAGAGUUUAAUAAUCUUCAGAGAAGAAAUAUUGAAGAUGGAAGAUGGAACCUGACCAAAUAAUUGAUUGAAUCCCAAGUUCAAGAUCUCUAGAUUAGACAUGUUAACAAGUGUUUCAGGGAUUGUGCCUGUAAAGUUAUUAUUCUUCAUUUCCAGCCUUCGAACUCUCUGUAAGUUCCCAAGCCAUGAUGGAAUUUCCCCAUUCAGACGGUUGUAGCUUAAUUGAAGGAUCCUCAAACGAUGCAAUUGGCCAAAUUCUUUAGGGAGAUGGCCAUAGAAAUGGUUGCUACUCAAGUCGAGAGAGAGUAGAAAUGAAAGAUUUCCAAGGUGUGGAGGGAUAGUACCCCUAAGAUUCAUGCUUGUAAGAUUCAAAGCUAUAACUCUUUUAUGGAGGAUGCCACAAGAAACACCAAUCCAAUUGCAAACAGAGGUUGAGGCCGUCCAAUUGUUUGCCAAGACAUUUUGAGGACCGGCAAUGCGAUCCUUAAACUCGAGAAGUGCAAACUGAUCGGAGUUGAGAUUCCUGACUGUCAUACCCCAGCAAAGUCCGGAACAUGGUAUGAAUAAAGCUAAAAGAAGAUGAAAGCAAGUGUUGUAGUUCAUGAUAGCAAGACGGAAUAAGCCAAGAAAAUAAAAAAAAGUAGGACAAGGGAAGUUGAGUUGAUAAAAUAGUUUGGAUGAUGAAGAAAAGCCCAGAGAGCAUGCUUUAAUAUGUUUUGAAGAAAUUUCAAAAUAAAUUUCAAAAUAAAUUUCAAAAUAAAAAUUUAAAAAGGAAAGCAAAGUUUUGAAGAAAUUUCAAAAUAAAUUUCAAGUCUUCUUCUUUAAAAAAUACGUACAAAGAGCGAAUUUUCAAAAUUUUUCCUAAAUUUUCUUCACAUUACUCCACAUAAUCCAUUAAAAAAACUUAAAAAAUAUAUUUUAUUAAUUACUAUACAUUCUUUUAUUUUCAGAAUAAUAAAUUGUUUAAAAUUUGCUAUUAGUCCCUAUAAUUUAAAAGUUAAAAAAAAUUCAAUCCUCCUACUUUUCUAAUUUAAAAAUUUUAGUUCAAUCAAUUUUAAUUUUAAAAUCUCUGUAUAAAAGGUGUUUUUUUUGUGACCGAUCACACUUAACCAAUAUUUAAAAAUUAAUAAAAAAUAUUUUUUUUUGAAAUUUAAAGUGAUCUAAAAACAUAUUUUUAAGUGCUUUGGACCGUCUAUUGUUGAUUUCCUUAUUAUAUUAAGUGUUUGCAAUCACUCCUAAUAUAUUGUGCUUGAGUUGUGACAAAGCCGAUCAUCAAAUUGCCAUAAUGAUCUAUUGAUGCUGAAAUUGAAGUUUUUGUUAUAUUGAUAGAGCUUGUCCUUCAACGCGUACAACGUGUUUGUUAUUUUUCUCCCUUCAAAUUGUAUGAUCUUAUUCAUUAAAUGAAUUAAUGAAUUUCCCUUUUAAAAAGAUAUAUUUUUAAAAAUUAAAUACUUUAUAAAAUAUUUAAAAAUUUGUAAGCCUUAAAACAAUCAACAAAAUAUUUUUGAAAUUUUAUAAAUAUAUUUUAAAACUAUAGUAACGCUACAAAAUAUAUAUAUUUACUAAUUAUAUGCACCUUUUUUAUUUUUAUUUCCUAACAUAUCAUUAUUUUCAACACUAUCGUAAUCCUGUUUUGAUAAUUCCCUUUCCAUACAUCCUUUUUCUACAUAGAAUUUCAAAAGAAAAUGUGAAUUAAUGUAAACGUGAGAAGACUUAAUUACAUUUAUUAGUUUAUCAAUCAAAACUUAAUUAGAAUCCAUCAAUAUUUCACACAUCAAAAACCCAAACAUAAAAUUCACUUUUAAAUUAUUUGAAGAUACAUUUGUAUUAUAGGAAAUCGAUUAAAUUAGUCUUUUAUUAUUAAAUGUAUUAUUUUAAUCUUUGUAUUAGGUAUGAAUGAUAUCUCCUAAAUUGAAGCCAGAGCUAUUCUUGAAAGACUGAAAUUAGGAUUCAGAUGUGUUGAGAUGGAAAGUGACAACACAAUGUUGAUUGAAACUAUUUGUAACAGGUUGACUACAAUAAGUAGUGCUGCCGAAGUAAGACAGAUUCACGAUUGGUGUUCCAAAAAUUGGGAAGUCAAAUUUAGACAUAUUCAGCGGAAUGCCAAUAAAGUUGUUGAUUGCAUAGCUAAGGCAAAUGGAGGCGUAAUUGAGCAGCUGGUUAUCUUGGAAGAUCCUCUGCAUUAUGUGAGAUGGUAGCUUGAAGAAGAUAUUAGACAGUCACUAGUGACUGAUGAUAAUUUUCAUUUGGACUGAUGAGCGCUUAAUUUUCUAAGCUUAUGUUCAACAAAAAAAAUUUUAACUACGUUUAAAUUGUAAUAGAGUUAACAUUUAGUGUUUAAAAAAUAUCUUAAAAAUUAUUAUUUUUUCCAAUUGCAGUUCAAUUCCACAAAUAUCGACGAUGAAUCCGGACAUAAAAAUUAUAGAAAAAAAACACAUCUAUUAUCAAACCAACAAUCCAUGUCUAAACUUAAAUUAACAAAAUUUGCCACGCAACGCCCAGUACACUAUUAUAUAUAUACUAGAUUUAUUCUAGAUGCACAUGUUUUAUUAUAUUUAAAAUUUAAAAUAUAUGGUUGACUAAGUGUUAGUUGAGUUAGUAUUGCUAUUAUUGUCAGUGUAAGGAAAUGUGAGUUUAAUUGCGCUCAAAUGUGUUUUAUCCUCCAAUUCAAGGGUUAGGAAAAGGUUAUUGAUAAUUAAGUUAUACCAACUUUUAUGAUAUUAAAAAAAGGAUUUAUAAAUAAUAUAAGGAAAAGAAAGAAAGAGAAACAUAUUCAUAUUGAUGGGCUCUUUCAAUAUUAGACUUUUUUUUCUAUCACAAGUAAAAAUAUCAAAGGUGAUAAUAAUUAAAUUAUAAAAUUUAAAUUGAGAAAAUAGGGGAUUGAGUUUAUAAGUUUUAAAGUAUAAAGAAUGAAUAUAUAACUAACAACAUAUUUUAACCACAUAAUAAAAGUAGUUAUGGUAAAAUAAUGACCUGAAUAAUUUUAAACGUCUCAUCCUUGCAAAAAUGAAAUAAUAGAAAAGAAAUAAGUGUUGGGUGUAGUGGCAAUGUACAUCAUACUUCUAAGGGGAGAUUAGGGUUUUAGACAAGGGAAGAAUUUUAAACUUGCUCUUUUCUCUAGAACUCAACGCAAACCUCAAAUUUAUCUUUUUAAAAGAAUUUAAAAAUAUGUAUAUAAAAGGUGAUUUUUUUACCGAUCACACUUAACAAAAUUUUAAAAAAAAAUGAAAUUUAAAGUGAUCUAAAAACAUAUUUUUAAGUGCUUUAGACCAUCCUGUGCUGAUUUCUUUAGUAAUUUGAUUUGUUCAAUAUAGAUUUUGGUAACUUAAAACAAAAUUAAUAAAAAAUUAUUUUUUUAGAUAUCUUUUUAAUGUUUAAUAAUAAGUUAAUUUAUAAAAUAUACUUUCAUUGGACACAGGGCCUCCAAGGCGGUGAACCACUAAUCAAAUUAAUUUUGAGAUACUUAAAUUUGUUUUCAUCAAUUAAGAAAUUAAAAAAAUUGUUGAGACCUCAUGAUUAUGUUUUAUAAUUUCAGGCUUAUCAACUAUUUUGAAAAACAACAAAACGUCUUACACCAAAAACUAAAAAAUAAAAACGUCGACAUUAAAUUUGUUGGCAUGCAAUCAAUUUUAAGAUGGUUUUUGGAGUUAUAUAUCACCUUAGCAUUGACUUACUUUUCUACAGUUUGUCUUCUCCAACAAGUUAAAUAUUUCAAUUUUAACAACAUUGACAGGUCUUUGGGGUAGGGUCGAGCAAAAUUCAAUAAAAACAGAUGAUAUAAGUUGAGUUGGCUCGGCCAAGUCGAGUCGAUUUGUUCAAAUUAUUUAAAUUAGUAAAUUUUAGGGUGCAAUUAGAAUUUUUUGUUUUGAGAUGCUAAUUAGAUUAAAAAAUUUCAGUUGCUAAAACAAAAAAAUUGUAUUUAAAAAGGCAUAAAUUAAAUAAUUAAGUUUUUCGAGUUUCCAUUUAAUCAAAGGUUAAAAGGACUAAAUUGAAGCUUUUUAUUUUUAAGAAAGGCUGAAUGACAAAUUGCCCAAAGCCCAUGGCCCUAGCUAUACAACUAACUUUUCUAUGAUUAGUCCUUGGUUUGCUUUGGGUGAAAUCUUCCAACUAGCCUCAUCCUUGGUUUUACUUUCCAACAAUUAGUGUAUCGCGGGUUUUGUUUUCUUUAAAAAAUAUUUGUGGAUAUUAGGAGAUAAUGAAAAUUAUUUUACUAUGAAAUUUUAAUAAAACUGGAAAAUAAGUAAUUUAUUUUAAGAGAUCACAAUUAAACGUUAGAUUUCCCCUUUUUAAAUUAUAAAUUUUUUUUUGACAAUUGCAUAAUAUUUUGAGCGUUGUAGGAAUGCCAUAAUAUAACCUUCCCUACGCAUAAUCGACUCUUGAGCAUGAUGGAUCCUAGACCUUCUCCUCUAUUCUCGUACCACAAAUUGCUUCAAGUGUGGGUUCGAACAAUCACAAAUUAAACGCAAAACCAAAAAUGAUUUAUUACUUUCAAUAGCAAAGUAAUUCUCUCUCAAUAGAAACCAAUAGAAUUGUAAUUCCUAGAAAAUAAAAUUUAUUUUUUGAAAAUAUAUUCUCACUACUUUCUAGCAGAAUAACAAUAUGUGAAACUUAUGUCUUGUGUUAAUAGCUCUACCAGUACUAUCUAUUUAUAGGGAGAGACACGAGAAUCCUGGUUGAAUUAGUAAAACACGAAUAAUAUUUAUUUCAUAGAAAACAAUAUUCCACCCUAAGUAGAUCAAGUUUGUAUGACGCAUGGAUCAAAGCUCAAUCUAGGAGAAAAAAAACAAAGGAAUUUUCUUUGUAAAGAAAAUUUGAGAUUGUACUAUUUUCAAAGUUAUAAAUAAAAUUAUACGCCAAAUUUUCAAGUCAAUUUUCAACUCCAAUUUUGUAUGCACAAAUUUCUAAUACACUUGGUGGGACAUUCUUUGACUUUUAUCUAUUCUCUCAAAAAGUUAAAGUUCAAAGUUACAUUAAACUCAAAGAAGAUAUUCAUUAGUAAACCACCUCACAAGCCUGCUCAAGCUAAUCCUACAACUCGUUCCACUUCAUCAUCAAACACCAAUAUUCUUGCUUAUCCUUAUGGAAUUAAACAGUCUCAUUUUCUGCAUUUUGGGUACACACUUAGUUUUGUUUGAUGCUAAAACAGUCCCCGAGCACUCCAAAACCUAUAAUUGAACAAAUAAUACUAAUUUAAUCUUACAUAACAUGAUCCCAAAUUGAAAUUGUAUCGAGGUUUUAACCCAUAAGUGACUAAACCUUACCUUCAACCGAUGAACAGUAAUUCCCACACAAACUAAGACUCCAAUUGGAGAUUACGAGCCAUUGAAUCCUCCCCUAAUUGGCAUAAACAAAACACUUCAAAAGAAAGUUAACAAAUGGAGACAAAUCACUUAUCUAAAACUUACCGAACGAUCACAGAAAAACGUGGAGUGACACGAGGCAGAGUGGGAAAAGAAAAAUCAAGAGGAUGAAGGGUGAAAGAGAGCAAAAAUUCGGUAGCAAUGAAGAGAAAAACAGCAAGAAAGUGGAGGGAUUUUAGGGAAAGUAAAAAAAAAGAUGAAUAGAAUAUUUGAUAACUACCCAAUCCCUUAUUUCUCUCUAUCAAACUCCCCACUAAAUCCACUACUCGAAUUUUUAGUCCAUCUCAAACUCUCCUGGACGCACGAGCAAAAAAUAAUGACCAUGCCAAAAUUUAAACAAAAGACCUCCUUCACACCAACACUCCACUUAUCCACCAGACCAAUAGGCUCAUUCUUUUAAUUAUUUUCCAACUUUUACUUAAAAGCCUACUGACCAAAGAUAGGGCUUAUUCAUAAAAAUACCAAAUUUUGCCCAAGACCUGGCUUGAACUUGGGACCUCUCAAACACACCCAGAACACAUAACCACUAAAGCAGACAGAAAUUUUGUGUCACACAUUCACAAUACCCAAAAUUAAAAUUUUAGGGCGUUACAAAAACACAUUAAACAAUAUCGCAUAAAACAAUCACAGUCAGAUAACAAUUCAGAAUGUCGAUUUUACAAUUUAACCACCAAUAGUAUCAUAGUAUUCACAGUUGUAAUUUCAGAAUAUCAAAUUUCCACAUCAUUCACAAUAUUCACACAUAUAUAAAUAUAUCAUAAUAGAAUUCUAGAUUUGUAUGCACAUGAUUUAGAAGAUGCCAUACAAUUUUGGGUUUUAACAGAAUAAAUCCUACCCCACAUUACAUACCAUAAUGGGAGUUCCCCUAAACUCCCUUCUCCAACACACUAGGUUGUGGAUAAACCACUAUUGGUUCACAAAUAAUAACUGUCAUUUGGCUGUGGACACAUAGCAAGUCCCCGCAAUUGGAUUCUAGAUUUGGUUGUGGAUUCACAGCAAAAAAAUCCUACAAAUGAAGCCUGCUUUUGCCUGUAGAUUAUACAACAUAUACCCGCAGUUGGAAUCUGUCUUUGGCUGUGGAUGCAGUGUAACACCUCAAACUCGACCUAGACGUUAUGGCUAAAUCUUAAUGAUUUACUUUAACUCGCUAGAAAGCCCACGAAUUUACUUUAAAAUCAUGUGGUUAAACUAGUGUUCACUUUGAUAAAUCGUUUUCCAGUUUUAGAGAAAAUUCUUGUUAAAACUGUUACUUUAUUACAAUAAAACAUUGAAGUAAUUGUAUCAUUUUGUAGUGGAAUCUACUAAGCUAUAAGGUUUUGAAAAUCGUGAUUUAGUUUGAAACAAAUCAUUUUGCAAAUAGAAAUUUAAUACUACUUAAUUUGGAAAAGCACGCUAAAACGAAAGCAAAGUCCAAAAUAAUUUACGGUUUGAAAUUCUAAAAAGCCCAAAUUAGUCAUAAAGUCUAUUUAAACCAAUUUAUCGAAAGUGUAACACCCUAAACCCGGCCUGUAUGUUAUGGCCAAAUCUAGAUGUGUUACGAAAAAAAGUUUAUAAAACGACUUCCUUGUUAUUGGCAAAUCAUCGUAGCCAUUAUUACUUAGUAUAUCUGAUUUGUUUGGAAAACUUAUUGAUAUACUUAUUUGAUUUAAAAUCGUUGCUCACUUACGCCUUUUUAUUAAACCAAAUAUUUUGCAGCGGAGUUUCUUUAAAACAUCAUAUUUUGGAAAAUCAAAUUGUUUCUUGAAAAUCGUUAUUUUAGAAAAGUUGUCAUUUUCAGAAAAAUUAUUUUAUCAGUUGUUAUGCUGAGAAAACAAAAUAAAAUCCAAAACCAAAAAUAGUCCCAAAAAGUCUAGAGAGUCCCAAAAUGACAAUACUCUUAAAACUAGACAAGUUUAAACUAAUUUUAAAAGAAUGAAAUUUUACAGAAAUGUGGACACCACUGAGCUUCCGUCGCACCGACCCACCUAAAUCUGAGGGUUACUUGAACAGAAUAAACAAACAGAGAGUGAGUUUUGAAACUUAGUGUCUAACGCGUAUAUAAACAAAAAUUCAGAAUCAAUCUCAUGCAGAACAGAUACAAGUGUAAACCUUUUAUAAAAUUAGAAUUAUACAGAUACAAAUAUGCAACAUCCUACCCUCAUCCUCUACACACCAACUCCGACCAUUCUAUCACACCACGUGGGGUAUAAAAUACCCACCCAGCCCUACACACCGUAUAGUAUUUAUAUGACACUUUUUGGAAUAAUCGCAGCAGAGUUGCCAGUAUAUAGGCGAGAUAUCACCUCACACAGAACACUUCCUCCUCAUAAUACAAAUCCCGCCCCAUAGCCAGAUACAGACAAAAUAUCAUGUAAAAUAAAUUAACAGAUACUAGAGUUAACAUAUCACGCAUGAGCGUAUAAUAGAUAUUACACAUGCUUAUGCAUAACAAAAUAGAUCAUACAUAUUGUAUUCCAUAAUACUCAUAUAAAUGUUAUUUACGUCAAUCUCAAUCUAAUAGAGUAGCUGAUUUCAUGCUUUAACUCUUAUACCACACAUACAGACCCUAUAGAAGGCCCACAGUUGAUCGAGACAACAUGUAUGUCCCUAGGGAAAAAAUUUGUAAUUUGGGCCCAUAUGCAUGUAUGAGCCCACACACCCAAAAUGGCCUUGCCCAUGUGGCUCACCUACCUAGCACUCAGCCCAUACGGUCCAAAAUGGCCUAGGUCGUGUGUCACACACAGCCGCAUGUUGCACACAGCCUACCACAUAGCGAGUCACAAAACCGUUUGGAGUUGACAAGCCUAAUUUUUGGCUUUCGUCAAUCGUCAUUUUCUUACGUUUUCAUUACACACUUGGUUUGAUUCUGACCCAAAAGCAACCCUAAGUCCACCGAAACCUAAAAAUAGCAUUCCAAUGCCCAAUUUCAGUGAACAUUUACAAAACUUAAACAAAAACUAUCCAAAAACAUAGCCUCACAAUAGCAUCCAAUGCACUCGCACACUUACCGUCAACGAAUAGGAAACACCCAACACUCAAUUCGUUGGCGGAGCACCAAUUAUGAUAAUGCAAAAAUUUUAUGGAUUCUCAACACUAUCGAUCCAAAUGUAAGAUUGAUGCUUUCCAAUUAUGAUAAUGCAAAAAUUUUAUGGGAUGGUUUACAUGAAUUUUUGUUGUUGUCAACGAUCAAUGUAUUCAAUAAUUAAAAGAAAAUAUUAGUCGUUGUUAGAAAACCAAUACUAUGAGUGUUGUAGUUUAUUUCAGUAAAUUAAAGGUUUUGUGGGAUGAACUAGACAAUCAUGAACAAUUGAUUUAUUGCAAGUGUGGACAAUGUUUAUGUAACUUAGGGAAGACGGAUGAACAAUGUCGUGAGCAUGAUCGACUUCAUCAAUUACUUCUUGCUCUCUAUUCUAAUUGUUAUGCUCAAACUAGGUUUACAUUGUUUUACCAAGAUCCUUUGCCUUCCUUAAAUCAGGCAUUCCAACAAAUUACUUAGGAGGAACAUGUACGUGGAAUUACACUGAUUAAGGAAGAGAAGUCUGAUAUUUUAGGCUUUGCUUUGCAUACAGAAGGUCAUAACAAAGGCCGAGCUAAUUGUAUUGAUAAGUCAACCUUGUUGUGCACUCAUUGCUAUCGCAAAAGGCAUGAGAUGGCUACCUAUUUUGAAUUACAUAGCCACUUGGAUUGGCGGCUUAAGAAGUAUGGGAAGCCAGAGAAGAAAAGUGAUGAUCGUGGUGGUAAGACAAGUGCACAUCUUCCACGUAAGUAUUUUAUUUCAAAGGAUCACAAUUAAACAUUAGAUUUCUCAUUUUUAAAUUUUUUUUAUUUUUUUAACAACUACGUAAUUAACGAGUACCAAUUUUGGGUGUUGUAGGGGUUCUAUAACUUUCCCUAUAUGUAAUCGACUCUUGCACCCUCUUUUUUUCUCUAGAAUUCAAUGCAAACCUUAAAUUUAUCUUUUUAAAAGAAUUUUAAAAUCUCUUUAUAAAAGACGAUUUUUUUAGGUGACCAAUCACAGUUAAGAAAAACAAAUCGGUGGCAACUCCUUUCUAAUAAAUGUAAAAAACUUUUUAAACAAAAUAAGGUUGAAAUAAUCUAGUUGUCGUUAUACUUUGAUAAAAUUUUAGAUUUAGUCCUUAUACUUAAAAGGUUAAAAAUUAAGUCUUGUUUUUAUUUAAAAAUCUUAGUCCUAUCGUUAAUAUUGUUUUUUUUUUGUCAAAAUUUGUCAAGUUGACAUAUUAAUUAGGUUUCUCUUAUAUAUCGUGGUAUAUGACUAACACAAAAUAAACAAGUUGACAAAUUCUACAAAAAAUAUCAAAGAUGAUAAUAGUUUAAUUAAAAUUUUUAAAUUAAAAAAGUAAGGGAUUAAAUUUAUAACUUUUAAAGUAUAAUGAAUGAAAUUAUUGAAAUACAAGAACUAACAACAUAUUUUAAAAAUAUUACUAGUAAAUUAUAUAUCUACAACAAGAAUUGUAACCUCUUAUAUUAUAUUCUUGUAUUUAUUUUUGCAUCUUUCAUAAUAUGAUUUAUUAAUUUUAAUAUUUUUAUAGAAUAAUAUGCUUUAAAUAGUUUUUUGUAUCAUUUAUAAAAAUUAUAAUAAACUUACAAAAUAAUUUAAUGAUAUUUAAUUAUUAAUCGAAAAAAAUGAUAUCAUAUAUAUUAUGUAUAUAUUAAGAUUCCAAAUCAUUAAUUAUAUAUCUACGCAUUAUAAUAAAUUCAUCUUUCAAAAUUUUCCUUAUAAUUAAAGCAUAAAUUAUAUUUAUAAUAAUAUAAAUAUAUUCUAUCAUAAAUAUUCUUUCAAAUAUUUUUUAAUGUUUAAUAAUAAGUUAAUUUAUAAAAUAUUCUUUCAGUAAAUUAACGUGAUGAGAUCGUUAGGUGCUUGGAUUUGGUGAAGGGGGAUGAAGAGAAAAGGGAUGGAAGUGAAUAAAAAUGUUGAGAAAUGGAAAGGGUUAGCGAGGGAAGCCGCCAUGAAAGGUGGUUCAAUGGAUAUGAACCUUCAAGCUUUUGUGGAUGAUGUUACUCAAGGUUGUUGCAAGUAAAUUUAAAAAUGUUUUUAAAUUAUUUUUUUGUUAAAAAAACAUUUUUUACUUUUUUAUGUGGCAUGCCACAUUAUCAUACUAUCAUGUGACAAUUUCUGGUGAUUUCUGUCCGCAACAUUAGUCAAAUCAACUGUUAAAUCGUUCAACUCACAGUUUUUGUUAAAUGAAGAGGUUAAUUGAUUUUUUUUUGGAAUCAUUGAGUACUCAAUUGGUGCACUUUUUUCAUAAAGGCUAAAUUAAUUUUUUAAUUUGUUAUUGUUGAAGGCUAUAGCAAUAAAAAAAAUUGAGGUAAAAAAAUAUUAGAGCUAAAUUUGUCAUUAUGCCUAAAAUGUAAAACCAAAUUUUUUUGAAAAUGAAAAAAAAUGGAAAAUCGCAAAUUCCGUCGCAUAUUUUUGCUUAAAAUUAUAGUUUUGGUCACCAAUCUUUUGAAGUAAAUAUAGGUCACCAAUAUUAUCAAUUUGUUACUUUGUAAUAACUCACCUUAAGUUAUACCCCGACGCACGAAAGGAUUAAAUGACAUUGGGAUACCAUCAAACUUGUAUCUUAAAUACACAUUUACCCCUAAUUUUAUCACAUUCUUCUUAAUUGGUAUUUAUGGUUUAGAAAAUUUUACAAAUAUAUUAUUUUUUAAGAAAUUAUAAGAAGAUUACAAAAAUUCCAAAAUAAUAUAAAAAAGCUAAGGAAAACCUAGAAAUUCAAAAAAAAAAACGUGGACAUUGAAUUUGCUGUUUCACAUUAAAUUUUUGGAGAAGUAGAAUUUUCUAACUUAUUUUCCAUCAACUUCACUUCAAUUUUCAAUCACAAUCUAUUGCAUUCAAGAGCACCACAUCUUUUGGGAUGAAACAAACCUCUCAAUUUUAAGAUAAACGGAAUCUAUUGCAUUCAAGAGCACCACGUCUUUUUGGAUGAAACAAAGCUCUCAAUUUUAGGAUAAACGGGUCUUUAGGGUUAUAAAUUGAGGUCCUUUUCCACAAUUGCGGGUGAUUCGUUGAUAAUAACCUCAACAUUUCUGUAUCACAUUUAAUUCAAUUCCACAUUCAAUUUUUAGUUUUUAGAGAGAUGAUUGGGUUACAACAAUGGUUUGAAGUGAAGAUAUUUCAAAACAAGAUGAAUACUCUACCAAUAGUCAUAAUUUAAAAUGCAGGUUAUGUUUCAUUUCAGCUAAGUUAAAUGUUAAGAUUGAGGUUAAACCUUUUAGAGGUUGCUCGCAAAAGGAUCAAACCUUUAUAAAAUUGUUUAAAUGAAGGUCAAACCUCUUAAAAUAGACAAAUAAGGGCCUAACCUUUUAAAAGGUGUUCAAAUAAGGGUUUCUCAAAUUUUGUAUAUCAGGUUAUGUAUUUUACUCUAAACACAUCGACAUUUACCUAUUUUUUCUAUAAAUUGGGUUGAAGUGCAUGAAAAAACCUUAUUUAAGCACUUCUGUAAAGGUUAAACUCUUAUUUGACUAUUUUGAAAGGUUUGAUCCUUAUAUAAGCAACCUCUAAAAGAUUGAGUACUAAUUUGACAAGAUUGAGAAAUACCUAAAUUUGUUUUCAUGAAUCAAGAAAAUAAAAAAGAAAUGUUGAGAAAUAUUUUAGAGAUUCUUAGCUUUGACAAGUUCCCUCCAUCAUCUUCCUGCCUCCAGUCCCACCUCUUCUCUUAUGCUCCUCCCAGCUUCUUGCUUUUUGUGUGUUGAAAUUUCAAAGGAACAAAAUAUCAACCUACAUCAUAAGGCACGAUUGCCAGAACUUUACUUUCUAGCCUGUCGAUCCGAUCCAAUGAAAGAAGAACAAAGAGUCUCAAGAUCUGUCAACUUUAUUUCAUUUUCAUUUUCUUUGUCAUUUUCUAUGUUUCAUGUCGAAUACAAUGAAAGAACAUAGAAAAAUGUUGCCUAUUUAUUUCCCAAUCAUCAUGAAAUUACUUGCCAUAGACUUAGAAUUUUCUCACCAAUUUUCAAGCAAUCUGACAUGAUUUCUCAAUCACAAUUAAUUGAAUUCAAGAUCUUUUUAGAUGACACAAACAUUUCAAUUUUAACACAAACCAAUAUUUAGGUUGUACUUCAGUGCUUGACAAGCACUUUCACAUUUGUGGGAUAAGAACUCUUAACAUUUUAGGAUCACAUUUAAUUCAAUUGCAUUUAAGACCUCACGAUUUUAUUCUAUAAUUUCAGUCUUAUCAGCCUUUUCGGAAACAAUAAAACGUCGACAUUAAAUUUGUUGUUGAUGCAUUCAAUUUUUUGAGGGGUCUUUGGAGUUAUAUGUGACUUUAGCAUUGACUGACUUUUUUAUAAUUAAUCUUUUAUAAUAUAUCAAUUUUAAUAACAUCGACAUGUUUUUUAGUAGGGUCUAGCAAAACCCAAUUAAAACCGAUGAUAUUGGCUUAGUUGACUCGGUCAAGUCCAUUAGAUUGAUAAAAUCAAUUUUAAAAUCAGUUAUAAUGGAUUAAGGUAAUUAAUUAUCGAGUAAUGAAAUACAUAAUCAAAUCAAUUGAUUUUGUUAGAAACUAAAAGAAAAUGAGAUAAGCUGAAAACUGAUUGCCCUUUAUUAAAAUUAACGAAUCCGCCCUUUACGUAUUAGAUAAUACGAACAUCACAUAUAUAAUAAGAAAAAUUACGUAUGAUUAUUUAUUAUCAUAAAAGGUUAGUUUAAAUUUAAAGUAAUCUAAUAUGUUUAUUGAACUUCAACUAUUAAAUAAAGUAUAAGCUAAAUAAGUAUAAAUAUUCUAGAAACCAUUUCUAACUGAUGAUAGGCUAAUUCGAUUAAUUUAUAAAAACUACAUAGUAGGGUUAUAGUCCUCAAACUACACCUAAUUUAAUAAUAUUUAUAGUUUUUUUUUUAGCCUUAAACAUUUAUAGUUUUUUGUUAAUUUGGUCCUUACUCUUUAAAAUUACAUAAAAAUUGCAAAAAAAAUUAAAAUUAAUUUUUUUUCAUAAUUUUAAUAACAUUUAUAGUUUUUUUUUUGUGUGUGGUUUGGUAACUUAUCAACUCGACUCUCACUUGUAACCAACUUUUCUAACCUUUUUCGUACCCUUAACCUAAGUCCCGUUACAACUUUCUAAAGACCUCUUUAUCAGUGUAUCAUGUCGGUUUGUUUUAUAAUGGUGGAGAUUUGUUUUUUGUAGUGGCACGAUUGCCAGAACUUUACUUUCUAGCCUAUCGAUCCGAUCCAAUGAAAGAAGAACAAAGAGUCUUAAGAUCUGUCAACUUUAUUUCAUUUUCAUUUUCUUUGUCAUUUUCUAUGUUUCUUGUCAAAUACAAUGAAAAAAGAACAUAGAAAAAUGUUGCAUAUUUAUUUCCCAUUCAUCACUCUAACAGGCCCAAUUAGCCCAGGCCCAAACAUUAAUAAAAUGUCUAGAUUACAAAAUAAUCAACUAAAAAUUAAAAGCUCAAAAAAUAAAAUAAAACCCAUUAUAUUAACCCAAAACCCCAGCCCAAUUACAUUGAAACCCAAAAAAAAAAUAGUUUUCAGAAACCCCUAGGGUUUCAGAAGCCCCUCAAUGUUAUUUUGUAUAUCUAUUUAUCUUUUUAAAUUUUCGAUAUUGUCUUGUUUUGUUUUUGUAUUAUUGUUGUUACCAUCAUUAUUCAUUAUUAUUAUUGUUGAUUUUAUUGUUCUUUGAUUAAUGUUAAUGUUAGAGUAAUAGAUGUUAUGUGAUCAUUGUUAUUAUAUGUUAUAAUUUGUUUACACUCGUAUUGUAGUCAUUUGUCAGCUUAAUAUUUUGAGUAAUAUUUUAAAUAUUACAUUAAUUUCGACCCAAAUGCAUAAUUUUUUAAUAAGUAAUAUUUUAUAUUUUGAAAUUUGAGAGAUCAUUCCCUAACUUACGGGGUCUCAAUUUUUUCGAUAAAUCUGAAUAUACUAACUAUUUUCAAAAAAUAUGUUUUAAAAUUAUCUCGGGAAUUUAAAAAGGAGCGUGUUCUAACUUACUGAAUAUGAUCUUUUUUUUAAAAUCGAGAUAAUCAAAUAACUUUCAAAUAAAUAAAUUUUCAAUGUUUAUUCUCAUAUCAGGAUUUAAAAUAUUAUAUCCUAACUCACGGGAUACAAUUCUUUUUCUCGAUUAACAUGAAAUAUGCCCGUUUUAAUUUUAUUUUUUAAGUGAUUUUAACAAAAGGAUUGUAUUUUAAAUCUCUUCAAAAUUUUCAAUUUUUCGACAUUGAGACAUUAACUAAUCAAUUAGGUACCAAUUUUGGGCGUUACGAGGGUGCUAACCCUUCCUCAUACGUAACCGACUCCCGAACCUAUUUUUCUGAAUAUUGAAGGCCAAAAUUGUUUUAAUAAAUUAAACCCUUAAGACGUGACCCCAUCACACCUCAUAAAAAUUAUCGGUGGCGACUCUCGUUUGCGUUUUUGUUUUCGUUUUCAAAAUAAAAGUCGACCCCUUGUUUUAAAAAAGGUGGUUCGAUAGCUUGGCGACUCCGUUGGGGAAAAAAAUAAGAGAGUCAAGCCACGAGUUGAUUAUUUCUUAUUUUUUGUCAGAAAUUGUGAAUUCGAUUUAAAUUUACGAUCUUUUCAUUGCAUUUUAUGGUCUGCAUCAUUUUGAUAUGCUUGCUUUACUGGUUCGAGUCUUUUAAUCUCCGCAUAUUGCAUUGCAUAACCGUUCGGUUAUACCCUUUUAAGUGGGAGUGAGAAACUAUUCAUUUGUGAGAUUUUUACCUCCGUAUAGGAUAGUGGAUUACUUUCGGGAUACAUCCGUACCUAUGUCUUCGUGAGAUUUUCAUCUCCGUAUAGUUAUAGGGAAAUGUAUUCCCCUGAACUGAACUCAGUCCGUAUGAGCCUAUAAUAGGUAAGGAUUGAGGAAUCUGCUGGUUCAGGUACCCUUUCUUUAGAACUAAACUGCAUGUAGUGAGCCCUAAGAGCAUACCGUAGGUAGAACCACUCCAAACCCCUAGUGGUCACCCAAAUAGGUGCUCUAUUUAUUUUUGCUUGCUUAUUUUUGCAUUGUACUAACCUAUUUUUUUGUUAUGAUUGCAUUGCAUUUUCAUCAUAAAAAAGAUGUGUUGAUUCACGUUCAAUUGCUAAAUAGAGAGCUUGUCAUGGAAAACGGAUUUCUUGAUAAAGUGGAAGACAAUGUGGUUAUCCGGAUAUGGUCCAAGAAAAUUUGACGAAAGAAGGGUGAUAGUCUAAUGGAGGACUACACGACCUUGCUUUAUUGCCCGAGGAUUCAAGUUGACAAAGAUUAUUUGAGAGUCCUCAAUGUCCCGACCUUUUUCAAGAAGCUAACGAGUGUCACGAGGAUGAGUGAGUAAUGAGUUGCGGCCCGGAUCAAGCAAAAAAGAGAUAGAGGAGACACCCUUUUUGAAGAGUUCGCGAGAUUUAUAUUAAUAUCAAAAUGAAGAAAAAGAUCAAUGUCUUCGCCUGGAGUAUGAAAGCAAAGCUGUAUAUAUAUCCGCUUUAUGUAAAUAAAUUUGUUUUCUAGUAAAGUUUUUCUAAUAGAAUUGAAUCAGAAUCAAUGUCUUUUUUUGCAUUCAUUCCAUUCAUCUGCAUUGCAUUUCAUUGCAUCCAAAAUUUCACAAAAGGACCCUAAUUAAUUGAAAUUGUUAUAGUUACUCUGAAAACUAAUAAAAAUCUACCAAUUAAAUAUUCCUACGGUACCCGUCGCAAAACCAAAGUAAUGGAUCAAAUAUUAGAAAGAUUAGAACAAAUUCUGAAAGACAAGCAUAAUCGUUUUUGCUUAGGGUACAAGCCAGAUACAAGACAAAGAAGGAAGGAGUUAGAGAAGAAAUAGGAAAGAAUGACAGCAUAUUUGAGCGAGGAUGAGGUCAAAUGGGAGCCUAUGAACUUUCCCUACAUAUCCAAAACUUUUGUAUCGGGAGGGAUUAUUCAUCCCGAGCGAAGAAUGCCAAGAGAAGAAAAUAUUGAAGAAAUGUUGGGAAACGUUCACAUCAAUGCCAUAUACGAAGAAGUAGUUGAAGGAUGGACCUUGUUAGAUAUCCGACCUUAUGAACCUGGGAGUGUGCUAAACAAUUGGACUACAGAAGAAAUUCCUGUAGUGUUUAGACCUUACUCAGAGUAAUAUUCAAAACACACUUGUUGCUUUUAGCCUAGAAGUGAUAAGAAUCCCUCUGUGAAAUAGGCUCAUGUAUAAACAUCAUUAUUUUAAUAAAGUAAAUCUUUGCAUUCAUUUUGAGCAAAUAUUCUUUUAUUCUUUCCAUACGAGUAAUUAUUUUAGAUUUUUCAUUAUUUUAGGAUUUUCUUCCAAAAAUCAUUCUUUUAUUACAUUCAUAAUCAUACUGUACAAAUAAUUAUUCUUAAAUUCAUUCAUUCUUUGUAUAUUCUUUUGUACCUAUAAUAGGUCCCUAGAUAUCAACGACAUGAGUGACGCUGCUACAGACUUAGAAUUUCCUUUUAAACAAGACAUGUGUUUAGAGGGAUCCCAUGACUUUGAAGAUGACGUAGACUGUGGCUUAUCUCCGGACUUGUUAAGGAUGGUAAAACAAGAGGAGAAGCAAAUCCUACUUCACAAUGAAUCAAUGGAAAUUGUGAGCUUAGAAGGGGAAAAUAGGUGAAGAUUGGGACUGACAUUGCCACAAAUACGAAGUAAGACCUCAUUGAGUUACUCUAAGAAUUCAAAGAUAUUUUUGCAUGGUCAUACUAGGAUACGCUCGGGUUAAGUACUGACAUUGUAGUACACUGCCUUCCUAUAAAAGAAGAUUGCUAGCCAGUUCAGCAGAAACUCCAGAGGAUGAGGCCUGAUAUUGUGCUAAAAAUAAAAGAAGUCAAAAAGUAAUUUGAUGUUGGGUUCUUACAAGUGGUCAAAUAUUCAGAAUGGGUAGCCAACAUCGUCUCAGUUCCUAAAAAAAAUGGGAAAGUACGAAUGUGCAUGGAUUACAGAGACUUGAACAAGGCCAGUCGAAAAGACAAUUCCCUAUUGCCUCACGUUGACACUUUGGUGGAUAAUACAGUAGGCUACUCACUUUUUUCCUUCAUGGAUGGCUUCUCUGGAUACAAUCAGAUAAAGAUGCAUCCAAAAACAUGGGAAAGAUUACAUUCGUGACCCUGUAGGAAACGUUUUACUAUAAAGUGAUGACAUUCAGAUUAAAGAAUAUGGGAGCGACGUAUCAAAGGGUGAUGGUAACCUUGUUUCAUGACAUGAUUUACAAGGAAAUCGAGGUUUAUAUUGACGAUAUGAUUGCAAAAUCUAGAACAGAAGAGGAACAUGUGCAGGUCCUGAGAAAAUUAUUCUUAAGACUGAGAAAGUUCUAGCUCAAGCUUUCCAACGAAAUGCACUUUCGGAGCUAGGUCAGGAAAGCUAUUAGGCUUCAUAGUCAGUGAAAAAGGAAUCGAGAUCAACCCAGACAAAGUCAAGGUAAUAAGAGAUUUACCUCCACUAUGCACUCAGAAGAAAGUUCGAGGUUUCCUAGGAAGACUAAAUUACAUUGCUCGGUUUAUUUCACAACUAACCGAAAAAUGUGACCCCAUAUUUCAUCUUUUAAAGAAACAUAAUCCAGAUGUAUAGGAUGAAGAAUGUCAGGAAGUUUUUGAUAGGAUAAAGCAGUACCUAUCAAAUACUCUAGUGCUGUUACCACCUAGCCCAGAUAGGCCACUGAUAUUGUAUUUAACAGUGUUUGAUAAUUUUAUGGGAUGCAUGCUAGGCCAACAUGAUGAGACAGGAAGGAAAGAAAGGGUUAUAUACUAUCUCAGUAAGAAAUUCACUGAUUAUGAAAUAAGAUACUCGUCUAUUGAGAAAUUAUGUUGUGCCUUGAUCUGGAUAACUCGGAGGCUAAGGCGGUACAUGUUGUACCAUACGACUUGACUAAUUUCAAAGUUAGACCCUUUAAAGUAUAUGAUGGAGUCAACUACUUUGAAUGGGAGGAUGGCCAGAUGGCAGAUUUUACUUUUUGAAUUUGACAUACUUUAUGUGAGCCAGAAGGCUAUAAAAUGGAGUGCAAUAGCGGAUUUUCUAGCUAGCAGAGCCUUGGAGGAUUAUGAGCCUUUAAAUUUUGAUUUUUUGAACGAGGACUUAAUGUAUGUGGCAACCACUAAAGAAAAUGCUCAAGUGGAUCGCAUUUGGAAGCUAAAAUUUGACGGAGCCUCAAAUGCUAUGGGUAAUAAAAUUGAGGCAGUCUUAGUAUCCCCGAGCAGAGAUCAUUAUCCUAUUGCUGGCAAAUUGGAUUUUGAUUGUACAAACAAUAUAGCAGAAAAUGAAGCGUGUAUUAUGGGCAUCCGUAUAGCCAAAGAAUGUAAAAUCAAAGUGCUAAAGGUAUAUGGGGAUUCUGCAUUGGUGAUAUAUCAGCUCAAAGGAGGAUGAGAGAUAAGAGACCUCAAAUUGAUUAAUUAUCGAAAGUUUAUUCUCGAAUUGAUUGAUGAGUUUGAUGAUAUUACUUUCUCCUAUCUCCCACUAGAUGAAAACCAGAUGGCUGACACGUUGGCUACUCUAGCUUUCAUGAUCAAAGUAAACAAACUAGAAGACAUGAAGCCUAUCCAGAUGAGCAUUUAUGAGACUUUGGCUCAUUGCUACAGUAUCGAGGAAGAGGAAAAGGAUGAUCAUCCUUGGUACCAAGAUAUACUGCAAUAUGUAAAGAAUCACGAGUACCCUGAUCAGGCAACGAAGAAUGAUAAGAGGACAUUGAGAAGACUAGCCACUAACUAUGUCUUACAUGGAGAGAUUUUAUACAAAAAGGGAAAGGAUCGGGUACUACUAAGAUGCUGGAUGCUAUAAAAGCUUAGAAAAUCUUGGAGGAAGUCCAUGAAGGUAUCUGCAAAAUGCAUGCCAACGGUUUCACAAUAGUAAGACAGAUUAUGAGAUUCGGGUACUACUGGUCGACCAUGGAAGGAGAUUGCAUCAAUUAUGCCAAGAAGUGCCAUAAAUGUCAAAUUUAUAGAGACAAAAUACACGCACGUUCUUCACCUCUCAACGUUAUGACUUCUCUAUGGCCUUUCUCUAUGUGGGAUAUGGAUGUCAUCGGGCCAAUAUUGCCAAAGGCUUCUAAUAGGUAUCGUUUCAUCUUCAUGGUCAUUGGUUACUUCACUAAAUAGAUGGAAGCUGAUUCAUAUGCUAAUGUCACGAAGUCAGGAGUCAGCAAGUUCUUGAAAAGGGAGAUCAUAUGUUGAUAUAUAAUGCCUGAAAGAAUCAUAUCUGACAAUACAUUGAAUUCGAAAAAUAGCAAAAUAGCGGAGGUCUGCAAUCAAUUCAAGAUCAAACACCAUAAUUCGUCACCAUAUCGCCCAAAAAUGAACGGAGCAGUGGAGGCGGCCAACUAAAAUACCAAGAAAAUUGUGGGGAAAAUGUCUGAGACUUACAAAGAUUGGCAUGAAAAAUUACCAUUUGCCCUCUUUGUUUAUCGAACAUCAAUCAGGACUUUCGUCGGGGCAACGCCUUUCUCUCUAGUUUAUAAGAUGGAGGCAGUUUUACCCAUUAAAGUUGAAAUCCCUUCUCUCUGGGUAUUGGCUGAGCUAAAGUUGGAUGAAGCUGAAUAGAUCCAACCUCGAUAUGAUCAGUUGAACCUAAUAGAAAGAAAAAGGCUAAAAGUUAUUCACCACGGUCAGAUGUACCAAAAACGAAUGAUGCGAGCCUACAACAAAAAAGUUCAUCCCAAAGAAUUCUAUGAGGGGGACCUAGUGUUGAAAAAGAUUUUUCCUCUACAAAAGAAUUUUAGAGGAAAAUGGAUGCCAAAUUAGGAAAGACCUUAUGUUGUAAUAAAGGCCUUUUCUGGAGGAGCAUUGAUUUUGAGUGAGAUGGAUGGUAAAAAUUUUCCUAAUCUUGUAAACUCAGAUUCAUUCAAGAAAUACUUCACCUAAAGAAGGAGAAGGGACCAAUGUGAAAACCUGCAAAGGGCACUUUGAGUCUUAAAAAAAAGAGACCAAGGUGAAAACCGCAAAUGGUGUCUUAAGUCCUAAAAAAAAGAGGCCAAGGUGAAAACUAGCAAAGGGCGCCUUGAGACCAAAGGGGAUUUGAGUUGAAAACCCGAAAAGAGCGACUCAAAUAUUGAUUAAAAUGGGGCAUGCAGUGAUCUUGCUAUACUUGAAUUAAUAGGAAAGGGGUAUACGACAUCUUGGGGCAUCGACAAAGUACUAUAGAUCUCCUAAACACAUUUCAAACUCAAAAUGGUCUUUAGGAAGUUUGUACAGAGAAAUUCAAGCUGCGAUGUCUAGGGCACCUAGUCUUCAUACUAUUUAUAUUAAAUUUGCUAUUCUUGGAAUACUUUAUUCUUUUCAAGAUACGUGUUCCCAAUCAAUUCCCUUUUUAUUCUUCUUUAUCCUUGAUAAUUUAUUCAUUUCGAGCUAUGCUCCAAAUCAAUUCUAUUCUUAUCCAUUGUUAUUAUCUUUUGCAAGCAUGUUGUAUUGGAAUAAUGAUUAAUAGACUAAUAAUACUUUUACAAAUAAAGUGCUGUAUAUUACUCUAAAAGUUUCUAAAUAAUACAAGAACCUAAAACAGGACUAUUGUUUAGAACGCACCGGGUUUAAAGGUUAGAAAUAUCUGAGAAGGAAGAGUCCAAAUUAAGACUAUCCCUUCGAAUUUUGUUGUCAAAAUAUUGAUUGAACAAAACGACAAGAUAUCGUAUUGGUGAACAAACGAGCAAUGAUCACCAGGUAAUAAAAAGAGGUUAUUUUGGAAAAAAAAUUACAUUGGUACGACACCUUAGGAAUGGUGUAAGAGACCAAAGAGGUUCACAUCUUGUAUUCUUGAAUUGCAAUAGGAGAGGAUUGAGAAAGAGCUAGAUAUUAUACUCCUGAAUUAUAAUGGAAGGGAAAUGGUACAAAUUUUAUGUACCAAAAGUACAGUGGAUUGAACCUUGAAGAUUACAGUAGGGGAAAUCUGAUUAAGUAAAAUAUGAAGUGUUUCUUUGGAGAUACCAGUCGAACAAGAUGGCAUUAUGACGUGUCGGUGAUAGAGCCUUAAUGAAUAAUGAGCAAUAACAACUCAAGCAUUAAGGGAUCAUUUUCAUAACAUUCUGUAUUCAUUCAUACACAUCUAGUUAGGAGAUUUUGAUUCAUUCCGAUCAUAACAUCCAAAUCACUAGACAUAAAUAGGCCCAUGAAAUGGAUUCUACAGGUCAUGUUCCCCAUAGAACAGAUGGGUGAAACCACAAAUCCUAUACCGCUGAAGUUGCAGUGGGAUGGAUUGAAGUCAUUAUGGCGAGUCUUAUCUCCCUGAAGUUGCAAUGGAGCAUAUUAAAGCUAGUAAUCUUAUCUCCCUGAAGUUGCAGUAGAGCGGAUUGAAGUUACAAGUCUUAUCCCCCUAAAGUUACAGUGGAGCAGACUGAAGAUAGUGAAUCUUAUUUCCCUGAAGCUGCAGUGGAACAAAUUGAAGCUAUAAAUUGUAGAUUUUAUCUCUCUAAAGUUGCAAUAGAGAAGAUCAUAUCAAACUUUAUCUCCCUGAAGUUGUAGUGGAACAGGUUGAAAAUACCAAUCUUAUCUCCCUGAAGUUACAGUGGAGUAGACUGAAGAUAGCGAAUCUUAUUUCUCUGAAGUUGCAGUGGAACGGAUUGAAGCUAUAAAUUACAGAUCUUAUCUCUCAGAAGUUGCAGUAAAGCAGAUCAUAGAAAACCUUAUCUCCCUGAACUUGCAGUGGAGUAGGUUGAAGUUAUAAGUCUUAUCUCCCUAAAGUUGCAGUGGAGCAGACUGAAGAUAGCGAAUCUUAUUNNNNNNNNNNNNNNNNNNNNNNNNNNNNNNNNNNNNNNNNNNNNNNNNNNNNNNNNNNNNNNNNNNNNNNNNNNNNNNNNNNNNNNNNNNNNNNNNNNNNNNNNNNNNNNNNNNNNNNNNNNNNNNNNNNNNNNNNNNNNNNNNNNNNNNNNNNNNNNNNNNNNNNNNNNNNNNNNNNNNNNNNNNNNNNNNNNNNNNNNNNNNNNNNNNNNNNNNNNNNNNNNNNNNNNNNNNNNNNNNNNNNNNNNNNNNNNNNNNNNNNNNNNNNNNNNNNNNNNNNNNNNNNNNNNNNNNNNNNNNNNNNNNNNNNNNNNNNNNNNNNNNNNNNNNNNNNNNNNNNNNNNNNNNNNNNNNNNNNNNNNNNNNNNNNNNNNNNNNNNNNNNNNNNNNNNNNNNNNNNNNNNNNNNNNNNNNNNNNNNNNNNNNNNNNNNNNNNNNNNNNNNNNNNNNNNNNNNNNNNNNNNNNNNNNNNNNNNNNNNNNNNNNNNNNNNNNNNNNNNUCAAAGGAACAAAAUAUCACCUACAUCAUAAGGCACGAUCGCCAGAACUUUACUUUCUAGCCUGUCGAUCCGAUCCAAUCCAAUGAAAGAACACAAGGAGUCUUAAGAUCUGUCAACUUUAUUUCAUUUUCAUUUCUUUGUCAUUUUCUAUGUUUCAUGUCGAAUACAAUAAAGAGAACAUAGAAAAAUGUGGCCUAUUUAUUUCCCAAUCAUCAUGAAAUUACUUGCCAUUGACUUAGAUUUUCUCACCAAUUUCAAGCAAUCUGACAUGAUUUCUCAUCACAAUUAAUUGAAUUCAAGAUCUUUUUAGAUGACACAAACAUUUCAUUUUAACACAAACCAAUAUUUCGGUUAUACUUCAGUGCUUGACAAGCACUUUCACAUUUGUGGAUAAGAACUCUUAACAUUUUAGGAUCACAUUUAAUUCAAUUGCAUUUAAGACCUCAUGGUUUUAUUCUAUAAUUUCAGUCUUAUCAGCCUUUUCGGAAACAAUAAAACGUCGACAUUAAAUUUGUUGUUGAUGCAUUCAAUUUUUUGGGUCUUUGGAGUUAUGUGACUUUAGCAUUGACUGACUUUUUUAUAAUUUAAUAAUAAGGUAAAUAUAUUAAUUUUAAUAACAUCGACAUGUUUUUUAGUAGGGUCGAGCAAAACCCAAUUAAAAUCGAUGAUAUUGGCUUAGUUGACUCGGUCAAGUCCAUUAGAUUGAUAAAAUCAUUUUUAAAAUCAGUUAUAAUGGAUAAAGGUAAUUAAUUAUCGAGUAAUGAAAUACAUAAUCAAAUCAAUUGAUUUUGUUAGAAACUAAAAGAAAAAGGGCUAAGCUGAAAAUUGAUUGCCCUUUAUUAAAAUUAACGAAUCUGUCUUUUACGUAUUAGAUAAUAUGAACAUCGCAUAUAUAAUAAGAAAAUUACGUAUGAUUAUUUAUUAUCAUAAAAGGUUAGUUUAAAUUUAAAGUAAUCUAAUAUGUUUAUUGAACUUCAACUAUUAAAUAAAGUAUAAGCUAAAUAAGUAUAAAUAUUCUAGAAACCAUUUCUAACUGAUGAUAGGCUAAUUCGAUUAAUUUAUAAAAACUAGAUAGUAGGGUUAUAGUCCUCAAACUACACCUAAUUUAAUAACAUUUAUAUUUUUUUUAGCCUUAAACAUUUAUAGUUUUGUUAAUUUGGUCCUUACUCUUUAAAAUUACAUAAAAAAUUGCAAAAAAAUUAAAAAUUAAUUUUUAUCAUGAUUUAAUAACAUUUAUAUUUUUUUUUGUGGUUUGGUAACUUAUCAACUUGACUCUUACUUGUAACCAACUUUUCUAACCUUUUUCGUACCCUUAACCUAAGUCCCGUUACAAUUUCUAAAGACCUCUUGAUUGGUGUAUCAUCUCGAUUUGUUUUUAUAGUGGUGGAGAUUUGUUUUUUGUAGUGGGCAUGAUUGCCAGAACUUUACUUUCUAUCCUGUCGAUCCGAUCCAAUGAAAGAAUAACAAAGAGGUCUUAAGAUCUGUCAACUUUAUUUCAUUUUCAUUUUCUUUGUCAUUUUCUAUGUUUCUUGUCACAUACAAUGAAAGAAGAACAUAGAAAAAUGUUGCCUAUUUAUUUCCCAAUCAUCAUUCUAACAGGCCGAAUUAGCCCAGGCCCAAACAUUAAUAAAUGUCCAGAUUACAAAAUAACCAACCAAAAAUUAAAAGCCCAAAUAAUAAAAUAAAACCCAUUACAUUAACCCAAAACUCCAGCCCAAUUACAUUGAAGCCAAAAAAAUAGUUUUUAGAAACCCCUAGGGUUUCUGGAACAAUCCGCGCCGCUCCUCCAUCCGCUUCUCCACGCACGCUGCACCUUUCCACGUGCGCCUCCAGCUGGCAGUGUACCUCCAAUGCAACAAACAAAGCAACAAGCAGCAAAAGAAAUGGAAAAACAACAAAAAAAAAAGAAGGAGCAACAAUGUAUAACAGAUUGAUAACAAAUAAUAGAAAAAAUAGCAGUAAAUAGGAAAAAAAAUUAAAAAAUAAUGAGGGUAAUUUCAUUUUUUUCUCUGUUUUGGCUAUAAAGAGAGCCGGUCAAAAUCUCUAAAGGGGGAUUUAGAAUCAAUCAGAAAACAAGUAUUUUGUACCAACAAUUAGAGAAAAAAAAUACAAAAAUAGGGAUUGAAGGUUUUUUUUUUCUUUCGUUUCGAUUUAUUUAAAAUAGCAUAGAAAAUAAAAAGAAGGCUUACCUUGCGACGCCUUCAGAUCCUCUCGAAAAGGGGCUAAAAGGCCCUAUGUGGCACAGAUUUGACCACUGUUCACGGUGGAACCGCAGCGGAGGCGCAGAGGAUUGGCAUCAAUUUAGGCAGGGUUUGAAACCCUAGCAGAGAAAAAAUUAGGGUUGAUAGAUUUUUUUUAAAAAAAUGGCAAAAUGUUGUUUUUAAAAAAUUUUGUUUUAAAAAAAUUGUUGCUUUUAUAAAGGGUGUAAAACGGCGUCGUUUAGGGCAUGUUUCGAUGGCCCCAAAACGGCGCCUUAUAAGGCAACCCCCGACGACCCGACCUGCUCCAUGGGGGAUCCGCGUGGUUUUUGUUAAAUGGGUUAUGUCUAACCCUGGCCCUUCUACUUUUUAUACUUGUUUUAAUUUGAUCCUCUUUUUAUUUAUUUUUAUUUCUUUAAAUUAAGCCUGAUAAUUUUUUUCCAUUACAUUUUAAUCCUUAAUGAAACGGCGCGUUUUAGAGGAGAAGGGAAAAUUACCCUUCUAGUCCCUUCUUGUUAUUCGAGUGUUCAGAAGGGUCCUUUUUUGUUUAUUUUUUAUUUGCCCCAAAAUUUUGUUUUAAAGCUUAAUUUAGUCCUAUUUUGUUAUUUUAGCUAUUUUAUUAUUAGAUUAAUUAAUUUAAUAUUAUUAUUACUGCUAUUAUUUUACCCCUAUUAGUUAUAUAUUUAUUAUUAUAACUAUAUCAUUAAAUCAAUUAGUUUUUACAUUAUUAUUUCCAUUCUGUUUUUUAUUUACUUACUUAAAUACUUUAAAUGCAUUUAUUUUAUUUCUUAUUUUUUUAUGAAAUUUCAAAACUUUAGACUAUUUUUUUGUUACUAUAACCCUAAUUUCAUUCAUUUUAUAAUAGUUUUUUUUUAAAAUAUUUCUUAGAUUAAUUCCCUCGAUGUUAUUUUGUAUAUUUAUUUAUCUUUUUAAAUUUUCGAUAUUGUCUUAUUGUAUUAUUGUUGUUACUAUCAUUAUUCAUUAUUAUUGUUGAUUUUAUUCUUCUUUGAUUAAUGUUUAUGUUAGAGUAAUAGGUGUUAUGUGAUCAUUGUUAUUAUAUGUUAUAAUUUGUUGACACUCGUAUUGUAGUCAUUCGUCAGCUUAAUAUUUGAGUAACAUUUUAAAUAUUACAUUAAUUUUGACCCAAAUGCAUAAUUUUUUAAUAAGUAAUAUUUCGUAUUGUGGAAUUUGAGAGAUCAUUCCCUAACUUACGGGGUCUCGAUUUUUUUGAUAAAUCUGAAUAUAAGAACUAUUUUAAAAAAAUACGUUUUAAAAUUAUCUCGGGAAUUUAAAAAGAAGCGUGUUCUAACUUACGGAAUAUGAUCUUUUUUAAAAAUCGAGAUAAUCAAAUAUCUUUCAAAUAAAUAAACUUUUCGUGUUUAUUCUCGUUUUAGGAUUUAAGAUAUUGUGUCCUAACUCACGGGACACAAUUCUUUUUCUCGAUUAACGUGAAAUACGCCCUUUUUAAUUUUAUCUUUUUAAGUGAUUUUAACAAAAGGAUUGUAUUUUAAAUCUCUUCAAAAUUUUCAAUUUUUCGACAUUGAGACAUUAACUAAUCAAUUAGGUACCAAUUUUGGGCGUUACAAGGGUGUUAACCCUUCCUUGUACAUAACCGACUCCCGAACCUAUUUUUCUGAAUAUUAUAGGCCAAAAUUGUUUUAAUAAAUUAAACCCUUAAGAGGUGACUCGAUCACAGCUCAUAAAAAUUAUCGGUGGCGACCCUUGUUUUAAAAAAGGUGGUUUCAACAGCUUGGCGACUCCGCUGGGGACAAAAAUAAGAGUCAAGCCGCGAGUUGAUUAUUUCUUAUCUUUUUGUCAGAAAUUGUGAAUUCGAUUUAAAUUUAUGAUCUUUUCAUUGCAUUUUAUGGUCUGCAUCAUUUUUAUAUGCUUGCUUUACUACUUCGAGUCUUUUAAUCUUCGCAUAUUGUAUUGCAUAACCGUUCGGUUAUACCCUUUUAAGCGGGAGUGAGAAAUUAUUCUUUCGUGAGGUUUUCACCUUCGUAUAGGAUAGUGGAUUACUUUCAGGAUACAUCCAUACCUAUGUCUUCGUGAGAUUCUCAUCUCCGUAUAGUCAUAGGGAAAUGUAUUCCCCUGAACUGAACUCAGUCCGUAUGAGCCUAUAAUGGGUGAGGAUUGAGGAAUCUGCUGGUUCAGGUACCCUUUCUUUAGAACUAAACCGCAUGUAGUGAGCCCUAAGAGCAUACCCUAGGUAGAACCACUCCAAACCCCUAGUGGUCACCCAAAUAGGUGCUCUAUUUAUUUUUGCUUGCUUGUUUUUGCCUUGUACUAACCUAUUUGUUAUGGUUAUGAGUGCAUUGCAUUUUUAUCAUAAAAAAGAUGUGUUGAUUCACGUUCAGUUGCUAAAUAGAGAGCUUGUCAUGGAAAACGAAUUUCUUGAUAAAGUGGAAGACAAUGCGGUUGUCCGGAUAUGGUCCAAGAAAAUGUGAAGAAAGAAGGGUGAUAGUCUAAUGGAGGACUACACGACCUUGCUUCGUUGCCUGAUGAUUCAAGUUGACAAAGAUUAUUCGAGAGUCUUCAAUGUCCCGACCUUUUUAAAGAAGCUAACGAGCGUCACGAGGAUGAGCGAGUAAUGAGUUGCGGCCCGGAUCAAGCAAAAAAAAGAUAGAGGAGACACCCUUUUUGAAGAGUUCACGAGAUUUAUCUUAACAUCUAGACGAAGAAAAAGAUCAAUCUCUUUGCCUAGAGUAUGAGGGCAAAGCCGUAUAUAUAUCCGCUUUAUGUAAAUAAAUUUGUUUUCUAGUAAAGUUUUUCUAAUAGAAUUGAAUCAGAAUCAACGUCUCUUUUUGCAUUCAUUCCAUUCAUCUGCAUUGCAUUUCAUUGCAUCUAGAAUUUCACAAAAGGACCCUAAUUAAUCGAAAUUGUUAUAGCUACCUUGAAAAACUAACGAAAAUUUACCAAUUAAAUAUUCCUAUGGUACCCAUUGCAAAACUAAAGUAAUGGAUCAAAUAUUAGAAAGAUUAGAACAAAUGCUGAAGGAUAAACAUAACUGCUUUGGCUUAGGGUACAAGCCAGAUACAAGACAAAGAAGAAAUAGGAAAGGAGAACACGUUUGAGCGGGGAUGAGGUCAAAUGGGAGGGAUUAUUCAUCCCAGGCGAAGAAUGCCAAGAGAAGAAAAUAUUGAAAACAUGUUGGGAAACGUUCACAUCAAUGCCAUAUACGAAGAAGCAAUUGAAGGAGUGACCUUGUUAGAUAUCCGCCCUUAUGAACCUAAGAGUGUGCUAAACAAUUGGACUGCAGAAGAAAUUCUUGUAGUGUUUAGAGCUUACUCAUAGUAAUGUUCAGAACACACUUGUUGCUUUUAGCCUAGAAGUGAUAAGAAUCCCUCUGUGAAAUAGGCUCAUGUAUAAAAAUCAUUAUUUUAAUGAAGUACAUCUUUGCAUUCAUUUUGAGCAAAUAUUCUUUUAUUCUUUUCAUACGAGUAAUUAUUUUGGAUUCUUUAAUUCUUUUGGGAUUUUCUUCCAAAAUCAUUCUUUUAUUACAUCCAUAAUCAUACUGUACAAAUAAUGUAAUAGCCUGAAUUUUCAGUGGUGUCGGAAUGGUGAUUCAAGAUCACUAAGUCUGACAAAUGAGUAGAAAAUAUUAUUAAUUUAGUAAGAAUAAGUAAAUGUGAAGUUAGGAAAAUUUUUGAAAUAGUGAAUAGUGUACUAGGAAUAAAUAUUAAAAUAAUUAAAAUAAAAAAUGAGGUAUCGAGACCUCGAAGAUUUUAAACCAAGCCAUAAGUACUUUUAGAAGUAUUUUUAGAGUGUCAUUGAGUUGGUAUUAAAGUUUCGUUAGAAAAUUUUAACGCUCGGAUAGUUAAUUAACCAAAAAGGACUAAAUUGAAAAUAGUGUAAAAUUUGUUAAAUUGUGAUUAAAUAGCUUAAGUGAUUAAAAAGGAGGGAUUUAAAAGGCAAUUAGGCCCAAAUUAUAUGGGCUGGACGGUUGGGUAAGAAAAAUCAGCAGAAUGUAAGGAGAAAACAGGGGCAAAAUUGGAAACUUAACAAAUUAAACAUAUAAAACAAAGACAAAAGUGAAAAAUCUAGAGAUCUGUUCACAAUUUAUCAGCAAAAAUGCCAUAGGAGGUCUGAAAGAAGCUGGUUUUUCAUAUAUUUGAAUCAUGUAAGUUUAAUUCUUGAUUAUUUCUUCUAAUUUUUGUGAUUUUGAUACUUUUACAAUUAGGUCCAACUAAUUAUUUCAUUAGUUUUUGAUUUCAUGGCUGAUUUUGAAAGUUACCAUUGAUGAGUGUUGGAUUUUUAUGAUGAAUAAACAUGGAAUUAAAGCUUUAAUUUUGUUAUAUGAUGAUUUUAUUAAGUAAUUUUGAUAGAAAUUGAUUUUUGGGACCUAAUUGUGAAAAAGUUUGGAAUUAGGGUUUGGUGUUGCGGUUUUGAAUAUGAAAGGCUAUGUAGUAGUCUAAAAUAGUUGGAAAAGGUGUUAAUUGAGAAAAAUUAGAUCAAUUGAGGGGUUAAUUGAGUAGGACCAAAUUGUAAAAACUGUAAAGUUUGAGGUAAAAGUGUAAUUUCGAAAAUUUAAGGGCAUAAAUUGUGAAGUGAAUUAGAAUAGAAUUAUAUGCUGAUGAAUGAAUAAAUUUGUAUUUUAGAUCGAGAACCCGAAGCAAGCCGAGGAAAAGAAAAAGUAGUUGAUUAGUCCCUGAACUUUUACAAAUUCUGCAAAUCGACCCAGGUAAGUUCAUAUGGCUGAAAUUUAAUGAUUAAAUGUUAAUUUCAUGAAUUAUGUAAUGUAUGAUGAAAUGUAUUUAGUGUUGAAAUGAGAGUAAAAUAAAAAUGCGAAAAUCGAAUAAAUGAUCAAAUUAAGCGGAACGCCGGAUUUGAGUACUUCUGAUCAAGAGACAAAGUGAUAAGUGGUAGCUUUAGCUACACUUAUCUGAUCAAGUGAAAAAGUGAUAAGUGCUACACUUAUCUGAUCAAGAGACAAAGUGAUAAGUGGUAGCUUUAGCUCACUUAUCUGAUCAAGUGAAAAAGUGAUAAGUGCUAUACUUAUCUGAUCAAGUGACAAAGUGAUAAGUGGUAGCUUAGCUACACUUAUCUGAUCAGGGCCAAAUGAUAAGUGAUCAUACGUAAGACCAUAGUUAUACUAUGGCCAAGUGAAAGUGAAGUACUCAAUUUUCCGUAACCGUUCCUUAAUUUUGAUCAAGGAUGGUAAGUGACAAAUAGGCCCAAAGAAAUUAUGGUAAAAGAAUAAGUAGUAGUGAGUUUAUACCAAGGAACUCUCCAAAGAUUGUGGUUGACAAGUAAACUUAGUAAUGGUGUAUAUUGUAUAAGUGUACAAAUGUUUGGUAAGAUUUAUGUUUGUGCCUAUGAACUUACUAAGCUUUUCUAUAAGCUUACAUGUGUGUGUUUAUUGUUUUUCUAGAUUAACGUAUUUAUACAUUCGGAGGAUCGGAUCUACUUCGAGAAUCACACUAUCCAGAUAUACUCCGGUAGAUUUUGUUAAACAACUUUUUGGAUUUAUAUGGCAUGUACAGAGAAUUGAAGUAAAAAGUAAUAGAAUGAAUGACUGAGUAUGCAAAGUAAAUUUGAAUGUGAUGGUUGUGUUAGAUAUUGAAAAAUACAUGUUUUUAGUUUGAAAUGGUUGAUUGGCUGAACUUCGUUAGUAUUCAAGUGAAGUAGUUGAAAUACUGGAAUUGGUUGUGAUUUGAAAUUUGCAGGGAAGGUUAGAUAAAUAUAAAGGGGUUAUAUUGAUUUUUUUUUUAAAUUUCAAUGGAAUAAUUUUUGGACAGCAGCAUUGAUGUAACUUUUAAAAAUCACCAAAAAUAGUGGAAAUAGAAUUAGAAGUUGAAUGAGAUAUGAAAUUAAAUCUGAAUGAGUCUAAUUUCACAUGAAAGAAGUAGAAUAAGAAAAAGAGUUAUAUAUUUUUAGAUAUUUGAAUUUUAGUGAAACAGGGCAAGAAUGUUUUUGAAGUCCCCUGUUCUGACUUUAGAAAUUUAGUAAAAAUUGUACAAAAGGAAUUAUGAAUUAUAAUUUAUAUGUUUAAAUUCCGUAAUGAGUAUAUUUUAAGUAGAAAUAAUUGGAACCACCAUAUGAAGUCUUUGCAAUGAGAUAAUUGAAUUUUAGUGACAAGAGGUCAGGAUAGUCAAUUAGUGAAAUAGGGGAGACUUCAACUAAUAAACUGUAUUAAUUUGCUAAACCAAAAAUUCUGAAAAAUUUAUGGUGAAUAUACAUAUGAGUCUAGUUUGAGGGAAAAUUUACGGAUCUAAAUUUUUAGUUUCGUAUCUUGAGUUAUAAUUAUUUUAGUGACUACUGCGCAUGUGGACAGCUUUGUUGUGAAUGGUGAAAUUAAUUUUUAAAGUAAAUUUUUAUGCCCCGAACUUUUAAGUUCAGUCAAGUAACGCCUUAUGCUCGACUCCGGCAACCGUCUUGGGUAAGGGGUGUUAUAAAUAAUUAUUCUUAAAUUCAUACAUUCUUUGUAUAUUAUUUUGUACCUACAAUAGGUCCCUAGAUAUUAACAACAUGAGUGACGUUGCUACAGACUCAGAAUUUCCUUUUAAACAAGACAUGUGUUUAGAGGGAUCCCAUGGCUUUGAAGAUGACGUAGACUGUGGCUUAUCUCUGAAUUUGUUAAGGAUGGUAAAACAAGAGGAGAAGCAAAUCCUACCUCACAAGGAAUCAAUGGAAAUUGUGAGCUUAGAAGGGGGAAAAGAGGUGAAGAUUGAGACUAACAUUGCCACAAAGACAAAGCAUGACCUCGUUGAGUUACUCCAAGAAUUUAAAGAUGUCUUCGCAUGGUCAUACCAGGAUACUCCCGGGUUAAGUACUGGCAUUGUAGUACACUACCUUCUUAUAAAAGAAGAUUGCAAGCCAGUUUAGCAGAAACUCUGAAGGAUGAGGCCUGAUAUUGUGCUAAAAAUAAAAGAAGAAGUUAAAAAGCAAUUUGAUGUUGGGUUCUUACAAGUGGUUAAAUAUUCAGAAUGAGUAGCCAACAUCGUCUCAGUCUCUAAAAAAGAUGGGAAAGUACGAAUGUGCAUAGAUUACAGAGACAUGAACAAGGCCAGCCAAAAAGAAAAUUUCCCAUUGCCUCACAUUGACACUUUGGUGGAUAAUACAGUAGGCUACUCACUGUUUUCCUUCAUGGACGACUUCUCUGGAUACAACCAGAUAAAGAUGCAUCCCAAAAACAUGGGAAAGACUACAUUCGUGACCCUAUGGGGAAUGUUUUGCUAUAAAAUGAUGUCAUUCGGAUUAAAGAAUGUGGGAGCGACGUAUCAAAGGGAAUGGUAACCUUGUUUCAUGACAUGAUGUACAAGUAAAUCGAGGUUUAUGUUGACGAUAUGAUUGCAAAAUCCAGAACAGAAGAGGAACAUGUGUAGGCCCUAAGAAAAUUAUUCUUAAGACUGAGAAAGUUCCAGCUCAAGCUUUCCAACGAAAUGCACAUUCAGAGCUAGGUUAGGAAAGCUGUUAGGCUUCACAGUUAGUGAAAAAGGAAUCGAGAUCAACCCAGAUAAAGUCAAUGCGAUACGAGAUUUACCUCUACCAUGCACUCAGAAGGAAGCUCGAGGUUUCCUAGGAAGACUGAAUUACAUUGCUCGAUACAUUUCACAACUAACCGAAAAAUGUGACACCAUAUUAAAAUAAAAAUAGAUUAAAUUGUAAGUAAAACAUAAUUUAAACAUAUGAAUACAUCAAAUUAAUAAUACUAAAUGAAUACAGUUAUUUAUGAUGAUGUUGUUGCCAAUUCCUAAUUUGGUGUCUAGUUAAUUUGUGACAUCAUAAAUUUAAGUGAUAAAUUUAAGGUUUUAUGUAUUGAUGUGGAUUCAAAUAUCACCAUAAUUUUUGUAAAUAAAAAACUAAUAAGAUAACUUAUAUUAAGUACGAAAGGGUAUUUUUAUAAUUUCUCUAAUCGAGUUGGUGCCCGGUUGACUCAUGACACUAACUCAAUCAGAAGCUUUAAUAAUAAUAUAGAUAUUCAUGUUAAAAAAACAAAAAAAAAGUACUUUAGUUCCAAAUAAUUAUAUAACAAGUAAAUUUAUAAUUGAUGAAUAAAUUUAUAAAUAAUAUAUUUAUAUGAUCUAAUAUAUUAUAUUUAUAUUAAUUAUAUAUCAUCUACAAACUUUGAAGAUCAAUUUAUUAAGUAAAAAUGAAAUUGUUAACACUAAAUCAAUUUUUAGAUUUUGUAUAGAUGAUUUAGUGAUGAUAAAAACAUUAUUAACACUAUUUUUUAAUUAACAAAAAAUUAGUGAUAUAUUUAAAUUAUAUUUAUCAUUUAUUAUUUUUAAUAAUAUUUUUUAAUUAUAUGAAGUAAAAUUAUAUUGUAUACUAAAUAUGGUACAUAUACUCUAAUUAUAACUUGAAAUUUUAUUAUAUAAAUUAAUAUAAAUUUGAAUAACAAAAUAAAAAAAAACUAAUUAGAAUAAUUUUAAAAAACAUUAUUUAAAAGUAGUUAAAAAUCACGUGCAACAGGUGAGAUCAAUGGUCUUUAGAGAAGAAAUGUUGAAGAUCAAAGUUGGAAUCUGGCCUAUAAGGCCUUUAAUUGCUUUAAUAUUAAGCAGUUCCAAACCAAGAAGAUUACCGAUUUCCUCAGGAAUUUGACCUGCACACAUGGUCGAAAAAUCAAUGUGUCAAACUACCUAUUUUGUUAGCAUAAGUCAAAGAGGUUUUCUUUUCUAUUCUACAUAAUUUGCAGAUGUUAGAUUUUAAUAUUUUUAAGCAUAUUUGUUUUCAUCAAAUUAACUAUUUUGAACUAUUUUGCCUUGAAUGAAAUAAAAUGCUCUUACUUUUGUUAUCUAUUACUAAUCAAACUCUUUUAUAAAAAAAAUACUUUAAACUAAAGAAACCAAGAAAAUUCAAUACCUUCUAGGUUAUUCAACCCCAAAUAUAAUUCUUUGAGUCGUGUCGGAUUUCCAAUACUUCUUGGAAUGAUCCCCAUCAAUUGAUUAUAGGAAAAUGACAAAAUUUUAAGGUUGUUGCAUUUGCUUAUACUUGACGGAAUGUUACCAUAUAAUUCAUUCCGACUCAAGUAAAGCCCUUCAAGCUUGGAAAGAUGUGACACAUAUCAUUAGGCAAGCUACCUGAUAGGCUAUUGUUGGAGAGAUCAAUGGCCUUCAGAGAAGAAAUGUUGAAGAUCGAAGUUGGAAUCUGACCUGUAAGGCCUUUAAUUGCUUUAAUAUUAAGCAGUUCCAAACCAAGAAGAUUACCGAUUUCCUCAAGAAUUUGACCUGCACACAUGGUCGAAAAAUCAAUGUGUCAAACUACCUAUUUUGUUAGCAUAAGUCAAAGAGGUUUUCUUUUCUGUUCUAUAGUAAUUUGGUGAUGUUAGAUUUUAAUAUAAUUCAGCACAUGUUUUUCAUCAAAUGAAAUAAAAAGUUUUUCCUUUUGUUAUCUAUUACAAAUCAAGCUCUUUUAUUAAAAAAAUACUUUAAAUUCAAGAAAUCAAGGAAAUUAAUUACCUUCUAAAUUAUUAAACCCCAAAUAUAAUUCCUGGAGUCGUGUUAGAUUUCCAAUACUUCUUGGAAUGAUCCCCAUAAAUUGAUUAUGGGGCAACAACAAAUUUUUAAGGAUGUUUCAUUUGCCUAUGCUUGACGGAAUGUUACCAGAUAACUCAUUGCUAUGCAAGUGAAGCCCUUCAAGCUCGGGAAGAUGUUGACACAUAUCAUUAGGCAAACUACCUAAUAGGCUAUUCCUGGAGAGAGCAAUAGUCUUGAGAGAAAAAUGUUGAAGAUCGAAGUCGGAAUCUGAUCUGUAAGGCCUUUAAUUGCUUGAAUAUUAAGCAUUUCCAAACUAAAAAGAUUACCGAUUUCUUCAGGAAUUUGACCUGCAGACAUAGUCGAAACAUCAAGGUGUUAAAUUUCCUAUUUUGUUAGUGUAAAUCAAAGAGGCUUUUUAUUUUUUUUCGUUAUGAAAUAAUAUGGAUAUGUUCGAUUCUAAUCAUAUUUAAGUAUAUAUUAGUUCUUGAAAGAAUGAGUUCUUAUUUUUGGUAUUUAUAUUGCAAAUAUAUAUUUUUUUAAAUUUAAAAGAAGGGAGGGGGCAAAUGUGUUUAAACUAAAGACAUCAAGGAAAAGGCAUACCAAGUAUAAUUGUUUAAGUUGUGUCAAAUUCCCAAUGCUUUUUGGAAUGAUCCCACUAAAUUGAUUAAUAGACAAUUCCAAAAUUUGAAGGUUGCAGCAUUUGUCUAUACUUGAUGGAAUAGAACUUGAUAAUUCAUUUCUACUCAAGUAAAGCUCUUUCAGCUUGGGAAGAUGGACACACAAAUCAUCGGGCAAGCCACCAGAAAGACUAUUAUCACAAAAAUGAAUCCUUUUCAAAGAAGAAAUGUUAAAGAUGGAAGAUGGAACCUGGCCAGAUAAUUGAUUGAAUCCCAAGUUCAAGAUCUCUAGAUUGGACAAGUUGACAAGUGUUUGAGGGAUCGUGCCUGUGAAGUUAUUAUUUCUCAUUUCCAACCUUUGAACUCUGUGCAAGUUCCCAAGCCAUGGUGGAAUUUCCCCAUUAAGACGGUUGUAGCUUAAUCGAAUGAUCCUCAAACGAUGCAAUUGGCCUAAUUCUUUAGCCAGAUGGCCGUAGAAAUUGUUGUUGCUCAAGUCGAUAGAAAAUAGAAAUGAAAGAUUUCCAAGGUGUGGAGGGAUAGUACCCCUAAGAUUCAUGUUUGUAAGAUUAAUCAAAGCUACAACUCUUUCAUGGAUGAUGCCACAAGAAACACCAACCCACUUACAGACAGAGGUAGAGUUCGUCCAAUUGUUUGCCAACACAUUUUGAGGAUCGACAAUGCGAUCUUUAAACUCAAAGAGUGCAAACUGAUCGGAGUUGAGAUUCCGGACUGUCAUAGCCAAGGAAACAAUAGAACAUUGUAUGAAUAAAAGUGAAAGAAGAUGAAAGCAAGUGUUGUAGUUCAUGAUGGCAAGACGAAAUAAGCCAGGAAAAGGGAAGUUGAAUUGAUGAAGAAAUAGCCAGCCAACAUGCUUAAAUAGGCUUCAACCCUUGCACACUUCUCAUACAUAAAGUUCGCUGCCAUUACAACAAGAAAACUCAUAUCUCCAUUCGUACCUAUCCAUACUUUAUUUGACUAACUUUUCCCUAACAAGUGUUCAGUAAGGAGAUAAAUCAGUUUGGAGCUAUUCACCGGCUUCUCCAAUCUUGGUUUCAAACUCCUAACCCAUCAAUUCACUUUAAUUGAAACGAUAUACACGAGUCUUUCGGCUUAUAUUUUUAAUUUAAUUUUUGUUACUUUUCAUAAUAUUUUUUGAGAAAUCCAAAUAUUCCAGUCUGAAAUUUCUUCAUUGCCACGUCUAUCUCCUGGGUAAGUCCGUGGUUAGGCAGCCCACUUUGGGAGCAGGAUUGUAAUUGUAAUUCUAUCCGACUCAUUUUACUAUUUAGAAAUAUAAAAGUAAUAUUAUAUUAUUUUUUAUAUUUUUAUAAAUUUAAUUUUAAUUAUAAUUUUUAAACAAUAAAACGAGUCAUUUGUAUUUGCCUAGUCUAAAUUGAAUCAGGAGUCAAAAAAAUUUUAAUCAUAAUUUACUAUUAUUUUAAUUAAUUAAAAUUUAACCUACUACAACUAGUAGUUGCAGAAAAAAUGUCAUUCCUUUAGAAAAACGAAAAUCCUUUAGAAAAAUGAGAACUUAUGAAGCAUUCAAUAAGAGUCAUUGGAAUAAAUGGUAACGAAAUCAUAAUUCAAUAUAAAGCUAAAAAAUGUACCAAUCUAUAUAAAUAAUGUAAGAUUUGUGAUACCUAAAUUAUUAUAUUUUCCAUAAAUAUAUGAAGAUAUUUUAUUAGGAAAUAAUUUUAUAUAUAAAAUUUUUUAUUUUCUUUUGAUAGAAAUUUAAUUAUGUUAUCUGUAGAAAAAAAUAUUUAUAGAAAUAUUAUUAGUAGAAAAUCAUAAAUUUGUGUGUGGCAAAAAAAAUUCACCACCAAGAAAGGGGCAAAUUAAACAACUUGAAACAAGUCAUUGGUUGUUUAAAAUAUUAGAUAAUAAUUUCAGUGAAGAAUCAUUAAAAUUAUGACAAAAUAACCCUAGAUAUUGUAGUAUUAAAUUGGAAAAUCUCAAUAAUAUUAUUAGAGUAAAACCUAUGAUCUAUCUAAACAAGAUAUAGAAGAUUUUGAUAUACAAAUUAAGGUUAGAAAUCAUGCGGAAAUAAAAAAGAAAAAAAAGCUAGUAUGGUCAUUAAUUAUAAAAGAUUAAAUCAAAAUAUUAUUUUUUUAUAGUUACUUGAAUUAAUCAGGCUAAACAAACAAAAUAUUUUAGUAAAUUUGACUGCAAAUCAGGAUUCUAGCAAAUCAUGAUAACAGAAAAGUCCAAACCUUUAACGGCUUUUAGUGCACCCAAUGGACAUUACCAAUGGAAAGUGAUGUCAUUUCAAUUAUGUGAUGCACCACAAAUCUUCCAAAGACGAAUGGAUUUUAUAUUUAAUAAAUAUAAAAAAAUUCUAUGUAGUCUACAUAGAUGAUAUUUUUUAUAUUUUUAGAUACACUAGAAUUACAUAAGAAACAUUUAAAUAUUAUUUCUUAAGAAUUCAUAAAAUAUAGAAUCAUAUUAAACCCUAAAAAUAUAGAGUUAGAAAAAAGAGAGAGAAUUUUUAUAAUAGUGGAAAUAAAAAAUUGUCCUCAAAAGAUUGAAGAAAAAAAGAACUUCCAACAAUUUCUAAUAUAUUCCUCCCAAAUUUUCAGUUUCAAUUUUAUUACAGAAUUUCUUUGCCGACAAUAAGAAAUUAAGAGCGCUCUUUAAGUUGAAUAUAGUCCGUCAGAUAUGGCUAUCUAUAACAUGGAACCUUUGGUUUUCAAGCUGAAUAGGAGAAUUGAUUCACUUGAUAAGUAUGAAAAAUUGAAACUGCUAAAUUUAAGUGCACUAACUCUGGAUAUCAUCAUUAUUUUUCUGUACAUUAAAGUACCUGUUUGAUAUGCGAUUUCUGCCUCAAACUAUCAACAUCUUUAACAUCCUUUUGCUAUAGUUAGCAUGGGUACUUCCUUUUAGAUUAACAGUUAGGUUUGAACUGUGAAUUAGAUUUCUGUGGCUGCUGGGAUUGAAGAAGUUAGUAUGCGAAUGACAUUGGACAAAUUUGGCAAAGUCUUCUCCAUCAGUGAAGAAAACCCCUUGGCGUAUGAAAAAUGUUCACCAUCUUAGACAUUUGUUUUCUUAUUGUAAGAAUAUUUUUAACAUUGUAACUUUUAACAUUAUUGUAAGAAUAUUUUGAAUUAUACUUCAGUUAUCAAUUUAUAUCAUAUAUCUUUUGUUGAAUUUGAAGUAUAAUUUAUAUUUGCUGUUUUUGGUUAGAUUUCAUGCUAUAGGAAGGGUUGUAUAUGGAUAGAAAUUGAAUGUUACAAAUCUGCCAAAGUUAGUGGCGUUUUUUCAUAAGAGCUGCUAAAGAAUGCUAUUUUUGGCGGUGUUUGUAAUAAAAGAGCCGCUAAAGGUCAUGUUCUUUAGCGAUGUUUGUGGGUAAAGCGCCGCUAAAGAUCAUGUUCUGUAGCUGUGUUUGUGGAUAAAGCGCCGCUAAAGAACAUGACCUUUAGCAGCGUAUUUUCACAUAAACGCCGCAAAAUUUAGCGGCUUUGUCUAUAGCGACUUUUUUUGCAGCGCUUUAAGUUUUAGCGGCGCUUUUAGGCCUAAAAAAGGGCCGCUAAAAGCCUGUUUUGCUGUAGUGAGCAUAUUUACAUUUUCGUCCCAAUUUCAACUAACACCCCAUCUAUUUCCCACUUCCCUUUUUCGGGCAAUUUCAACUAACACCUUCAUAUCAAACAUAACUAUUUUUCAAUUUUUCUUCUUUAUUUCAUUAAUAAAAUUAUCAAUCUAUUUGUUUUUAAAUAUAUAAUUUCAUUAAUAUUUUUUAAAUUAUAAUAUAAGAGUUGUUGUUUAUUUAUAGUUUUAUUACAUUAUUUACUCUCUCUUUUCUAUCAAGUUUUUUAAAUUAUAAUAUAAGAUUUAUUUUAUCAAUUUGUGGCUUAUCCAGUAUUCAUCUAUUUUAAUAAUAACUUGAGUUCCAGUCAUUAUCAUACCAGAAAGAGUUCCAUUUAUUCUUUAUCGUAAAUUUUAUAAAAAAAUAUACAUUUUAUUAUAAUACUAUAUGUGUUACGAAUAAUAUUUUAUUGUGGAUGCCCAUAAUUUUCAAAGUUGUAACCUCUAAUGUAGUAACCUUAAUGAAAUUAUGAGGCUUUUAUAUUGUAAUCAAGCCUCUAUUUAUUCUUUGUAACUUAAACAGAAGCAUAUUUUCUAUUAUAUUGAUAUUUUUUAUAGAUAUAUAUAUAUAUAUAAGGAAUCAAAUAAAAAGUUAUUUACCUUUCUAUUAUAUUGAUAUUUUCUAUUUGAUUUGUUCUUUUCUUUCACUAUUCCAUAAUAUAUUAUCAGUACGAUUUUAACCAAGAGUAACAUGUUAUUAGAUUGUGUCAAAAUUUUGUUGAGAAUCAUUAGAUUGUUUCCUUUUUCUUCUAUUUAGCCCCAAAUUGCACCCCUACACAAAAUUCAACAAAAACAUGGAAAAAUUAGUGGUGCACUCUCAUAAAUUAACCAAUUUAAUUACAUAAAAUAUGUAACUUUAGCAUUUUAUCAAUCAUGUUCUUUAGCGGCAUUUGUGGGUAAAGCGCCGCUAAAGGUCAUAUUCUUUAGCAGCGUUUGUGAUAAAAGUGCCACUAAAUAUCAUGUUCUUUAGCGGCGUUUGUGGAUAAAGCGCCGCUAAAGAACAUGACGUUUAGCAGCAUUUUUUUACAUAAACGUUGUAAAAUUUAGCGGCGUUGUCUAUAGCGACGUUUUUUGCGGUGCUUUCAAAUAGUUUUAGCGGCGCUUGUAGGCCUAAAAAAAUGCCGCUAAAAGUCUGUUUUGCUGUAUGAGCAUAUUUACAUUUUCGUCCCAAUUUCAACUAACACCCCAUCUAUUUCCCACUUCCCUUUUUCAGCCAAUUUCAACUAACACCUUCAUUUCAAACGUAAUUGUUUUUCGAUUUUUCCUCUUUAUUUCAUUAAUAAAAUUAUCAAUCUAUUUGUAUUUUAAAUAUAUAAUUUUAUUAAUAUUUUUUAAUUAUAAUAUAAGAGUUUUUGUUUAUUUAUAGUUUUAUUAUAUUAUUUACUCUCUUUUUUCUAUCAAGCUUUUUAAAUUAUAAUAUAAGAUUUAUUUUAUCAAAUGGUGGCUUAUCGAGUAUUCAUCUAUUUUAAUAAUAACUUGAGUUCCAAUCAUUAUCAUACCAGAAAGAGUUCCAUUUAUUCUUUAUCGUAAAUUUUAUAAAAAAAUAUAUAUUUUAUUAUAAUACUAUAUGUGUUAGGAAUAAUAUUUUAUUGUGGAUGCCCAUAAUUUUCAAAGUUGUAACCUCUAAUGUAGUAACCUCAAUGAAAUUAUGAGGCUUUUAUAUUGUAAUCAAGCCUCUAUUUAUUCUUUGUAACUUAAACAGAAGCAUAUUUUCUAUUAUAUUGAUAUUUUUUUAUAGAGAUAUAUACAUAAGGAAUCAAAUAAAAAGUUAUUUACCUUUCUAUUAUAUUGAUAUUUUCUAUUUGAUUUGUUCUUUUCUUUCACUAUUCCAUAAUAUAUUAUCAGUACGAUUUUAAUCAAGAGUAACAUUGUAUUAGAUUGUGUCAAAAUUUUGUUGGACUUCAAGUAUUGGAAUUUAAUUGUUUAAGUUAAGAAUCAUUAGAAUCAAUGGCUAUUUGAGAUAUGCUUGAGGAUGAUCUCAUUCUAUUCAUCACAAAGGUGGAGGUUAGAAAAUCUUUAUGUUUAAACAUUUAUAGCUUUAAAGUUAUUUUAACCUCUUAUUGUGACCUUAUAAUAUUUUGUAAUUUUUUGUAUUAUGGUAUAUAAAAAAAAUCUAACCAUAGUGAUUGAUUAGUAAUAUGAAUUUGUUAUUUGUUAUGUUUAAUAUAUAUUUUAUUUAUACUUAUUCAUUUUAUUUUUAUAUGAGUAAAUGAAGUGUUUGAAGAUUCGAAAUUUUUAUCAUCCAAGUUGAAAAUAAGUGCAAAAGUGUACAUUAUUUAAAAUAAAUUACGCAUUCAUUAAUGUUAUAUGAUAAAAUCAUUACAUGUUCUAAAGAACUAAUAUUGCAUCAAACUGUAAAAAGCUCUUGAAGAGUUAAUAUUUUACCUCCUUGUGAUACAAAAUCAUAUACAAUAUGAUAUUAUUUUUCAAAUCGAGUAGAUAUAUGUUGAGGGAAAUCUUUAUGUGGUUUACAUUAAAACCAUGGAUAGAAAUGACAUGAGAUACUCGUGUAUUUUUAUUAUAAAUAUUCCUUGAAGGAAGACACUUCACUUGUAUGAUUGACAUAUGAGAUAGUGGCAAGAAGUUCAUAGUGUUGGUAUGGUCGUCUAGAUCAUCUCAAAUCAAUAAUGAUGCAAAAUAAUUUGAAGAGAAUUUAUAUGAUUUUAUUGAAGAAUGAGAAGAUAUUUUCAUUUUGAUAAUUGUCAUCAAUACUAGUUCUUUGGAAAAAAAAUAUUGAACUAACAUAAAGUUAGAGGUUGGUUGCAUUUUUUGAUGAUAUCCAAAUAAUAUAUGAGCUCAUGUAUCACAUGUAUGCAACCCAAAGUUUACAGUAUUAUUUCUUGAAAUAAUUUGAUUCUACACAAUCUCUAUAGUAUGCAAUUUGUGCUAACAACGUUGGUGCAUUAUAUCCUAAGCUUGAUUUUCGUAGUUUUAGCUGAGAUAAUAUUAAGUUGUCUAUGCCUAUAUAUGUUAUACUUAAUGGUUAGCAAAAUUGUGCCUCCAUUUAAUUGCUUAACCAUUAAUAUAAGAAUAACUUUAAAAUAAGCAUGUAAUUUUAUUUGCAUAGAGUCAACAUGUAAGAAACAUUUGCCCCAUGAGAAUUGGCUUUCAUUUAUAAGCCAAUAGGUUUCAUAUGACUAUUUGGAUGUAAAAUAUCUAUUUUAUAUUCCACCAUAAUGCACUAAGAUGGUCCAUCAAGUAUGAAGUUGAGAAAAUUUAGAAUUUUUAUUUGAUGGUAAAAGUUGAAAAGAGAUAUAUACUUAUAAUUUUGAAAAAAAUAGUCAUGUUGCAAAUUUUUCUCAAUAUUAGGGGGAGACAAGUUGGACAAAUAAGGAUAAUUAUGUCAUCACUUUUUGUGAUCCCUCACUAAUAUUAUGUGCACAAAGUUUGAAGGAAAAAAGUAUUUGCUAGACAUGUUUAGUGAUGACACUUAGAGAUUGUAUAUACUAGAUGAUACAUAUACCAGCUAAAAUGUUCCAAAUAAUUAUGAGUCCUAGAAGGACAUAGUGAUAAAAAUAAUUUUUGGGCACGCUAGAAGGAUAAAAAACUAGUUCAUUCUAUAAAUCAAAAAAUUCUUGAAAGAAAAGAGUAAGAAAUGAAGCUGGCCACACAUUAAAGGAAACGAGUACUCAUGAAGAGACCUAAGGCAUAACUUUUAAUAAAACCCCAAAAGAGGUUCAAUACAUGGAAUUAUGAAUAUAAUAAGAUAUCUCGAUUAGUUAUAUCAUAACUAAAGAUGAUGGGGUUGAUAAAAGGAAAUUGUUGUUAACAACGAUAAUCUAAGUAGAACAUUUCAAUAUUAUGGUAAAAUGAGUAUUUUGAAUGAAAAUAUACUUGAAAGUAUUUAGAUGGGAACAACUCAUCAAAAUAAAUAGACGUUUCUAUUAUAACUUAUGAAAUGUGUCUCGGACAUGAAGUCCAAACAUUCGACAGGUGUAAAGCCAAGUGGAGUAUAUGUUAGCAUAAUAGUGAAAAAAUACAAAUCAUAAUAUAUAAAAUUGACUUGUAAGACAAACUUUCCCAAGACACUUGAUUUUGAUUAUGAAAAAUGAUUAAUUUGUGAUCUUAUCAAUUGAACAUACUUUGUAUAAUCAACAAAUUAUUAAUUAACCUCAUUUAACCAAUUUCCUUCAACACAUUUCAAAUCAAAUUAAUGUGUUGAGCACGCCCUUAACCCUUUUUCUUGAUUCAUUGCAUAGUCUAUUUCCAAGUACCAUAAUCAUCAACAUUUCAAUAUAUAAAGUCAUAACAUAAUGAAUCAUAGUUAGAAUUUUUUUUACCCUAUUAACCAAGUAUGGAACAAAAAUAAAAACCUAAUUUGUCAAGCUCAUUCAAUCAGCUUAUAUAUUAUAAGAAGAGCCUAAGUAUAAAUCCUAUACAUGAUUUCAAAUUCAACUAUUUAUAUUUGAGAUUCAAUUUAAAAUUCAUACUGAAAUUAUCAAAUUAACUCGUAAGCUACUCACGCUAAACAUUAAGGUACUCGAAUUCAAGUGGCUAGAUAUCAUAAACACUUUUAGCUUGUAAAACUAUUUCUAAGGGUCAGCCCAGAAUCAUGGUUGAACCCAAAAUCUGGUAACAAAAAUUUAAUUGAGCCAUCAGCCUAAAACAAAAAAGGCUUAAAAGGUUGGCACCCGAACAAUCAAAGAUAAACACCACCAUAUGCCACUCCCUGAAUCCGAUACAUACAAUAACACCCUUCACCACUUUUAUUCUUCUCCUUUUUUUUAACCUCAAUUUGGAUGGUCGCAUUUCUCUUUUUAGUGCUUUAUAGGGUUUGGGCUUUCAGAAUCCUCAGAGAUGCAAUUCAUGGAUCCCUCUAAGAAAUGCAAGCUUGAUGAAAAUGGUAUUAUUUCAACGGCAUCAGAACCUGACCCAAUCACCAAACUAACCCCACAAGAUGGCCGCAAGCUAAUCGAGCAAUUUAUCGUCGAUCAACUCCUUGACGUCCUCCAAGAUGCUGUUUGUUGUCACCUUGAUGUUCUUUCCGCCGUACACUCUAUUGCCGAUCAAGAUCCAUCUCAAAGGAAGCUUUUCAUCCGUGGUUGGGUUGGGAUACUACAACCCAACCCAACCCACAUUAGCAUACUACCAUGCGGUAACUUCUAGUGAUUUCUGUCUGUAACAUUAGACAGGUUAACAGUUAAAUCGUUCAACUGAAAGAUUUCUUUGAAGGAAGAGGUCAAUUGAUUUUUUUUGGAAUCAUUGUGUACUCAGUUGCAUUUAAGACGGGUAUCAUUCAUAAAGUAUAUAUCUACAUCAAGAAUGGUAGCCUCUUAUAUUAUAUUCAUGUAUUUAUUUUGCAUCUUUAAUUAUAAUAGGAUUUUUUUUGUUUAUUUAUAGUUUUAAUUAUAAUAUUUUUUAAAUAUGCCAAAGUAAAUUAUGUACCAAUUUUAAACUUCUCCUAGGUAAUUUAACGUAAGGGCAUUUAUGUUAUUUUACCACUUAUGAUAAAACUAACCUAAUUUUAGAUCUAAGUGUUUACCAACCUUCUUUUAGUCAAAUUAUGCAAGCCUAAAAUUUUUAGCUUAAUUUGAGUUUGUUUACUAUGUCUAAUUCAAGUUUUAUUAUUAAGAACUAAAUUGUAACUUAAACAAAUUAGAAUACCAAUUUAAAGAGACAAAAAUUCAAAGCCCCAAAACCCACACGGGCAUGUGGGUAAGUGACACAGGCGUGUGGAAACUGGAGCUAUCACACACGGGUGAGUGGGACUGAAAAAUAUGAAAUAAAUUAAUCCAUUUAAAUUUCCAACAACCAUGCUAUACUACCAAACCAAAUAAUGUUAGAAGCUUUGAAUAGGGGCGAAUCUUAAAAAAAAUAGAAGAAUUAGAAUUAAAUUAUAAAAUUUUGAGAAGUUGUCAUGUAUUAAUUUAUUAUUUUUUAAAGGGUCUUAAUAGAUUUUUUUUCCCCAUUUUGGUUUGGCCAAUACCCCUGUCUGCCUCUUUCAAUUUGCUUCAACCCUUAGCCCAAUAUUCGAUUUGUUGUGGAAGUUUGACGCAUAAAAAUUCCUUUUUUAGAGGUUUAAAUUAUAAAUUUUUAUUAACAAAAUAUAAAAGAAAAAAACAUGUGUAGACAAGCCAAGAAACCUUUGGGAUCAUACAGGUGAUUUUGAGAUGUUCAUGGUUAUUUUGGUGGAGAGGGUAAAAAAGAAACAAAUGAUUCAUUAUAUAUGAUAUAAUUAUGAAAUUCAAGCCAUAUAUUGUAUGUUUCAUCCAUACAAAUUUCUUGUAGCAUUAAAUGACUCGUAGGCUUGCUGAAUUUCUUUGAAAGGCCCAAAGGCAAUUUAACAUUCACAAAAUAAUCUCUAAAUAGUGUAAAGACAAAUCAAAUCCACAGUAGCAUUAGAGUUGAUUAAGCUAAGCAUUGGCAAAUAUUACUUUGAUUUUGCAUGCAAUAUUGGCAAAACCCCCUCUUACAUUAGAAAAACAACAUAAUCCAUGAAACAUUGAUAGCCCAAUACAAAUUUCAUCGAGAAAAAAGUCUCUUUGUUUUGUAGAACAUGAUAGUAAAGAUGUGGAGUUUCGUUCUUCUUAUUGGCCUCCUUUAGUUUUCCUUGAUCAACAACCACUAGCCAAAAACACAAUUAGAUUAGAUUAUGAAUGAUACUUUCAACUAUGACAAUAUUAAAUACAAACCACUCUAAAUAACUCUAAAUAAAUGGAAAGCAGCAAAUUACCAGACGAGGCAAGCUAGCUCAAUUAAGACCAUUGUGUUAUACUUGUCUCUGAAUUGAAAAAUUUAGAAGGAAAUAAAGAGAAAGACUUAGAAAAUACUUGAAAACAGAAAAAAAAAUUAUGUCAUUUAAAAUAAAAAAUUUCUAUUCAAGCCAUUUAAAAUUUGUAAGAUUUUUAAAAUUUUAAAAUGAUAAAGGUAAAAUUGUACUUUGGCACCCCAAAAAUGAUAAAACUUUGAUUUAAUUAUUUAAAAAUUAUAAAAAUAUAGGCUAUUAAAAUGGUGAAAUUAUAUUUUUACUAUAGUAAAAAUUACAAUUUAAUUUCACCCCUAAAAGGAUUUUCUGGCUUCGCACCUAAUAAAAUCUUUGGCAAAAGACUAAAAUAAAAUUAUACCAUGAAUGGAAAAAGAAACUAAUAAAAUCCAAUCUAACAAAGAAAAUAACUUGAUGUCCAAAAGCUACCAUAAACCGUAAUUCAUGGGAAGGCUUGUUGCUUAUUUUAUUGGUUUCCAUUUUGAAAGAAGUUUGAAUUUUGAAGAGAGCCUACUACGUGAAAGCAAAAGAAAAAAAAAUAGUUUAUAUGAUUAAAAUUCCAGAAUAGAUUAAAAAUGUUGAAUUAAAGAUAAAAUUAAGUGUGAAUUAAUAACCACAAGUGUACUCUUUACUCACCAUCUCUGUUAAAAAUGUUGGAUGUUGUUUAGCAACCUUUGUUUGAUUUUCUUCAGCUCAACCACAACAUCUUUCAUAUCUUUUCUUUCUUCUGGUAACUCAGCUGAACAAUUCAAAGCCAACUCCAUGAUAGAUGAAAUACAAUUUGCUUUAACAACAAUGUACUCAUCCUCUCUUCUUAAUAAAU